AGUUUACAUUUUAUGUAUGCCUAUUUUAUAUACAUGUAUAUUUUUUAAAUAGUAUAAAAACAUACAGGAACAAAUUUACUAUCAAAUUUUAGAAAGACACCUUACUAUUAUUAAACAAACAACCCAAUAAUUAACAAAAUAAAAAGUUGGCUAAAUGAGAAUGCCUUAUUUUAAAAAGUUGGAUAAAUGAGAAGACACCAAAAAAAUCUACAUCUUUUUCAUUAGGUAUGCAUGAUUGAACAGUCAUUCAUUAGUAUUUCCUGUAGCUUAGGGUCGAGUUUAAUGUUUUUAACAAUUAUCUGUCAAUUUGUGCUCCAUAAAUCUGAAUUGUGUGUAGUUUAUUGGGAUUAAACUUUGAUAUUUUAUUUGCUUAUUUUUUUCAGAGAAGAACAAGCUAUAUCUAACUUCACAAGAUCCUGUGCUGGUUACUGUGUUGCUACAUUUAUACUGGGUAUUAAAGACAGACAUAGUGGAAAUAUAAUGGUCAGGAAAAAUGGACAGGUACAUUUAAAACCACAUAUAAUGUGCAUGCAUUAAUUUACUUGGAAUACCUGAUUUUUGUGUAUCUGUAUGAUAGAGUUAUAGCUUUAGCAAAGAUGUUGUCAAAUUUUUCAAAAAUAACAAAUUCAGAAAAAGUUGUCGAUCUUUGUAUGGAUAGAAGGGUGAACAUAUCAUAGUUUGGGGCCUUUCUGGAAAGGUCCACUUGAAAAAUGCAUAGUCAAGGCAAAAUAUUCCUGUAUUUUCGACCAGUAAUGAAAGAAAUGUUUUGUAAUUAGAAUAAGAUAUUUUUAUGAACAAAUGUCUGCAGUAAAUAACAAAGAAUAAUAAAUAAAAAUUGGUAUGACAAUAUAAGAUAUAUAUGGUAUCCAGAAUAAGCUCCUUUGAUGAUAAUCUCAAUUUUACAUCAGCCUCUAGAUGAAUGUUUUAUACAAGAUAGCUUGUUUUUAUUUUACAGGUAUUCCAUAUAGAUUUUGGACAUUUUUUGGAUCAUAGGAAAAAGAAAUUUGGAAUAACUCGAGAAAGAGUACCAUUUGUAUUGACAAUGGACUUUAUAAGAGUGAUUGCUAGAGGAUCAGAUCAACCAUUAAAGCACAAAGAAUUUAAAAAGUAAGUUUGUAUAUUUAUGUGAUUUGGCUUUUAUUUAUCUUUUAAAUGCUUACUGUUUUGGUUUUUUAAUUUGUCUGAAGAAGCCUGAUUGUGAUAACAGGAAACAACAACAGUACAUCUACCUAAGACUAAAAAAUAAAUGCACAAACAACAAAGGAAAAAAUAUGAGGUCCAGAUAGGCAAGUUUGGUACAGGCACACAAAUUGGUGUGAUUAUUUUUUUUUUAGAUGUACACAUUCACCAACAUUUUUGUUAACAUAGUUACCAUCAGUCAUAAAAAGGAAACUGAAAUUAAAACUUGCAACAUCCAACUACCAAUAGAAUGACCACAAACUAGGAUAAAAGAUGACACAUAAUUUGAAAUGCAAGGUCAAAAUGUGCUUUAUACAUCAAAUUAUAACCAAAAGAGCAUGUAUUUGUUUUAUUAAGGAAUGACUGUAAUAUUUUUUCUGUCUGUGAAGAAAUAACAUAAAAAACUUGGUGCACACUGAAUAAUGCACAUAGCAGGUUAUUUAAUAGUGUGCACCCCAUUUUUUAUGUUAUUUCGAAUAGACAGAAAAAAAAAUAUUAGUCAUUUCUUAUAAUUUAAUUCUAAAUUCCAUUUUAAACCGUAGAAAACCAUGAAAAAACGUUGAUGACGUCACGGUCACAUGACUAAAUUAUGUCUAUGGGCUUAUAACAAAAUAAGGUCAGCCAAUCACAAGACAUGUUACAUCCAAAAUUAAAUUAUACAAGCAUAAACAAAUUAAAGGUUUUGACCAAGAUUAACAAUUCACAGAAGAUUGAACUGUGAUAAUGUAAGAAUGUCAUGUGUUCUAUGGAUCAACAUUCUUAUUUAUUAAUUAUAAUCAUUUAUCUUUUUUUUCAGAUUUCAGCAACUCUGCUGCGAAGCUUAUUUAAUUAUUCGUAAAAAUGCCUAUUUAUUCAUCAAUCUUAUGACUAUGAUGUUGUCAUGUGGUAUCCCAGAGUUACAAUCUUUAGAUGACAUAAGUUAUCUUCGUAAAACAUUAGCCGUGGAAGAGAAAGACGAUGAAAAAGCCUUAAAAUAUUUCAUAGCUAAGUUCAAUAGUGCUUAUUCUGAUGCCUGGACCGUCAAAACUGAUUGGUUGUUCCAUUAUAUGAAAAACAGAUGAGCCAAUCUCAGAGGAGUUUAGUGGAAACGUGCAAUAGAAUAGAGUCUAUAAAUAGACACCACACCAAGGAACUUCGUGGAACGUAGAAACUGCUGUUGGAGUUAGAAUUCUUCCAAUUUUCUAACUUAUGGUUGUACUCUAAUCAUAAAUUCUAGGCUUACUUACAAGGGACCAUAAAUGUUGAUAUAAUUAUUUUUUUGUUUAAAAGGUUUCCCCUGAGAAAUAGUACUACUUUGUUGAUGUAAAGGAUAUUUCAUAUCAUGUAAAAUCUUCAGUUUUUAUCCUUUUUUUAACUUUUGUUUAAAAGGUUUCUCCUGAGAAAUAGUACUACUUUGUUGAUGUAAAGGAUAUUUCAUAUCAUGUAAAAUCUUUAGUUUUUAUCCUUUUUUUUUAAAUGGAGUUUGAUGAAACUUUAUAUUUUGUCCAUAUUUAAUGGCAACUUAUUUUGCCAAUUUAUUUUGUUAUUAUAAAGGUAAAAUGUUCAGUGAACAAUUAUACAAUUAGAGGAAGCAAGUCCUAAAAAUUAUGUUGCAAGAAAAUUAGUCUUAGACAAGAACAACCUACUUGAAGGUUAUUAUUUCAUAUCAUCAUUGUCCCUUCUAUGCCUUUUAAAGUAUUUUUGGUCCACAGUGCUAUAUUUUAUUCUACCUCAGUGGGGUAUUUUCUGGUACAGUAUAUUUUUUUCAAAAUUCCAUUUACAAGUGUGUUGAGUUCUGUCUGUUUUUAAUUGGUUAAGAACUUGCAUAAUAACCUUGCAAAUAAUGAUAAAUGAAGUUUACAAUUUGAAAAGCUUAAUUACAGUAAUACUCAAAAUAGUACAACAUGCAUUUUAUAAACUCCAGGGAGAAAUGUUGUGAAUUUUUUUCUCAAGAAUAUUUUUCAAUAUUUUUUUUUUAUUAUUAAGAAUAGACUAUCGUUUGAGAUUUUGCAAAAAUACAGAUAAGAUUUUAAGCUACCUAAACAUAGGAAGACUUGAGAAGUUCACACAUUUAUUCUCCUGUUUUCAUUGUUAAAUUAUAAAACAUUAAAAAAUUUGAAAAACACUUUGAUACAUCAUGUACAUGAAAAGGUAACAGGAAUUUCAAAAAAUAUAUUUGACAGAACAAUGUAGACCAUACUAACCACCACUCAACUUCUAAUAAUACUUAGACACAUUUACGUAAAAGAUUUUUUUUUCUAUAUGUAUUCAAUGCAUAAUUUGUCUCUAAGAAUAAUAAUAGUUUUCAUUUUAGACUCAUCGUAAUGAGUGAUCUAUUCUUAAAAAAAUCUUAGAUAGCCUUGAAAUUCUUUCAUAACACAAUAUUCAAGAAUUGAAAAAAAGUGUUUAGGCUAUGUGUUAUUCAUGUCAUUUAUGUCAAUAUUGAAUUAGAUUUAUACAUAAGUCAGUAAUAGGUUGGCACUUUUGAAUUUUCAUAAUGUCAUCAAUAUCUGAUAAAAUAUUCUUAAGGGGUAUUUAUAUGGUUUUUCACAUUUUCCAACAUUUUCUGCAAUACAUUAUACAAAGGUUAUAAAUACAAUUGAACAAUAGGUAAUCAUAUGACUAUAUUUUUAUAAAAGGAGAAUUGUUACCCUCCUUUGCAAAUUGAUGAACAAAUUUAAGCCAGAUUGAGCAAUUUGAAAAAGACUUUUUGUACCAAGUUACAGCUUGUCCCUUGUUUGGCAUUACACAUGUGAUUAAAAUUAUGAUUAAGAAUAGCUGCUUUUACAUACUAAUGUGAAAACACUAUUUAGCAUCAAUUAUUAAAAAUUAAAUGAAGUUUGAAAGGUUGUCUUCUGAUAGACAGAUGUUUGAGGCAUUUUGAUGCUUUUUCUGAAAGAUAUUUAUUAUUGUUAAAUGUUUGAUAUAAAUAUACACGAAUUUAAUAUUUUUUAAAGUAAUGUUGUUAAAUUUCUGAAUGUUUUUAUAUCUUUGACUUCAAGUAAUUUUGUUCGAACUUUUGAAUUUCUAUUUCAAUGUCCUAUUUGUGGAAACAGGGCAUUUCAUGUUUGUCUCCCCUGUGAUGAAGAUUUUCAUCUGUUUAACCUUUUAUAGAUGUUUAAUAUGUUAUUGCAUUAGCAUCUCUGCAUUUCAUAUUUCAUAUUUAUGAGAAUGCGAUGUUCUUUCCUCCUUUUUAGCUCACCUUUCUGAAGGAACUGUGAGCUGUAGCCAACACUUGGCGUCCGUCAUUGUCGUCGUCUGUCUGGUGUAAACUAUUUCAAACAUCUUCUCCUCUGAAACUGCUGAACCAAUUCCAACCAAACUUAAGCUGAAUAAUCCUUAGGGUGUCUAGAAUAAAGUUUGUGUUUUAUUUUCUGUUUCGUUCAAAAACAUGCGGCAUGGCUAAAAAUAGAACAUAGGGGUAAAAUGCAGUUUUUGCCUUUAUUUCAAAAACCAAAGCAGUAAGAGGAAAUCUGACAUGGGAUAAAGGUGUUUAUAAGGUAAAGUUCUAUCAGCCCUGAAAUUUUCAGAUGAAUCUAAUAAUCCAUUGUUGGGUUGCUGCCACUAAAUUUGUAAUUUUAGGGAAAUUUGGCAGUUUUUGGUUAUUAUCUUGAAUAGUAUUAAUGAUAAAGAUAAACUGUAAACAGCAAAUAUGCAGCAAGUUAGAUCUACAAAUAAGUUAUACGACCAAAAUUUCAAUUGACCUAAAGAGUUAUUGCCCUUAAGGACAAUUUACACAAUUUGUUUAUCAUGUUUUAUGCCCCACCUACGAUAGUAGAGGGGCAUUAUGUUUUCUGGUCUGUGCCUCCGUUCGUCCGUCCGGUUAAAGUUUUUGCGAGUAGUUUAUGAAGCUGAGUCCAAUCACUUGAAACUAAUACACAUGUUCCCAUGAUAUGAUCUUCUAAUUUUAAUGCCAAAUUAUUAGUUUUACCCAAUUUCAUGUCACUGAACAUAGAAAAUGAUAUGCAAAGUUCAGUUAAGUUUUUGUCAAGUAGUUUUUGAUGCAAUUAAAGUAACAUCAACUAUAAACUAAUUUUAAUUCCAAAUUAAAGUUUUGACCCCAAUUUCACAGUCCACUGAACAUAGAAAAUGAUAGUGGGAGUGGGGCAUCCGUGUACUAUGGACACAUUCUUGUUUAACUUUAAAAAAUCUUCUCCUCUAAAACUACUGAAUCUUCAAUUCAACUGAAGUUUAUAAUCACCUUUAAAAAACAAACUUCAAAAUCUCACACCAAACACUUUUUUCUUUUGAAGAAAGUAUGACAAAAAACUGCAUUUUCAAACACUUAUUAAUAUACAUUAAACCAAAAAAAUAAAAAAAAAAAACUAUGAUGAAAUUGGACACUUAAACUCUUAAACGAAAGAUAAAUGCUAAAAUAAUCAAGGUGAGCGAUUCAGGCUCUUGAGAGCCUCUUGUUAUUCUUCACAUUAAAACAUUUUUGUCCUGAUAUGUAUGUAAUAAUUGCCACUGUACGUUUGUACUGCACGUUUGAUACCAAUCCAUCCAUUUGUCCAUCUUUCAGUGACUUUGAAAUAUUCACAUAAAUCUUACAAUAAUUAUAUGUAUUUAAAGGUUAUGAAAACUUGCAAAUACAAAUUGCUCAAAAUGUUUUCAGCCAUCUCACAAAGGUUAGACUAUGUCAAAAAAUAUCAACCAAAAUAAGUUGUUGUAUGGUAUCUAAAAUCAUAUUGUAAUUGUACAUUGUUGUAACUUGCAAAUUGUAAGAUAUCCCAUGACAACGAGAAUAGUGUCAAGGGUAUUCUUAGUAAAUGUUAGCUUUUUUUUAUAUAGAUUGAAUUCAAAAUUGAUACUCAGCUAUGUAUAAAGGUGCAAGAGAACCAUUUUCAAAAUCAGAUACUCGACCAUGUUUCAAAUACAGUCAUAUAGUGACUUCAGUCCUGGUAUCUAUGAUGAGUUUAUUUAUGUAAACACUGGUUUAUUUAUGCAGCAGCGUUUUGUAGAAUGCGAUACAUUUGUGCACCACAUUUAUAUGACUCUCUAAAUGACAGAAUAACCUGUUAGUUUUGAUAACAAUAAGACAUUCAUCUCCACUGCAGAUUUUCUACUGUUGUAUUCUCAGGUUGUAUAAUUUGUGUUACAUUUCUGACAUUUGAAUAAGUAAUGAAAUGCAUCUUCAUUGUUAUUGUAAAAUGAAUGUAAAGAAAAAUUAUUGUUUAUACACAUGUAUUUAUAUUUCUCAUAGAUUUGUAUGAUAACCACACAUUUUAUACAUAAAAAAAGCAAACAUUGAUGUGUUUAUUUUUCUGUUGCCAUUUUAACUGAUCACUUUGAAAUAAUUUACCUUAUUUGUGACCAUAAUCACAUUAAUACUCUUUUCCUCCUUUGAGUUGCUUACAAUUAGUAUUGUUUAGAAGCUUGAGGUGAUAAGGAGUAAGAUCAAACUGAUUGUCUCAUAGAAUAAUGUGCUUGAAUGAAUGGCAUACAGGCAAACCUGUAAAUAAAGGUGAUACCCUUGAAUGAAUGGCAUACAGGCAAACCUGUAAAUAAAGGUGAUACUAAUGUACUUAGAAAACUGACCUUACAGUUUUGAUUUGGGUUUCAAAAUGCAGAGAUACUACCAUAUCAGGAAAAAAAGAAGGUGACAGAGACAGGUUUUGGCUUAAAACAGAUGACCUUUAUAGCAGGUUUGACUGUAUUUCCCUGCAGUUUGUUACCUUGUGUUCUUACUAGUCUCCUACUGACAAAAGGGCACAUUAGGUUUGCACAGACUGUCCAUCUGUCUGUCCAAUAGUAAAUCCGUCAAAUCAAUUUUCCACACAUUUUUUUCUUCGUGUUUGAAGAUAUUGAUUUGAUAUUUGGUAUACUGUUUUAUCAUGACAAGUAACAGUCAAGUUUGAAUUUUGUUCUGGUCUUAUAAUUUAUGCAGAGUUAGGGUCCUUGGACUUUCUGUGAUCAUCUGUAUAAUAGACAUUCCAUAACAAUCAAACAACUCUUGAUGGUGUCCCUGAUAUCUAUGAACUUUGCCACUUAGAACUCUUGGUUUAAUUGCUUUCUUACAAGCAGCAACCCUCUAUAAAGGAAAUCAUGAUGAUAAAUGCAAGCUUUGGAAUAUCGAAGCAACUGGGAGAUAUACAAUGUAUCUUUCAAAUGCAUUACAAUGCUGGAAUGUUGCUCUUAGAAAUAAAAUUGAAUACUUUUUGGAGAAGACAUCAUCUAUGUAACGGAACAUGCAGUUAAGGAUAAAGGUGCUUUUCUCUAUUCUUCCUAAGAUAUUCUUGUAUAAGUUUCAUAUGUGUAAAGGAAUGAAGAGGAGCACAGUAGUUUUCUAUGAGAAAGCCAAUAGUUUGUUGAAAACAUGUCCUUCAAACAAGACAAAUAUGCUGGCAAUUAAUAAAUCAAGCAUCUUGAUGGAGUCCGUUUCAAAAACAAUUGUUUAAAUCAGACAUUUUUUUUCUCAAAGUUCAAUUUUUCACUUCCUAAAACAAGAUCUGUAAGGGUAAGUAGUUUUAUAACUAAAGUACGAUUCAUUUAGUCAUAUAUCAACCUCACUUCAACUCUUUAUUUCCUUUGAGUGUAAAAACAUCGAUGUGAAAUGCUUCUAAAGAAAUUCCUGCAGGUGGAAUAAUACUUCCUCAAUAAAUCCUUAUAUUCUUGAUAUUUAGAAAAGUUUCAGAUAAGUAAUCCCUAAUGUAAAACUUUUUAUUUUUAUGAAUCUUGCAUUCAUUGAAAUCUGCGACAUCACUGCAAUUAAAUUAAACAUAGAAGCAAUUUCGAAAUGUACAAUUAUGUAAUAGAAAAAUAAACAACAGGAGUCGGUUUCACAAAAAAACUAACGAAUCUUAAUCGUAAGUCAUGAAUAAUUCAGUAUACUUACAAUUGAUCUUAGUCGUAAGGUUUUCUGUGAAACCGACUCCAGAAUACCACAUAUUAGAGGGAAUUGACAAUUGAAAAGGAAAAGGGAUCUAGUCUGUAAUAAGAUUGUGUAUGAGAAAUUCUUAUUGAAUACUUUUAGUCUUCAUAAAGGAACAAAUAUCAUCAAUUUAUUACAGGAGUGCACACACUGAAAUGAUUUGCCUGCUUUACUUAUCAUGAUUGAACUUAUGUCGAAAAUCUGUAAAAAGAAGGUUUUACUACAAAUAUUGAAUAAAUCUAGCAUCAGUGAUCAAAGUAGAUGUAGUGAAGGUCAACGGAACCUGCCAGACAGACAUGUACACCUUUGAAUCAUACUGAACACAGAAAGUUAACCGAUCGAUUAUAGUAUCUGAGAAACAGACCAUAACCACCAUGCAAUAAUUCCACAUGAGAAACAAACAAAAGUAUGAAAAAAUGCCCAACACUAACAUUUGUUCAAUGAACCAUGAAAUGAGGUCAAGGUCACUUGAGCCCUUUUAGACUGACGUUUAUACAUUAAAAUCAUUCCAUUUACCAAAUAAUGUUAUAGUUUUUGCUAAACAGAUAAAGCCAUGAAAACUAACAAUUGACAAAUGAACUAUGAAAAUGAGGUCAAGGUCAAUCGAACCCUGCCAGAAAGACAUGUACGCCGUACAAUCGUUUCAUAUUCAAAAUAUAAUUAUGACUAUAAAGUCUGACAAAUAGACCAAUUCAGAAAAAACAAACAUAACACUGACAAAUGAACCCUGAAAAUGAGGUCAAUAUGAAUAAGAAGAUGAGGUAUGAGUUACAAUGAGACAACUCUCCAUCCAAGUACAAUGUAUAAAGGUUAACAAGUUAUAUGAAAUCUGCCAAACAAACAUUUACAUUUUACAAUCAUUCCAUGGUUGCAUUGUUGCUUACAGUAUCUAAGAUACGGACUUAGCCACAAACAUUUUACCCGUCCUGUAUCACUGAUCCAUGAAAAAAGGUCGAUGUCUGGUCAACCCUAUCUGUCAGACAUAUAGACAUUGCAAUGAACCAAAUGUAGGCAUCAUGUUACCCAUAAUAAGCGAAUAUUUUACCUUAGCUGUAUUUGGCAUAACUUUUAGGAAUUUUGGUCCUUAAUGCUCUUCAACUCGUACUUUAUUUGCCUUUAACUUUUUGGAUCGAGCGUCACUGAUGAGUCUUUGUAGACGAAACGCGGUCUGGCGUAUAUACAAAAUUUAGUCCUGGUAUCUAUGAUGGGUUUAUUUAUAUAACAAAAAAAGUAAGUAAAUUUCAAGCAGUCGCUCUAUCUGUUAUUUAUCAAAAUACAUGCCUUUAAUCAGGAAGGUGGUUACCUGACAUUAUGUCAGAUGGUGACAGGGAUCUGAUGGACCAAGAAGCUACGGUAUAUGGGUUUUAACUUCUGUAUUCUUGUAAUUAACAGACACUUUUUAACAACACUUUAACAGUUAGCUAUACUUUUAAAUUGUAAAAUAAUAUUUAAGGUAGGUUGUUUUCUAUCUGGGUUAAAACACUGAGGUUUUAAGGGUCAAAACCAGAACCCCACCCCACUACAUUAGUAGGCAGUCAUUCUUAAUUGAAUCGUAAAGAUAACCUGCCAAUCGGAUGUGGUUAUGUAUCAAACGUGUAAACUGAACAGUUGAACUAACCAAAGAGCUGUCGUAAGGGAUGUAAACUUGACAGGAAUAAGUCCGCCAGUUAGUUAUGUUUGGUGUGAAAUCUUGACCACAUCCAUAUGACCUGUAAGGUUUGUUUUUAUCUAUAGAACGUCAGGUUCAAUAUAAAAUUAAAAUUCACAUAUUUAAAUAAUUAUAUUCGUAAUGUGGGAUAUUAGAGUUGUUGUACAAAAGCACGUUUACAAAGAAUUUAGUUAUAAUGUUGUUUUGCCAAUUUCUUAGAAAGUUCGCUCAAACUUUACACCUAAAGGGACAUGAUAUGCAAAUUCAAAUGCAUGUUCACCGAUUUGACUCAAAUUCUUAUAUUUGAUUUAUAACAUACUUAAACGUAUAUCAAAAUUCUAAAAAGUCUAAGAUAAACAAUUUACUACCAAAUACUACCUACAGUAAAAUAACCCUAUAUUAACAUAAGUAUAGAUAGUGAAAACGUGCAAAUUUUCUAGGUCUGUUUGAUUUCAGAUUAUAGAUUAAAAACUAUGUUAAUAAUUUAUCUGUAUAUUAAGAAUGAUUUUUUUUAUCGAAUCAGUAAACCAAAUGAUUUACGCUGGUUUUACUAUCAAAGUUGACAUUCGUAUCUUUUGAUAGCUGACACGUCAAAUGUAUGCGUAACCCAUCCCUAUUCUAAGGGGUUAAAUUGCAGGUCACAUGAUUGUUUCAAUCUGGUCAAAUAAUUCACUUAAAGUAAAUAAUUCAUCAGCGAUGCCUUUUUUUCUUAUAUUGAUAAAAUUUAACUUUUAAUAAUGAAUCAUUAUGAUGGAACUUUUUUUUUAUCUCGUAGCAAAUGCCCUCUUAUAAUUGAUAUUCUACACCACUUACGUUUGUGGAGUUUUUGUCUUGUUAUGAAAAGGUUAAACUUUUAUAAAUCUUAACAGUGUUCGAACCAAGAAUUAUAAUCAUUGAUACAAAUCAUAAUAAAGUAAUCAAUAUGAUUUUUAUAAAUGAUUGAAAUAUUUUUUCGAAGCUACCAGUUAAAAUCACAAACCCGAUAGCUGUGAAUUCAUUUAUUUUCGUGAAUAUUUAAUUUCGUGGCUUUGCUAAAGUUUACAUACAACCUUAAAGACAAGUUGUUGAACAUCAAAUUUGUGGUUCACAUGAAAGCUUGAAAUCCACGAAAGUUGGUAUCCAACGUAUAAUACUAAAUCCAAAGGCGAUAAAAAAAAAAUACAAAACAAAGAGAAAUAUUACAACCAAAGGCAGUCAAAUUACACUUCAAUGAUUACUAUGAUUGCAAGUGAACAGAUUUUGAUAUAAUCUGUUAAUUAGCCGUAUAUUUGUUAAUGUUAUAUAUUUACAAUAGUAAAUAAAGGAUUGUCACAGUUAGCACCCUUUAUUUCGUCUCAUUGAAUAUUUUUUGUGCAUACAAAAUGUAAGAAAUUUUAUAGCUAACUGAACAUAAUAAGGAUAAAGAAUAUAAAAACAGUGAUAUGCAAAUGAAAACAAAAAAAGUUGGCUCUUCAUACAGGUUUAUAUUGCAAAUUGUAAAAUGUUAAAAGACCGGUGAAGUAUGAAGUUUUCAUUGCAAUAAAAGGCAUAGAUUUCCAUUUAUAGUGUUGUACUCAUACCUAAUGAAGGUUAACUGAAGGGACGAGUACCAACCUUUCCUAGACAAUGGUAGACAGUGGCGUCCUCCCCGAUGGACUGUGGUAUCCACAGCCCUGAAGGAGUAAAACAUCUGUACUGUCAUAGCCAUUUUGAAUGUCUGUCAUAUUGAUAUUUCUCAUGUGGAUGGGAAACAGUCGUAUACAGAGGACUCACUGGGAGAGGAGUAUUGGGGAAUGGGUAUAAGGUUAGCUGGUUAGGGGGUUAGGGUUAGGGGGUUAUGGGUUAGGGUUAGGGUUAGGGAAAGCGAAUGUGAGAGAGAGCAAGAGCGAGUGUGAGAGAGAGCAAGAGCGAGUGUGAGAGAAAGUGUGUGUGUGUGUGUGAGAAAAAGUCUGAGUGAGAGAGUGAGAAUGAGCAAGCGAGAGUGAGAGAAGAAGUGAGAGAGACAAGGUGUGAGAGACAGAGUGAGUGUGUGAGAGAGAGUGCGGGUGAAAUAUAGACAGCGAGUGUGAAAGACAGCGAGUGCGUGAGAGACAUGUGUAUGUGUGAGAGAGAGAGACGGAGUGUGUGAGAGAGAUGAAGUGAAUGAGAGGGAAAGUGAGAGAGAAAAUAAUUACUUUUGGUAAAGUAUUACGAAAAAAGCAAUCCUUCAUGUAAUCGAUUACAUUUAAGAGUAAUCGUGCCAAUCCAUGGCAUGCCGGGUAAAACAUGCAAAGCAGGUAACGUUUAUUGUAUUGAUGCAAUCGAUCUCGAUUAUUUUGAAGAAAAGACGAUUCCCUCAUUUUUCUAUUCUACAUGUGCACCCCGUAAAAAUUUCAACACGUUAAAGCUGAAGUACUUUAGUAAUAAUAACAGAAUCCAAUCGAAUUAUGUAAGUUCAAUAAAGAAUAGGCCACAUAGUUAUAAAUAAUAAGGGUAAAUUAGGAAAAAAUCAUUAGUGUAUUUUGUUAAUCAUGUUCAAAUAAACAAUUGUCAAAUAAACGUUUCGUUAGGAUUACAAACAUAUAUAUGACUUCACGUUAAUAUGUCAUAUUUUGAUUGGCUUAUACGGAGGAAAUAAUUUACUCUAUCAUCCACUCAGCUAUGUGUUAAAUAUAAUGUUUACUUAUUGCCUGGAUAUAUAAUUUUGUUAUGUCCCUUGUUUGCAUUUUUAAAUGAAUAAAAAAUAUAUUGACUUUGUACAGCUAAUUCACCCUAUUAAAAUGUUUCCUUGAAAGCAAAGAAUACUCAAAUACUUAAGAAAUUAGAAGUUAGAAUGAUACAUUGACAUUGAAUUCCUUUACAAAAUCUAAUCACACACUUUUAGUUACCCGCGUUAAACUAAUAGCCAAAAAGUAUGAAUUGAAAUUACAGAAAGACCUUUACUGGUUGUUGUCAGAAAUCCUGACUCCUUUUUGAAAUACAUGUUAUCCUUCAUCCUUCUAAACAUCACUUACAUUCAAAUGCCAAAGAGGAAAAUACUCUCUAUUGUCACGGUGUGCAAUCCAUGUCAUUCAAUGACCUCAACUGGUCGUUUUUCUCAUGUCUGUGAUGUAUGAAUCAAUUUUGUUGAAAGUAAUCUUAGGCCGUGUUCACAUUUACCUAAACUCGGUGAUGUGUUAGUGUAACUCACAUUGAUAAAACCAGUCUAUAGUCAAUGUAGGCCUUGUGUGGGUUAAGUGUACACAAAACUAGGCAUUUAGAACAUUUAUUUUACCAUGUAUAUUUAAGGAAGAAACGAUAUUUAUAACAAUUAUUAAUAAAGUUCUUUACAGAAAUAUGUUUCUAAACUUGAUAUAUUAGUUUGUAAUAAAAAAAAAAACCUUAAGGUAGUAGCUUUAUUAACCCCUUAUCAAGACUCAAAGUAUCAUCAUUGCCGAACACAUAAUUCAUUUGAAAAGCAGGGGGAUCCAGGGGCGGGUUUCUGCGGGUUGGAACCACCUUUUUGGGGGGAUAACCAAUGCAUUUGAAUCGGGACGUAUAGUUGGAACCCACCUUUUGUCGUGGGUUGGGAAACCCCCUUUUAUAAACGGCUGGAUCCGCCCCUGAAAAGGUCUUCCCGAAUCGACUGGACGUACAUUGAAAUAUUUGCCACUGGCCUUUACAAAAUCUAAUCACACACUUUAAGUUAUACCCGCGUUAAACUAAUAGCCAAAAAGUAUGAAUUGAAAUUACAGAAAGACCUCUACUGUUUGUUGUCAAAAAUCCUGACUCCUUUUUGAAAUACAUGUUAUCCUUCAUCCUUCUAAACAUCACUUACACUCAAAUUACAAUAAGAAAAAUACUCUCUAUUGUCAACCACACGGUGUGCAAUCCAUGUCAUUCAAUGACCUCAACUGGUCGUUUUUCUCAUGUCUGUGAUGUAUGAAUCAAUUUUGUUGAAGGUAAUCUUAGGCCGUGUUCACAUUUACCUAAACUCGGUGUUGUGUUAGUGUAACUCACACGUAAACUAAACCAAACAUACGUUCCAUUAAUAAAACUCAAUGUUUACAUGUAGUGUAAAUUAUGUUUUGUCUACAUGCAGUCGAUAGUCAAUGUAGGCCUUGUGUGGGUUAAGUGUACACAAAACUAGGCAUUUAGAACAUUAAUUUUACCAUGUAUAUUUAAGGAAGAAACGAUAUUUUAACAAUUAUUAAUAAAGUUCUUUACAGAAAUAUUUUUCUAAACUGUAUAUAUUAAUUUGUAAUACAAAAAACCUUAAGGUAGCUUUAUAAACCCCUUAUCAAGACUCAAAGUAUCAUUAUUGCCGAACACAUAAUUCAUUUGAAAAGCAGGGGGGUCCAGGGGGCGGGUCAUAUAGUUGGAACCCACCUUUUGACGUGGGUUGGGACACCCCCUUUUAAAAACGGCUGGAUCCGCCCCUGAAAAGGUCUUCCCGAAUCGACUGGACGUUUAUUGAAAUAUUUGCCACUGGUCUUUACUCAAACAACGAUUCACUCAUAAAUGCAAUACUAAAAAAGUGUGAGGUAAAUUUUAUUGUUUGUCUUGUAUCUCAGAUCCAUUCAAAUACACUCCAUUUUUUCUCGUGUAUCUAGCCACCAGUUUAUCAUGUGGUUCAUAGUUCUUGUUAUCAAACCCGUAUUUAAUUUCUUCGAUCUGUGUAAUAAUUCCUGAUGAGAAAUCUGAUGUUCCAAAACAAAUAUGUUAAUGUCUUCUUUAAUAAUUGCAUUACACUCACUCAUCUACCAACUAGUGCCCGAGAUUUGUUAAAUGCUGUGUAUACUCCAUGACAUGAAGAACAAAGUAAACUAUGUUAUGGGAGGCAUGAACCUUUAGUUAGGAAACAAUUCAUCUGCUGGAUCUACUCGUUUUCUUCAUGUUAUGAUAUUGUAAUUAUUGUAUUUAUGUUGGCCUGAUUUGUGUUGUGUGGCCUGAUAGUUGUUUACAACAGAAAUCCCGGACGAGCCCCCAAUUUCUGUUACGGCCAGAAAUUACCUUUAAAUUGUAGCCAACAAAAGACACAAAUCAAUAAUAAAAUUGAACAAUAUUUAUUAUACAAAAGUUUACAAGAAGUAUUACACAAAUAUUACUGUCAACUUAACUGUCAAAAUAUGAGUCCAAUCUUUUAUCUUUAUCUAUAUCCGGAAAUCUUUCGGAAUCCAAUCUGAAUAUUACGUUCACUUCUAAUGUCACAAUCCAGUAUGAUGUUGUUUGCAGAAUAAAAAUGUCAAUCCAAAUGCUAUGAAUAUUAAUGUCUAUCGAUGUCUAAGUCCAAAUCCAAGAGUGAGUUUAACUUUAGUGUCUGUAUAUAUAUAGUUGUCAUGGAUGAUUCUAGAACAGUCUAUAAUGGAACAUCCUAGGAAGUUACAACAGAAGUUUCUAGUAAAAUGUAGAAGUUUAUAUAACGCAUCUUUUAUUAGGAUCAUUCUGGAAAAUUCCAAUCAUUCUGUAAUUGUUCCAGUGAUUUCUAAACUGCACAGUUCUAAGAUUAUUCUGUAAACAACUAUCAGGCCACACAACACAAAUCAGGCCAACAUAAAUACAAUAAUUACAAUAUCAUAACAUUCAAACAACUUAUUUUUUUUCUCUGGUAGAUAAUAAUCAUUUUUAGGUAUUGGAUGACCUCCUGGUAAAAAAAAGGCAAUUGUUCUGUGUAACGGUCAUCAUUCUAAACCCUUUUCUAUAUACGACUCUGCUUUUUCAAUAUCACAGUGACAAACACUUUCAUUAUCAGCUGCUAACAGAUAAAGGUCUGAAUUUAUAUCCUCUAGAUUCUUUAUAUUUGAAGAGAUCUCGACCUUACGUGUUGGGAUAUGUCUUUUAUCUGCAGGAUUGAAGGUUUCCAUGCUCCCGUCGUCCAUUUUUAUCAAAGAUCUCAUAAAUGUCCAACAUUUUGUUCCAUCAACAACUGUGAAAAUAUCUUCAAUAUUUAUAUCCGGUUUCUUGUUCAACAUUUUGGCCUAGACUAAGUCCCAACACAUAUCUACAGUUAUAAAUGCAUCUGCUGUUGCAUACUCUUUCUGUUCUUUGCCAGCUUCCAAGUUUCCAUAUUUUAUAUAUUUACUUUCGAACAAUAUUCUAAAUAAUCUGAGUUUGGCACUGUUAUUCUUAUUACGACAGGUGUGUAAUCCUCUGACUCUUUUAAUGACAUUUUUUAAAUCUACAAAUCCUGUAAAUACAUUGUGUGCUAGUCCAUAAUCAAGGUAAAUUUUGUGUCAUCUUUAUACACAGCAUCUCUCACUUUUAGUAUGCUUAUAUCUGCAAUUGGGUAAAAAUCCAUUCGAUACAAACGAAUCAAUGCACUGUGUCUACUUUGUAUAGUUAGUUGUGACAAAGCAACAUGAAACCUCCUACCACUUAAACAUUUUCGAGUUUGCAUUCUUGUCAAAAUUUAUAAAACUUUUGUAAUAUUUAACUGUGACUAUAAAACAUAUUUUGUUUUGUUUUAUGAUGGUUUAGACAUUUCAGUUUCUUUAGGUUUAAAGUAAUUACCAUGUCAGAACUAACAAGUUAUCACUAAACCGACUGUGUUCAUUGUAGUUUUAGCUCAUAAACUCAUAAAUAUACAAAAGUUUCAGUAUUUUACAUAUUUUCUCAUGGGUGCAUAAUUCUAAGCAAAUAAUACACAGAUACAUUACAAAUCUCUUCUAGUAUGUCAUAUUGAUUAGAUCAACACUAUUGUCAUAAAUUGUGUGUAAAUGAAACAUGGUCAUCGUAAUAAAACAAAAUAGCAUCAGUUCUGCAAACUUCAUACGUUUCAGAUUCAUCACCCAUCAACUGCUUGUUUAUGGAAAAUAUAUUCAAACACAUCAUUGCCAUAUAUAACAACUCGUUUUUCGUAAGACCUACACUACAGAACACACUGAAAUUUGGUAUCAUUAUUUAAGAGAACAUGCUAUACGUGUGAUGCAUUUUCACACUCAUUGCUCAUCAACGUCCUGUUCAUCAGAUACAUAAAGUGCAAGUAGCACUUGUGAGCAAAAUCUCAUACUAUAAAUUGUUCUUUCUGACUUGUGAUGUUCUGUUCUGUUCCCUUCUUUUCUGUCUUUUUUUACUGGUUUAGUUUGAUUUUUAUUUGUUCUUUUCCAAAGCUCAUUAUGUUUUUGAAAUCAUGGACACCUGAUGUUUAAAAGUUUAGAAAAAAAGGUUCUUAGAGAAUUUAUCAGAAACGAAGUAAAGUCCACAUAAGCAUUCGGCAAUCCUCGGUAGAAUCCUCUACUCUCGCUAGAUGAGGAUACUGAAUCGACCGAGAUGUGACGAAUGUCCAGAUAAGCUGUCAAUCUGAAUUUUACGACAUCCAAUAUGUUGGUAUUUGAAAUCAAUGAAGAAUCUAAAUUAUCUUUUGUCUGAAUGUCGUCGUCUGUUCAAUAAACAUCACAAAAUUUAUAGCUUUGCAGUAAGUUUUAUUUUUGUUUAAUGCAAGUGAGGCCGUAAAACGUCUAGAUUAUAUGAUUUCCUUCCUGGUAAAUAUAAGUUACCUCCGGUCAUAAAUACUUGUUCGAUUAUGUCAGUACGAAUCAGGACAGAUAAUCAUACUCAUAACCUUUAGAGACUGGAGUAAAACAUAUAAUUGUGUGUCUAUGACUAAAUUAAAAACAUGUUUUGCUCAUGUCAAGGGCUUGCGUGUUUCUGGUCAUGAGCCAAUAGGAAAAUGUAUGCCAAAGACUGCAAAUAUAAAUUUUAUUUUCAAAUUGAAGAACUACAAUCUUUAUCUAAGGAAUUGCGAACUCAAAUGUUAGAAAUUGAGCUACUCGGCCUAUUUUAGAAAUAUGUUAUUUCCAGUAUGACCUGUGACCCAUUCAAAGCCUAUUUGUCGCUAUUGAUGUAUUGGAGGAUUUUAAAAUGCAAACACUUCAUAAAAGUUGACAACAUACUAUGUUGUGCAAUUUACACGUUAAGUGUACCGACCGUGCGAGGGCUGUAUAGCCAGUCAAGGUCGUUAAAAACUUCCAUCCCCAUCGUGAAGUUUACAUCAUAUACAAUGUUUGGUUUUAAAGUAAAUGAAAAUUCCACUUUGGCACUCAAUAUGUCUUCAAUUAUUUCUAACUACCUCGGAAAUCUUACCACUCAAAAUGUCUCUAAAGAUGCUUAAACAACGUCGAUAAAAGGAAGAUUGUGAACGCAUCGUAAAUAAAAUACAGGUCAACCACGGACUAGGAAACGUAUGACAAAUAUUCAGGUUUAUUGAUUAAAUUACAUAACAUCAAAUUAGAAAAACAAGAUGGAGUUUCUUACUUAAUGAACUAAUCCCCGAACUUAAUCGUGCAUUAAAGUUCCGGAAUCUUUCAGAUACAAUAUUACGAUUUGUACGCUUUUCUGGGUUUUUUACUGAAUUAAACAGAAUUGAGCAAAUUAAAUGGAAUACUUGAUAGUUCGAACGUAACGCUUGGUAUCAUUCUUGAAUAUGAUGUAUGUCUUAAAUGUAUAGAUCCGAUAGAGUUGUCUAAUUACGCUGCCCGAAUCUGACAAGUGCACGUUACGUUGUAGUGGUCUUAUGAGCCGGUGGGGAUACGCACUAUAACCCGGAAUACAAAUCUGGGAAAUACAUCACGAUUUCCAUAAAUUUUAGGUUAAGCUAAUGGAUACAAUUUCUUGUUAUUGACGACAGAUGUAUGACAUUAACGCUAAACUGUUCUUGUCCGUAAAUUAGGCUUAAAUUUUCAUCGACUGCACAAUUUUCAAUCUCAAGAAAUUGCCCCUACGACAAAAGAUUGUUCAAAUCUGUAUUAUGUUGCUAUAAAUCACGACCGCAUAAGAUUGGUCAUUUGUUGGACCAUUAGACAUUCGGCAGAGAGCAAUCAAUAAAAAUUACAAUUCUGUUUUAUUGGGUUAUAUAAUUAACGACAUCAGAAAUUUUGCUCAUUUCGUUCCUUUUAAAUGAACAUUUUAUUCAUUUACGUUUUAUUAUAUAGACGACAUUGAUGGAGUUUUAUGUUUUCAAUGUUCAGCUGCAAAUAUUAAAAAAGCAGUUAAUGAAACAGAAAGUAUAAAUGAUUAUUAAUCGAAAUGUAGAAUUUAAUGUCACUAAUCUGGAAAUGAAAAAUGCCUUAAAGAGUUACUAAUACGCGUGUUACUUCAUAUUAACUCAAAACGCGAUGGUUAUAUUGCGAACAGUUUAGGUUGAAAAAUAACUUUUACAAUAUAAGGAUAAUACCUGAACAAACACACAGUCAUUUGAAACUAAGAUAUGUUUUGAAUCUUCAACUGCCUCAAAAACAUCGGAAAACUGAAACUUCCAGCAACUGAAUAGCAAGAAGACAUGAAAUCGUCACAAGGCUUCAUAAGAAUAAUAGAAUGAACGCUUUACAAGGCUACAUAAGAAUAACAGAAUGAACGCUUUACAAGGCUACAUAAGAAUACAGAAUGAACGCUUUACAAGGCUACACCAGAAUAAAGAAUGAACGCUUUACAAGGCUACAUAAGAAUAAAGAAUGAACGCUUUACAAGGCUUCAUCAGAAUAAUAGAAUGAUCGCUUUACAAGGCUACAUAAGAAUAAAAGAAUGAACGUUUUACAAGGCUACAUAAGAAUAAAGAAUGAACGCUUUACAAGGCUACACAAGAAUAAAAGAAUGAACGCGUUACAAGGCUUCAUCAGAGUUAUAGAAUGAACGCUUUACAAGGCUACAUAAGAAUAAAAGAAUGAACGAUUUACAAGGCUACACAAGAAUAACAGAAUGAAAUUUUUACAGCGUUUCAUUAGAAUAAUAGAAUUAACGUUUUACAAGGCUUCAUAAGAAUAAUAAGAUGAAACCUUUACAAGGAUACAUUAGAAUAAUAGAAUGAACGCUUUACAAGGCUACAUAAGAAUAAUAUAAUGAAUUAACGCUUUACAAGGAUACGUAAGAAUAAAAGAAUGAACGCUUUACAAGGAUACAUAAGGAUAAUAGAAUAAAAUCUUUACAAGGAUACAUAAGAAUGAUAAGAUGAAACCUUUACAAGGAUACGUAAGAAUAAAAGAAUGAACGCUUUACAAGGAUACAUUUAAGGAUAAUAGAAUGAAACCUUUACAAGGAUACGUAAGAAUAAAAGAAUGAACGCUUUACAAGGAUACAUAAGGAUAAUAGAAUAAAAUCUUUACAAGGAUACAUAAGAAUAAUAAGAUGAAACCUUUACAAGGAUACGUAAGAAUUAAAGAAUGAACGCUUUACAAGGAUACGUAAGAAUUAAAGAAUGAACGCUUUACAAGGAUACAUAAGGAUAAUAGAAUGAAACCUUUACAAGGAUACGUAAAAAUAAAAGAAUGAACGCUAUACAACGAUACAUAAAGAUAAUAGAAUAAAAUCUUUACAAGGCUACAUAAGAAUAAUAGAAUGAAAUCUUUACAAGGCUACCAAAGAAUAAUAAGAUAUAAUCUUUACAAUAAUAUUAUGAAAUCUUUACAAGGAUACACAAGAUUGAUAGAAUGAAACCUUUGCAAGGUUACAUUAGGAUAAUAGAAUGGAAUCUUUACAAGGCUACAUAAGGGAUAAUAAGAUAAAAUAUUUUACAAUAAUAUUAUGAAAUCUUUACAAGGAUACACAAGAUUAAUAGAAUGAAAUCUUUGCAAGGAUACAUAAGGAUAAUAGAAUGAAAUCUUUACAAGGCUACAUAAGGAUAAUAAAAUAAAAUCUUUACAAUAAUAUUAUGAAAUCUUUACAAGGAUACACAAGAUUAAUAGAAUGAAAUCUUUGCAAGGAUACAUAAGGAUAAUAGAAUGAAAUCUUUACAAGGCUACAUAAGAAUAAUAAAAUAAAAUCUUUACAAUAAUAUUAUGAAAUCUUUACAAGGACACACAAGAUUAAUAGAAUGAAAUCUUUACAAGGCUACAUAAGGAUAAUAGAAUGAAAUCUUUGCAAGGCUACAUAAGGAUAAUAGAAUGAAAUCUUUACAAGGUUACAUAAGGAUAAUACGAUAAAAUCUUUACAAGGAUACGUAAGAAUAAUAUUAUGAAAUCUUUACAAGGAUACAUAAGAUUAAUAUAAUGAAACCUUUACAAGGAUACAUGGAGAAAAAACUCAGAAGACAAUAUUUCAAAAAGCUUUUAUUAAUAAUAAGCAGGAUACAAUCCCUCUACAUGCCGAUGUAGCUUGUUUGUGCACUAUUUAUCUUACAUUACUUAACUCAUAUAUAUUAAAACAUUUUUUUUUAAAUUUUCAAAUAACUUUAAAUAUUGUUCCUCAGUUUUAACUUUAAGAAAAAGUAAAAUCACAAAAAUACUAAACUCGCAGGACGGAAAAAUUAAAACGGAUAGUCCUAAGUCAAAAGAUAAAAUCAAAAUCUCACAUGCAUCAAACGAAUAGAUAACAAAUGUUAUGUUCCUGACUUGGUACAUGCGUUUUCUUAUGUAGAAAAUGAUGAAGAAAAAUCUGGUUUUAAAGCUAGCAAAACCUCCCAAUUGUAUGAAAACCGUUUAUAACUCUAUAUUUAUAAUUUUCUUACAGGCCAAUUUUAACCAAUGUUUUAAAUUCUAUAUAAUAGUGAGACAUGACGUUCCGAAAAUAAUGUAAUCAUAGUGUGUAUCUCAUUAACCUUUCAAUUGUGUAAAUUUUGGCUUACAAUUGUCAAAAUAUAUUUAUCAACAGUAAAAACUAACAUCAAUGGUAUACAACAACAUAAGACUGCAACCUACCAACCGCUAACAUGUUUAAAUCCGCCAUAUCAUGUAUGUAUGUUCCUGUCAUAAGUCAGGAGCCUGUAAUUCAGUGGUUGUCGUUUGUUGAUGUGUUACUUAUUUGGUUUUUGUUCUUUUUUUUGUACAUAAAUUAAGCUGUUAGUUUUCUCGUUUGAAUUGUUUCACAUUUGUCAUUUCCAGUGCUUUAUAUCUUUUAACUGUACAUGCUUCUGCAGACAACAAAGAUUUCCUGUCAAUUCAACAAACAAUUGCAGUUAAUGUAUCGUUUGGAAAUACGAUGACAUAAAAUAUAAUAAAUACAAUAAUUACACUGUGAAUAGGAAAUAUUAUUGGCAGGCAACGUACAAAAUGGCUACCAAAUAUGCAAUUAGCCGACAUAACAGGCUCAUUAACUAAUGUAAAUGGAUUUUUAAAAUAUUUGUAACAAAACCCUGGUGUGUCUUCCAUUUUUCAUACAAUGUUUUCAAUGGAUACUUAAUACAUGUUAAUAUAUAAUCAAACUUGCUUGCAAACAGUGAAUGUUUAACAAUAUUGAAUGAACACAUUUUUUUGGCAAAUAUUGUUCGAGACCCAUACGUAAGACGAGUUGAAAACUAAAUAUAAAUUUGACAAAACCAUUACUUCGGUUUCCGGUCCAGCAAAAUUGUAUCCGAUAUUAGACAGGGACAGCAAGUCGCUGAUUAUAUUGUGAUCAAAUAGCCUUAGCAUAAAGAUAUGAUUUAAGUAAACAAAGAAAGGGCUGGAAUUGUUUUUUUGAUUUAGUUCCAUUGUGGCAAAAUUCUACAGUACACGAAAUUAGGCGAUAUUUCGGAUUUUGAUGAAAUUUUCAAUACGCAGUUAGAAAGAACUACUCUUGAGAUAAAAUCAAAUAUCUGUAAGAAAGAACUGUAUAAAUGUAAGGGUCGUAGUAUUCGUGUUUGCUGUCUCAAUCACUUAAGUAGGAAUGAUGUAUUAAAAUAAAUGGAAAAAUACAAUUUCGUGCUUUUUGACAUAAUUUCCUCUCGCCGCAACAUAGCAUGAGUGUGUUGAUGCAGAAUUUAACAAUCCAGAACCUCUCGUUUCAUCUUAAAUAAAAAAAAAUGCUUGUUUCAAUAGAAUUGGUGACUCGUCGCUUUAAGAUUUAAGACUACGAACCUUUUCUUAUUUGGAUUUCUAGACAACAAAUAAGUAUGUCUUAACAUCUCGUGAGGAAUCACAGGCACUUGUCUCAGAAAAACAUUUUUUAUGUUCUUUAAUGUUCUAUUAAAGUAUAUAAGAAAUUUUUUUCUGAGACAAGUGCCUGUGUUAGGAAUGAAUGAAAAACGAAAAAAGACUUAAAAGCAGAUGAUCUUCAUAAAAAUAGAUAGAGUUCAAUGAAAUUGUCUCAAAUAGGCACAAAAUGUUGUAGACAAUCAUCAUGGCUACUUGAUGAGAUACUACCAAUGUAUAGUACAGUGGAGAUCACUUUUAACCCCUCAUUAGAACUGUCAGAAUAAUCUGUCAUAGAACUGUUCUAAACUGUCCUAGAACAGUUCUACACAGUUCUACCUAGAACUGUUCUAAGUAGAACUGUCAGGGUUUAACUUAGUUCUAGGGUAGAACUGUCAGGUUUAGUUCUAGGGUAGAACUGUCUAAAACUGUUUUCUUGAGUAGAACUUUCUAAAACUGUUCUAGGGUAAAACUGUCUAAAACUGUUCAGGUAGAACUGUCCAAAUCAGUUCUAGCCGUAGAACUGUGAGCAGAACUGGAUAGAACUGACUGAAUCAAUUCCAGCCGUAAAACUGACUGAAUCAAUUCCAGCCGUAGAACUGACAAAACAGUUCCAAUCGUAUAACUGUUCUAGUCGUAGAACUGUUCUAGUCAUAGAACUGUUCUAGCAGUAAAACGUUUCUAGUCGUAGAACUGUCUAAAACCGUUCUAAGGUAGAACUGUAAGGAUCAGUUCUAAGUCAGUUCUAGGUAGAACUAAACAAAUCUUUUCUAGGUUAGAACUGUUCUAGCUAGAGCUGUCUAAAAGGUGUCAGAAUGACAGUUAGAAACAUACUGUGCUAGAACAGUACUGACAUAUUCUAACAGAUUUGAUGAAAGGUUAGAAGUGAUCUCCACUGUACGUCACAUCCUGUUUCAUGUUAAAAUGGGAUACUAAUAAUCUCGUUGAAUUUUACAGUUGCAGGAAAUAAACCCUUAAAUUUAUUUCAGAUUUUUUAAUGUGAGAAAUAAUCAUAAAGUUUAGUCUUUUUUUUUUAUUUAAAAAAUAUUUUUGGAUCAUAAGGUUUCCUAGUAAUUAUUGAUUGAAAAAAGAAAGUUGAGAGAAAUGACCUGGUAUACUUCCAGAACUUCCAGAGAAGUUGACCUUCUUAUAUAUGUAAUAAAACGGGGGAGGAUAAAACUGUGUUUUUUAAAUUGAACCAAAUGUUAAUUAUACACAAAUAUUUGAAAAGUAUCAAUAAAUAAUAAUGAACAGUAUAGAAUUACCUCUUUAGAAUAGAUGUUAAAUUUGUACCAAAUUUUCUUCAUAUGUGUUUGGCAUUUCAUUCCUUUCACCAUUCACUAUAGUUUCUUUAUCUCUAAAAAUAUCUAUAAUUCAUAUGAUAAAUUCUUAAUUUUGUCAAAACCAUAUUACAAUGAUGCAGGAAGAAUAUGCUUUUCACAACGUAAUUAGAUUCUAAGUAAGCGAAGAGUGCUCAAAUACCAUGUAAGUGGCGGUUUAUUGUUUCAUUUUAUUUCUGUUCUAAAUAUACUGUUCCUAUGGAACUUCUCGAUUACAACUACCUUCAUAAUUGUACUAGUUUGUUUGGAAAUCUAAAUUCAUCAUUCGCCUAUUGUUAUGGAGUUAAAGUGUGGCUAUUUUCAGGCUCCGGCAAUGAAGUUUUUGAUGAAUCAAUUAUAAAACACUUUUAAAGAAACAAAUAGGUAAAAAGCUGCAAGAAAAUUAUAUUACUACCACAUAAUACUGAGCACGUCGCAUCCGGUUUCGUGUUUAAAUAGGACAAUAAUAGUAUCCUUGCAUUUUACAGUUGCAGAAAUUUUAAUGUGUGUGGAAACUAGUCUUUUUUUAUUUGGAUUUCCUAUAAAAAUUAUUUGAUUGUUAAUGAUAGGUGAUCAUGACUUUGAGUUUCAGAACUUCAAGAGAAGUUUGCGUUCUUAUAUAUUGAAUGAAACGAGGGAAGAAUAAAACUGUAUUUCUUUAAUCGAAACAAAUGUAAAUUAUACACAUUGUUUUAAAAUUGCCCAGAUAACAGAUAUCAAAAUGUGAAAUGGUACUUAUUACCCCUUAAGAAUAUAUGUUAAAAAAAUGUUUUGUUCUGUAAUUCAUGACUUAUUUUUACAAUUUUUGUUUGGCAUUUAGUUUCUUUCCCAAUUCACUAUAGUGUCUUUAUCUCUGAAAUAAAUAUCUAUAAUUCAAAUAAAAAAUUAUGAAUUUUGUUAAAAGCAUAUUACAAUGAUGCAACAAGAAGAUGCUUUACUCAACGUAAUUAGAUCCUACGUAAAAGAUGGACGAAAGAUUCCAGAGGGACAGUCAAACUCAUAAAUCGAAAAUAUACUGACAACGCCAUGGCUAAAAAUGAAAAGGACAAACAGACAAACAAUAGUACACAUGACACAACAUAGAAAACUAAAGAAUAAACAACACGAACCCCAUCAAAAAUUAGGGGUGAUCUCGGGUGCUCCGGAAAGGUAAGCAGAUCCUGCUCCACAUGUGUCACCCGUCGUGUUGUAUAUGAGAUAACAAAUCCGGUAAAUAGUCUAAUUCGGUAGGUCACAUUCAUGAAAGGGAAGGGGAUUGUAGUUACAACGUACGGAACAUAUCCGAUAUCAUUUAGGAAAUGGUUAUUCCAUAACGGUCAACCAACUCGUGAUGGCGUCCGUAAAAUUUACGAAGAGAUGAUUUUAACUUCACCAUUUGGAACUCUUCAGUUAAUAGCUUCCUUGUGAGCAACAACUCUCUAAAUAAGCGAAGAGUGCUCAAAUACCAUGUAAGUGGCGGUUUAUUGUUUUAUUUUAUGUCUGUUUUAAAUAUACUGUUCAUUAAGGACUUCUCGAUUACAACUACCUUCAUUAUUAAACUAGUUUGUCUGGAAAUCUAAAUUCAUCAUUCGCCUAUUGUUAUUGAGAUAUAGUGUUGCUAUUUUAGUUUCUGGCAAUGAAGUUUUUAAUGAGUCAAUUAUAAAACACUUUUAAAGAAACAAAUAGGUAAAAAGCUGCAUGAAUAAGUGUUUUUAAAACGACAUUAGCAUUAAUUCAUUGCUACAAACUGAAAAUUGUCAUCAAUAUACUAUACUGGCAAGUAUUUACAAACAUAUUAUCUUUGACUUCAUAUAUUUUAGGAAGAAAAUGGUAGCAUACUCAUACUUGCAGGGUAUAGAAGUCAUGUUCGAAUAAACUACUUGGACGAGGACUGGAACAUGUCUCGACAUAAUAAGAUAUGAUGAUUAAUCAGUGGAUUAUUCGCAGCUUGAAGAUUGGUAAAUACGAGUUGUUUUUUUUUUAUUUCGAUUUCCAGACAUCAAAUAAGUAUGUCUAAACCUCUCAUUACAGGGAUUCGUAAAAAAGAUAAAACCUCAAAACCAGAUACUCGUCAUAAAAAUAUAAUACUACCAAACUAUACUAAGUACGUCACAUCCGGUUUCAUGUUAAAAUAGGAUAAUAAAAGUCCCCUUGUAUUUUACAGUUGCAGAAAUUUUAAAGUUUAAAGAAACUAGUCUUUUCUUAUUUGGAGUUCCUAAAUAAAUAUUUUAUUUUAAAUGAUAGUUGAUCAUGACUUUGUUUACUUUCAGAUCUUCAAGAGAAGUUUUCUUUCUUAUUUAUACAAUGAAACGAGAGAAGAACAAAAUUGUAUUUCUUUAAUCGAAACAUUUCUGAAUUAUACACAUUAUUUUAAAAGUGCCAAUAUAACAAAGAUCAAAAGUUAUAAUGGUACUUAUUAUCCCUUACGAAUAUAUGUUAAAAGAAUAUUUUGUUCUGUAAUUCGUGACAAUUUUCACCCCUUUUCUAUGGCAUUUAAUUCCUAUCACCAUUCACUAUCGUGUCUUUCCUGAAAAAAUAUCAAUAAUUCAAAUAAUAAAUUCUAAAUUUUGUCAAAAGCAUAUUACGAUGAUGCAACAAGAAGAUGCUUUUCUCAACAUAAUUUGACUUUAAGUUAGCGAAGAGAGCUCAAAUACCAUGUAUGUGGCGGUUAAUUGUUUUGUUUAUUUCUGUUCUAAAUAUAUUGUUUAUUUGGGACUUCUCGAUUACAACUACAUUCAUAAUUAAACUAGUUUGUCUAGAAAUCUAAAUUCAUCAUUCGCAUAUUGUUAUAGAGAUAUAGUGUAGCUAUUUCAGGCUCCGGCAAUGAAGUUUUAAAUGAAACAAUUAUAAAUCAUUUUUAAAGAAUCAAAUUGUUUAAAAAAAUGCAUGAAAAGUAUAACUAAAGUGUUUUUUAAAAAAGGCAAUAGAAUUAAUUCAUUGCUACCAAUUGAAAAUUGUCAUCAAUAUACUACAAUUGCAAGUAUUUGCACACAUAUUAUAUUUCACUUCAUAUAUUUUAGGAAGAAAUGAUAGCAUAUCCAUAUUUGCAGUGUAUAGAAGUUAUGUUCGAAUAAACUACUUGGACGAGGACUGGAAAAUGUCUCGACAUAAUAAGAUAUGAUGAUUAAUCAGUGGAUCAUUCGCAGCUUGAAGAUUGGUAAAUACGAAUCUUUUCUUUUUAUUGGGUUUCCAGACAUCAAAUAAGUAUAUCUAAACAUCUCAUUACAGGAAUGCGUAAAAAAGACAAAAACUCAAGAGCAGAUACCCUUCAUAAAAAUAAAAUACUACCGAACUAUACUGAGUACGUCACAUCCGGUUUCGUGUUAAAAUAGGAUAAUAAAAGUCCCCUUGCAUUUUACAGUUGCAGAAAUGUUAAAGUGUAAAGAAACUAGUCUUUUUUUCUUAUUUGGAGUUACUAUAAAAAUAUUUGAUCUAACUGAUAGUUUAUCAUGACUUUGUUUACUUUCAGAACUUCAAGAGAAGUUCGCUCUCUUAUAUAUACGAUGAAACGAGAUAAGAAUAAAGCUGUAUUUUUUUAAUCGAGACAAAUGUAAAUUAUAGACAUUGUUUUAAAAUUCCCAAGAUAACAGAGAUCAAAAGGUGAAAUGGUACUUAUUACCCCUUAAGAAUAUAUGUUAAAAGAUUGUUUUAUUCUGUAAUUCAUGACAAAUGUCAACCAUCUUUGUUUGGCUAUCAAUUCCUAUCCCAAUUCAUUAUAGUGUCUCUAUCUCUGAAAAAUAUAUCUAUAAUUCAAAUGAAAAAUUCUAAAUUUUGUCAAAACCAUAUUACGAUGAUGCAACAAGAAGAUGCUUUUCUCGACAUACUAGUAAUUAGAUUCUAAGUAAGCGAAGAAUACUCAAGUACCAUGUAAGUGGCGGUUUAUUGUUUUAUUUUAUUUCUGUUCUAAAUAUAUUGCUCAUUUUGGGACUUUUCGAUUACAACUCCCUUCAUUAGUAAACUAGUUUGUCUUGAAAUCUAAAUUCAUUAUUCGCCUAUUAAUUGUUAUAGAGAUAUAGUGUAGCUAUUUUAGUCUACCGCAAUGAAGUUUUCAAUGAAUCAAUUAUAAAACACUUUUAAAAAAACAAAUUGGCAAAAAGCUGCAUGAAAAGUACAACUAACGUGUUUUGAAAAAAAAUAUUAGAAUCAAUUCAUUGCUACAAACUGAAACUUGUCAUUGAUAUACUAGUACUAUAAUGGCAAGUAUUUACAAAUAUAUUAUAUUUAACUGCAUAUAUUUUAGGAAGAAAGGGAUAGCAUACUCAUAAUUUGGAGGAUAAAGAAGGUAUGUUCUCUUGAACUGUUUGGACGAAGUAUGGACAAAUGUCUCUAAGGUAUAAAAUUUGCAAUAUUUAAAUAUAUAGAACAUUAAUUGUGUACUCCUUUAAUUUUGAAAGAAAGCAAAAGUGUUUUAAUUUUUAAAAUCAAAUUGUCGAGCUUAUAUGUUAAAAAUUCAAAAAGAACGUGUGUCCACAAGGGACCAAAUGAAGUAUCGAGUAAACUAUAUAUCACCGUACAGCCUAUAAGAAUGAGUUAAACACAUACCACAUAGCAUUGCUUGAUCAGUGAUUGUAGACUUGUAUAAACAGCCAGAGAAAGCAUAAUAUUGUGCAAUGCCAAAAUAUAAUUAUCAUAAUUUGUCUUCUUGUACUAUAUGUAUGUUGGCUUUUUAGUAUUAUUUGUUUUUAACAGUUAUUUAGUUUUUGUGUUACUGUCACUUUUAAAAUUAUGUCAGCUUAAUAUAAAAAUGUAGAAUGAUAUUGUCCCACUAACCGUUCUGUUAACUGUUUACCUUCUAGAACUUGUUAUCAUCAAAGUAAUCAUGAGUAAUAUUAUGGUUUCAAUAGUAUUCACUUGACUUUAAUAUCGUUUCAAAGGAUAUUGGUACAUAUCUUCGACGUUCUUGAAUCAGAAUAGUUCCCCUAUCAUUAUCAUCUGCAGCCCCAGUGACAUAUUACAAUUCAGGCUGAUUUAUUUUCCAAAUUCUCUUUUAUAACUGGUGUAGAACUCCUCCUAGCACUUUCGUAUUAGAGAACAGAUUUUCAUGACACAAUUGUCGUUAUCACAUGAUUACGGUUUAGCGGAACGCGUCUUUACGUGCAUUGGAUUUCUUGUAAUUUGAUUCGUUUUUUAACCAUUUUAAUUCAAAUGUAAUCAUAUAAACUCUCGAUGGAUAGGUUUCUCUUUGGCUGUUGGUUAUUUCAUUAUAUUCACGAAAUCGCUUAGGUCUUCCUUCACAAGUUACUUUGUAGCCGAUCCAUCAUCCAAGAUGGCCGCCAGCAGGGGACUUAGUUUAACAAAGGACCCUACGGGAAAUACAUACAAAUGUCUUCUUUUAGAGAACCACAGAAUGGAAUGAAACCAAACAUAGAAUGAAUGUGUCUUAUGAGAAACUGACCAAGUGUUGCUACUCUGUAGGUGGUCCUUCAUCCAAGAUGGCUGCCAGCGGGGGACUUAGUUUAACAUAGGACCCUAUGGGUAAUGCAUACAAUAGUCUGCUUAUAGAGAACCACAGAGUGGAAUGAAACUAUCGUAAAGUGGUUUUACUAAAACUGCAUAUGUAAUAAGAAAAACGUCUAACCAGUUAUCAAAGGUACCAGGAUUAUAAUUUAGUACGCCAGACGCACGUUUCUUCUACAUAAGACUCAUCAGUGACGCUCAUAUCAAAAUAUUUAUAAAAAAGUAUGAAGUUGACGAGCAUUGAGGAUCCAAAAUUCCAAAAAGUUGUGCCAAAUACUAAACUGAAUGAAUUUGUAUUGAUGACUGAAGUACAAGAUAACGUCAUAAUUAAACGACGUUGGAUAUACAAUAAAGCCGCGUUACGUAAACGUUCUCUUCUGUGUGUGAUUUCCAACAGAAACAAAACAUAGCAUGAACGUUCUUAUGAGGUGUUUAUCAUCCAAGAUCGACGCCAGCGAGGGACUUAGUUUUAAAUAGGAUCCUAUGGGAAAUACAUACACAUGUCUUCUUUUAGAGAACCACAGAAUGGAAUGCAAUAUUAAACCAAAUUUGGCCUCUAUAAUUAUUUUAGUAUCUGUUAUGAUUUUUAUCUUUUUUAUAUGGUUUCAAAAACCAAAGUAAAGUCAGGUGAGCGACACAGGCUCUUUCAAGAGAGCCUCUAGUUUUAAAAAGUGCCAAUAUAACAGAGAUUUUAAGGUGAAAUGGUACCUACUACCCCUUAAGAAUAUAUGUUAAAAGAUUGUUUUGUUCUGUAAUUCAUGACCAAUUUUUACCAUUUUUCUAUGGUAUUUAAUUCCUUUCACCAUUCUUUAUCGUGUCUUUAUCUCUGAAAAAAAUAUCUAUAAUUCAAUCAAAAAAUUCUUAAUUUUGUCAAAAGUAUAUUACGAUGAUGCAACAUCUCACCAUAAUUAGAUUCUAGGUAAGCGAAGAGUGCUCAAAUAUCAUGUAAGUGGCGGUUUAUUAUUUUAUUUUAUUUCUGUUCUAAAUAUACUGUUCAUUUGGGACUUCUCGAUUACAACUACCUUCAUGAUUAUCCUAGUUUGUCUGGAAAUCUAAAUUCAUCAUUCGACUAUUGUUAUAGAGAAAAAGUGUAGCUAUUUCAGGCUCCGGCAAUGAAGCUUUUGGUGAAUCAAUUAUAAAACACUUUUAAAGAAACAAAUGUGUAAAAAAACUGCAUGAAAAGUAUAACUAAAAUGUUUAAAAAAAAAAAACCAUUAGAAUUAUUCAUUGCUACAAACUGAAAAUUGUCAACGAUAUUCAAUAAUAGCAAGUUUUUACAAUUAUAUUAUAUUUCACUUCAUAUAUUCGAAGAAGAAAAUGAUAGCAUACUCAUAUUUGCAGCGUAUAGAAAUUGUGUUUGAUUAAACUACUUGGACGAGGACUGGAAAUUGUCUCGACAUAAUAAGGUAUGAUAAUUAAUCAGUGGAUAAUUCGUAACUAGAAGAUUGGUAAAUACGAAUCUUUUUUCUUUUUUUUUUUUGAUUUCCAGAUAUCAAAUAACUUUGUCUAAACAUCUCAUUACAGGGAUGCGUAAAAAACUCAAAAACUCAAAAGCAGAUACUCUUCAUAACAAUAUAAUACUUCCAAACUAUACUGAGUACGUCACAUCCAGUUUCAUGUUAACAGGACAAUAAUAGGCCCCUUUCAUUUUACAGUAGCAGAAUUGUUAAAGUAUUAAGAAACUAGUCUUUGUUUUAUUUGGAGUUCCUAUAGAAAAUAUUUGAUUUUUAAUGAUAGUUGAUCACGACUUUGUUUACUUUAAGGACUUCAAGAAAAGUUUACUUUCUUACAUAGACAAUGAAACGGGGGAAGAAAAAAACUGUAUGUCUUAAAUCGAACCAAAUGUAAAUUAUACAUAUUUUUUUUAAAGUGCCAAUAUAACAAAGAUCAACAGUUAAAAUGGUACUUAUAACCCCUUAAGCAUGUAUGUUAAAAUAUUGUUUUGUUCUGUAAUUCAUGACAAAUGUUUGCCAUAUUUGUUUGGCAUUUAAUUCCUUUCCCAAUUCACUAUUGUGUCUUUAUCUAUAAUUCAAAUGAAAAAUUCUAAAUUUUGUCAAAACCAUAUUACGAUGAUGCAACAAGAAGAUGCUUUUUCUCAACAUAAUUGAUUCUAAGUAAGCGAAGAGUGCUCAAAUACCAUGUAAGUGGUGGUUUAUUGUUUUAUUUUAUUUCUGUUCUCGAUAUACUUUUCAUUUGGGACUUCUCGAUUACAACUUUCUUCAUUAUUGAACUGGUUUGUCUGGAAAUCUAAAUUCAUCAUUCGCCUAUUGUUAUAGAGAUAAAGUGUAGCUAUUUUCAGGUUCAGGCAAUGAAGUUUUCAAUGAAUCAAUUAUAAAACAAUUUUAAAGAAACAAAUUGAUAAAAAGCUGCAUGAAAAGUAUAACUAAAGCGUUUUAAAAAAAAACACAUAUAAGAAUUAAUUCAUUGCUACAAACUGAAAAUUGUCAUCGGUAUUCCUUACUUCUAUAAUGUCAAGUAUAUACAGAUAUAUUCUUUAUUUUACAUCCUAUCAGUAGGAAGAAAAUGGUAGCAUACUCAUAUUUGCAGGGUAUAGAAGUUAUGUUCGAAUAAUAAACUACUUGGACGAGGACUGGAAAAUGUCUCGACAUAAUAAAAUAUGAAGAUUAAUCAGUGGAUUAUUCGUAGCUUGAGGAUUGGUAAAUACGAGUCUUUCUUUUAAUUUGGAUUUCCAGCCAUCAAAUAAGUAUGUUUAAACAUAUACUCAUUACAGGGAUGCGUAAAAUAGACAAAAAAUCACAAGCAGAUACUCUUCAUCAAAGUAUACUACUAAAUAAUACUGAGUACGUCACAUCCGGUUUCGUGUUAAAAUAGGUCAGUAAUAGCCACUUGCAUUUUACAGUUGCAGAAAUUUAAAGCGUAAAAAAACUAGUCUUUUUGUUAUUUGAAGUUCGCAUACAAUUAUUUGAUUUUAAAUGAUAAGUGGUCAUGACUUUGAGUUUCAGAACUUCAAGAGAAGAAUGCUUUUUUUAUAUGUACAAUGAAACGGGGAAGAAUAAAACUGUAUUUCUUUAAUCGAAACAAAUGUAAAUUAUACAUAUUGUUUUAAAAUUGCCAGGAUAACAGAGAUCAAAAGGUGAAAUGGUACUUAGUACCUCCUUAAGAAUAUAUGUUAAAGGAUUGUUUUGUUUUGUAAUUCAUGAUAAUUUGUACCAUUUUUCUAUGGCGUUUAAUUCCUUUCACCAUUCACUAUCGUGUCUUUAUCUCUGAAAAAUAUAUAUACAAUUCAAUUGAAAAUUUCUUAAUUUUGUCAAAACCAUAUUGCAACAAGAAUAUGCUUUUCUCAACAUAAUUACAUUCUAAGCAAGCGAAGAGUGCGCAAAUACCAUGUAAGUGGCGGUUUAUUGUGUUAUUUUAUUUCUGUUCUUUAUAUACUGUUCAUUUGGGACUUCUCGAUUACAACUACCGUCAUGAUUAAACUUGUUUGUCUGGAAAUCUAAAUUCAACAUUUGCCUAUUGUUAUAGAGAUAAAGAUUAGCUAUUUUCAGGCAGGCAAUGAAGUUUUCAAUGAAUCAGUUAUAAACACUUUUAAAGAAACAAAUUGAUAAAAAAAGCUGCAUGAACAGUAUAACUAAAGAGUUUUAAAAAUGACAUUAGAAUCAAUUCAUUGCUUCAAACUGAAAAUUGUCAUUGAUAUACAAUAAAGGCGAGUAUUAACAAAUAAAUUGUGAUAACUUCACAUUUCUUAGGAAAAAGGGAUAUCAAACUCAUAAUUUGUAGGGUAAAGAAGGUAUGUUAGUUUAUAAUUUAGGAAGAAAUGGAUAGCAUACUCAUAAUUUGCAGGGUAAAGAAGGUAUGUUCGCUCGAAAAAUUUGGACGAGGGAAUGGGCAAAUGUCUCGAAAUUACAAGAUAUGAUGAAAAUGCAAUAUUUAAAUAUAUACACAUGGAAAAAGUAUUGCAACACCAAAUUGAAAUUCAAAUUUAAAAAACACUCUUUAUUUUUUUGUGAUAUAAUUUGUUGAAAUUGAGCUAGUUAAACACUAUUUAAAUCUCACCUGAGUUUUAUCAAUAAAUAUCGACUCGAUAAAUUCUUAUCUGCUCAUGCAGCAACUGUGCUCGUAAACAAUAAAACAUGUUUUUAUCCUCAUUGUUUUCAACACUUUAAAUAAUCAAGUUUAUAAAGUUAUGUGAUUGACACCCUGUAAUUGGUCAUCCACAACUCUUAACUGCAGCAAGAUGGCAGAUUAUCAUCAUGAGAGAAGCAGGUAUAUCGCUGUGACAAUUGCACGUAUUGUUGGUCAUCACCAUUCCACUAUAAGUCGUUUUGAGAUUAAAAAUCAGACACAAACGAUGUUAAAGACCUUCCGAAAUCAAGGAGACCCCUAUCAUCUGCUAGGGAAAAUCAAGCAUAAUGAAGGUUGGUCAGAAGGAAACCCAUUGCAAACAAAUCAAUCAUAAAAAGAAAGUAGUGGCCAUACAUGAGCCUUUAAACAAGAACUGUUCGAGAUCGACUCAUUGCUACUGGGUAUCGUGCGAUUAGACCAUUUCGGGGGCCUUUGCUUACGAUCAGACACACAGUUGCCCGUAUCCAAUGUAGUGCAGAGCUCGCAAAAGUUAGGAAUUAGCAUCGUGGAGGAAAAUCCAUUGUUCCAAUGGAUUUAUGUUUAUCUUCCUUGGCUUGAUCAUAGCCCGGAUUUGAACCAUAUCGAGCAUAUAUGGGACACUAUUGGGCGUCAAGUGCGCGAAUAGUUAUCAAAGGUACCAGGAUUAUAAUUUUAUAUUUACGCCAGACGCGCGUUUCGUCUACAUAAGACUCAUCAGUGACACUCAUAUCAAAAUAUUUAUAAAGCCAAACAAGUACAAAUUUGAAGAGCAUUGAGGAUCCAUAAUUCCAAAAAGUUGUGCCAAAUACGGCUAAGGUAAUCUAUGCCUGGGAUAAGAAAAUCCUCAGUUUUUCGAAAAAAUUCAAAGUUUUCUAAACAGGAAAUUUAUAAAAAUGACCACAUUAUUGAUAUCCAUGUCAACACCGAAGUGUUGGCUUCUGGGCUGGUGAUACCCUCGGGGACGAAACGUCCACCAACAGUGGCAUCGACCCAGUGGUGUAAAUAGUUAUCAAAGGUACCAGGAUUAUAACUUUAUAUUUAUGCCAGAUGCGUUUUCGUCAACGAAAGGACACCCAAGUUCAAACACGUCAUGAAUUAAACAGUGUCCUUCGUCAGGAAUGGUUGCUGCUACCUUUACAACAAAUUAGUCGACUUAUGGCAGGAAUCAGAAGCGUUAAAAGACGGUUAUCCGUUUAAAUGUAGUCUGCGCACACAGUACUAAUUCUUUGGCGUAUAUCGAUAAACCAUGAUGUGAACAAUCAUCUUAAGAUUGAUUUUGAAAUGUCUGACAUUGUAAAGUUCGCUUACAGUAAAAGUUGUAAAAUGCAUGUUUUGGUACAAAAACACUUCAUUUUGUUAUCCAAAAUUGUGGUUAGAUAAAACUUUUUUUUUCAUACAUUUUUGUUCGUUUUAAUGCCACUAUGUUUGAAUAUUAUUUUACAAAUAUUUUAUCCUAUUCCAUCCAAAAUAAGAGGAUGAUUUUUCAAGUUUUAAAAAAUCAAGGUUUUGCAAUACUUUUUUCCAUGUGUAUAUAUAAAAUUAAUUGUGUACUUCUUUAACUUUGAAAGAAAGCAAACGUGUUUUAAUUUUAAAAAGAAAUUGUCGAGCUCAUCUUUUAAAAUUUCAAAAAGAACGUGUUUCCGUAUUGAUCUGAUAGAGUGAGGCAAAGAUAGACAUUUUUGUCAUAAGAAGAUGUGGUUUGAUUGUCAAUGACACACCAUUCCACAAGGGACCAACUGAAGCAUGGAGUAACCUAUAUGUCACGUACGGCCUAUUAGAAUGAGUAAAACACCUACCGCAUAGUAUUGCUUGAUCAGUGAUUGUAGACUUGUAUAAAAAGUCAGAGAAAAGUAUAAUCUUGUGCAAUGCCAAACUAUUCUUAUCGAAAUUUGCCUUCUUGUACUAUAUGUAUGUUGGCUUUUUGCAAACAGUGUAUUAGUAUUAUUUAUUAUUUGUUUUUUAACAGUUAUUUUUUUUUUGUACUAGUGUCAGUUUUAAAAUUAUGUCAGCUUAUAUGAAGAUAUCACAAUAACUGUUCUUUUACCUGUUUACCUUCUAGAAAUAAAGACCUUGUUAUCAUCACUAUUAUCAUGAGCAUAGUAUUAUGCUUUCAAUAUUAUUCACUUCACUUUAACAUCGUUUCAAAGGCCAUUGGUACAUAUCUUAGACGUUCUUGAAGUCAGAAUACUUCCCCUAUCAUUAUCAUCUAUAGCCCCAGUGACAUAUUAAAAUUCAGCUGAUUGAUUUUCCUAUUUCUCUUUUAUAACUGGUGUAAAACACCUCCUAGCACUUUAGUAUUAGAGAACAGAUUUUCAUGACAAAAUUGUCGUUAUCACAUGAUUACGGUUUAGUGGAACGAGUCUGCACGUGCAUUGGAUUUCUUGUAAUUUGAUCAUUUUAACUAAAUGUAAUCAUAUAAAUUCCCGAUAGAUAGGUUUCCAUUUGGCUGUUGGCUAUAUUAUAAUUUUCACAAAAUCGCUUAGCUCUUCACAAUUUUAGGUUCUUAAGGCUUAUUGCCUUAUCGCCCUUAUGAUUCAAAUAUUUGACAUUGAACGUUCCUCAUGAAGGUAAAUCAAGAAAAGCAGCACAGGUAUAAAGUGUCAUUUCCACUUUUUUUGGUAAAAUGAUUUUUGGUUCAGUAGAAGUUGUGUCCCUUUACCUGUAAAAUUAUAUGUCAAAUAUUGAUAAAAAAUAAAUGUUUUAUGAUCUUUUAUAUUAUAACUGUUUUAAAUGAGGAAAUUCAAACAAACUACCGUUUAUGUGUGAAUGAAUGAUAAAUGGAUGUUUUAAUCUAUUUUUUGAAGUAAAGAUGACGAGUCCCUAGCGUUGGAUAUAUAUACAGUGUGGAGACUGUACCUAUGAAAUGCUACACUGCUCAAAUGUCAAAUCUACUUUUGGAAUUAAAAAUACGUAUUGUGGAUUAAUGAAUACAGUAAAGUUAUCAAAUGAAUUACAUUUGUCUCAUCCAUAUUUGCAGUAGACUGAAUCUAUAGAGAAAUUGCGUGGCAAUUACUUAUUUUUUUUCAAUAAAAACAAAGGUUCAUAUCUGAUUUUAUGAAUAGUUUGUCAGGAUCAAUUAACAACCUUUGUCUUCUUUUUCCAAAAAGGUAAAAAAAAAAGAAGAAUGAAACGUCCAUUUUGUAUCUACACACAUCUGUCAUAUGACCGCACGUGAACAUAAUGACGAAUAUUCGAUAGAAUCUUCGAAUGUUACGUAUUUUAUGAGUACAUUUUUUGAGAAGAUUCUCGCAAGAUUGUAUGAUUGGGUUUUUUUUUUUGUCAUUUAAGGGCCUUUUGAUGUAAAAUCCCGUUUUUACAUUUUCGCGACGAUUUAUAUUCGCGUUUUUUUUUCAACUCGCGAAAGACGCGAAAAUUAGUUGGUUUGCAGUAUUACCUUUAUUGUUAAGUCUAUUAUAUUCAUUUGAAGUGGCAAAGUAGUUGUACAGGCGUCGUAUUAUUUUUUGUCUGCUUUGUCUUUAUGCUGGUUUUUUACUUGUUUAUUUGUUUAGUGAUUAAGAUUAUAACUCAACGACGGCUGUACCACUUUUUUUUUACUUUGACCUAUUAUGUUUGUUUACUUUGUUCACACAUCGUUAUCUAUAUGAUAGAAUUGUAUGCGACUGUCAUACAACUUAGAGGUUUAGCUAACUAUAACACCAUGAUUAACUCAUCAUUUUCUACUAAAGAAAUGCCUGUAUUUCAUUCGUUUAAUAUGUUAACGUUUUAGCUUUGGAUCUUGCCAUUUGAAUAGGAACUUUCAGUUUUGAAAUUUCCUCGGAGUCUGGUAUUUUUAUGCCCCAUUUAUGGGUAUUAUGUUUUCUGGUUUGUGUGUCCGUUCGUUCGUUCGUCCGUCCGUUCGUUCGUCCGUUCGUCCGUCCGUAGUUCCUCUUCAGGUUAAAGUUUUUGGUCGAGGUAGUUUUUGAUGAAGUUUAAGUCCAGUCAACUUGAAAUCUGCUUACCCUUCCGGAGCACCUGACAUCACCCCUAGUUUUUGAUGGGGUUCGUGUUGCUUAUUCUUUAGUUUUCUAUGUUGUGUCAUAUGUACUAUUGUUUGUCUGUUUGUCUUUUUGAGUUUGACUGUCCCUUUGGUAUCUUUCGUCUCUCAUUUAGUACACAUGUUCCCUGAGAUAUGAUCUUUCUUAUUUUGUUCCCUGAAAUAUGAUCUUUCUUAUUUUAAUGCCAAAUUAGAGAUUUUGUCCCAUUUUCAUGGUACACUGCAGAUAUAAUGUGAUAGUGCGGAUGGGGCAUCCGUGUACUAUGGACACAUUCUUGUUUUCCAAUUUGUUUCUUUUCUUUUUUCAGUUAGCUAAUUUUGGAAAAUUCCGUAAUUCCGCAAUUUCGAACUCUUUACAAAAUAAACUCAUCAUAGAUACCAGGACUAAAUUUUAUAUAUACGCCAGACGCGCGUUUCAUCUACAAAAGACUCAUCAGUGACGCUCGAAUCCAAAAAAGUUUUAAAAAAGUCAAAUAACUGUAUUAAUCUACUGAAACGAACGUUAAGACUUCUAUUUUCUAAAAUGUAAAUGACAUAUUUUGAGAGUUUAUCAUUCUAAUUUAGAAAAUUAACAAUCAAAACACUCUCAUUGGAUUGGGAAAAUGUUCAAAAGCCAGAAAAUAGAAACCCACCUUUUCUUUGAUCCUUUAGUUACUUAUAUAUACGCUUAUAACAAUAUCAAAUACAAACAAUGAUUAAUUUCCGUGCUAUUUUUAUUCUUGGGAACACCUUUAAUAUGAAAUUAUAAACAUAACAUCGUGUUUAUAUUACAAAAUAUGUUUACGAUUUUAUCAGCUGUUACCAUGCUUGCAAUCAGGUUAUUCAGAUCAGUUAAUCCAAUGGUCAAUGCGUUUAUAGUACAGAAAUGUACUUCUAUAGGGUAAAGAAUAUAAACCCAGCUUGAAGAAGAGUAACUGAACAUGGUUGAUUGAUUGAUUGGCGGCUGUUUAACGCCCAACGGCAAAACUUCAUAUGCAUGACGAUGACAUGUUAACGAGAUAUGACUAUAACCCUGCUUUGUGGUAGCUAUGAAGACAUAUCACUCUAAAGUAUAUGCCUGCAAAUCUUCAUAUUCUCAACCAAACAUAUAUCAAAAGAAAACUCUGCGGUAUUUCCUGGGUGUAAUUAUCCAGCGGUGUAAAAGCGAAGAAACAAAGAGUUAUACAUCAUUACUUAUAUACAUCAUUUUAGGUGAAUAAAAUCUGUUUCACAGGCUUUCGAACCCUUUGUUUCCAAAUUUAGAGAAUGUCGAGCCAUCGUGAAAAUGAUUUAGAAUGCCUACCUCUUUGUUUCAUUGUUUCGACAACACUGAAUUAUAACAAAAAUCCCAGUAAGACUCAUACUGACACCGAGACGACUAAUCUUGCUCUGUUCUUCCCAUACCCCAGGCAGACACACUGAGAUGAACGGUUCUUUACACUUUCUGAAAAUUUCAUUGGAGUUUUUUUUUUUUUUGUUGUUGUUUUACUUUUUGUUCCUAAAGAAAGAGUAGAAAAAGGACCGACCCAAGCCAAAUACAAUCGUUUAAAAAAUAACAAAAGUAUAAACACUCAGAUCUUUUUUAUGAUGAUAGCCUCGUUUUGUGGUGUGUGCUCUCUCCGUUUGAUGUGUAUUAGUGUUGGUGUAAUGACUAGCAAUCGUAUAUAUAUGUAACACUCAGAAACGUGUCCUUCCCCCAAACGUGUCCGAUUCCCCCAAACGUGUCCACAUCGACGUCACUGAACUGUAAAAACAUGUCUAGUUGUCAAUGGGCGCCAAAGCGUGUUAUUUGUAUAAACGCUCAAACGUGUCCAUUUAAGAGAUAACUGUAUUGUAUUUGAAGCUUUAAGGACGUCCAUCGGUAGUUUUACUGUCGCAAAUUUAGUUUACCUGGCGACGCGUAGCGGAGACAGGUAAACGGGUAUUUGCGACAGUAAAACUACCCAUGGACGUCCGAAAAGCUUCAAAUACAAUACAGUUAUCUCUAUUCAAAUGCAAAACAAGUUCAUAAUUAAAUUUCAAUCAUUAUUUCAGUGUAAAAUCUUCAUUAAAGAAAAUUAUGUUAUCUUCUUUGGUCCCUACACUAGGUGACGUCAUAGGUAUGCUUCCGGCGUCAAACAUAAACACCGGGCGUUUUCUGGCUUCUGUGCCGCUUCAGAAUGUAAUAAAAUUUGAUAAAAAGAGGAUUUUUUGGUGCAACAUGUGAGUUUUAUGGCUUAUUAUUGUAGAAAUUACACAUGUCAUUACAUUCAGCAAUUCAAAAUGUCGGCUACCUUAGUUACAGACAAGGAGAUAGAGAAUUUUACGCUAACUGUCAUCCAAUCAGAACCAUUAAUACAAACUAAUUGCAUUAGAAUUUUUAAUAAACCCCCAAUCGUGUCCAAUCCCCCAAACGUGUCCAUACCAAGCUUUUUAUUUUACUUGAACUAUCAUUCGUGUUCAUAUUAUAAAAACGUAGGUUAUGUGUGUGGUUUUUUUUUAUUAUUAUCAUUGUAUACUCAUUUUACGAUCUUUUACUAUUUCAUUAAAAGAUCAAAAUAAAUUACUGAAAUUCUUUUUCGAUGCGCAUUAAAAUUGUUUGUAGCAUUCCACUCUUUAUAAUGUGCCAUACGUUGUAUUUUGGAAGGCAACAUUUUUUUUAUUUGAAACGGCCUCUAUAUUACAUAACAGACAUUGAAGUAGCUUCUUACUGAAGUCAUAAACAAAUCGGUCUUUACUCGCAUUCAAUUUUCUUUAGAUUAAAAUCCAAACUAGUGGUCAUCCCAAAUAACCGUAAAAAUUAAUGCCCAAUUUUAAAUUCCCGGUUUGAUAACUUAACCUAUCUACAGUAUAUAUCGUUAAUAUGAUAUCGUUCAAAUAACGAAUGGAAAAUUUGGCACUGGACGUUAUUUCUCUUGUUCGUGUGUCUUUAGUGACGCUCGUAACCUAAAAUUUAUUAAAAAUUAGAACUGAAAGCCCACCGUGCAAUAUUCUGAUUAAUAUAAAAGGCAUCAUCGGAGUUUAUUAGUAUAAAAUAAUUUACAUAGUAAACGAUUUAUUCAACUGUACUAGAAUUAUUUGUAUGUUCGCUUUAAAUGAGCAUGAAAUACUUGCAACUGGACAAUAAGCAAAUUAAGUCAAAAGUUAAUGCAUAUGUACAUAUUAAAUUUUCAGUAAUGAUAAUCAUUGAAAACCGUCAUUUAACAAAUUAAUGCUAAUAAAUUACCACUUCAUCAACUUUGUCCCCCAUCAUAGAACUGCCGUGACCGUUAUUGAUGUCGCGUUUAGGACAUGUAUUAGCGCCAGACGUUCUGGCGUUUAAAAGUGGAUACGUUUGGGCGAAUAACAAUAGUAUCGGGCACAUUUGGGGGUUCUGAAAUCGGACACGUUUGGGGAAUAUUGAAUAUUAUGGACACGUUUGGGGAGAAUAUACACGUUUGGGGGGGGGAGGACACGUUUGGGAGUGUUACACAUAUAUUCUAUAAAUUCUGUAAUAAGUGACACAAGUUUUAACUUAUUUACUAUAAGAGACAUACAUGUAUUGAAGUAUUGAUAUAAAACUAGGCAUACUGCUAGCUGAGAUUUGGUGGCCAUACAACAUCAAGUUUAAAGUUUCCAAAUGCUAUUAUUAUUUGGGACCUUUAGCGACAGCAUUAAGAUUAAUUAGGAACUUUUGGGUGGAAAUAAAAAAAUAUGAAAUCGUGUUAAUUAACACAUUAAUGCUAUCUGUUAGAUAGCGAUAUUGUCUGUUUCACAAUGUUACAAAUUGAUUCUUUAAUUAAUAUGAAAAGUUGGUCUUGAGAUGGUUUCCUUGGGGCAUUUUUAUAUGUUCCGGAACAAAGCGGAAAUCUUAAAUCACGUGACAGUACCCAUAAAACACUUCCUAUUGAAUUAUAUGGACACGUGCUAAAAUUUGAUUAUCAUGCUCAAUGACAGAUUUUAUUCGAUCCUAUUCAAAUAAUAUCCGCAGCUCAAUUGAUAAUGUUAUUAAGCGAAGGAAUGAAUAUUUGGUCUGGUUUUAUCAUUAUGUUUAACGAGUUUCAUUUACAGAUCCAUAACCUAUAACGCGUUUACAGCGCUAGGAACAACUGGGAUACAACAGCGUGUUCCCCCAUAAAAAGUUGGCAAUUGCCCAUUUUACCUAGCAUUCGAACGUAUGAACAGUUAUGUACUUUAAGGCAUUUUCAUAAAACGUCUGAGCAUCAAUAUUUUACAUCUAUUACAUACCCAGAACAUGGUAGAUUUAAUGAUUUGUGAAAUGAAAAGACCCCUCAGAAAAAAGUUGAAUUUCUAAAGUUCAGGGCAUACGAUACAGAAAAGAUCUAUCAUUAAUUGUUCCUUAAAAUUUUGACACAAAGUCAAUUUUGAUAUGAAGUUUGGAAACACUUAAAGAAAAUAUUCUUUCUUGACUUAUUUUUUGAGGUAUUUCAGUUUGAAAUUUGCAUUGUUCAUGAAAACGCAAAAUUGUAUUUUUCUACACCUUUCCGAAAAAAAUAGCACAAAUUUCACACGGAAAAAGAUAUCUUUUAGUAAGUUUAAAAUGGUAUUGGUUAAAGCGAAUUUGAAAUAACCCUUUUUUUUUUUAAUGGUUGGGAUCGUAUUCCUCUUUUCUAGCAUAAUAUUCUUAUUGCAACAUUGUCGUUCAGUUAUUCCCGUUUUACAUCAAAACUCUGAAGAAACUACUGUCAUGUACGAAUUUAGUGAUGAUAGGAUAGUACUGACUGUUCUUUUUUGCCUAGAAUGUUAUGGUUGUUUCUGCGUUAUCUUAAACACAUUGUAGAAAUUAAAUGAUUUGGAAUGGGUUUGUGUUGUUCAGUGUUUAUGUUUUCUAUGUUGGGUUUUGUUUAUUAUUGUCGGUUUGUCUUUUUUUCUUUUAAGCCAAGACGUUGUCAUUUUAUUUACACUUAUGAGUUUAAAUGUCCCUCGGGUAUCUUUCGAUAAAGAAAGCUACAGCACAAUUCUGCCCAAUAGCACACAUGUGUUACGCCAUAAUGCCAUAAAUCGAAACCGCAAAUGAAAGUAGUUUACUUUUUUGAGAAAUUGCAUGCAGUUAUGAAUAAUGUGUCGAUUUUCCUAUAACUGUUGGAGGGGUUGGAUCAAGUCUGCUAGAAAACUUUAUAAACUGUUUUCAAUGUCAUCAUGAUUGGAAUACUUCUUCUUUGUACAUAAACGGCAAGAAUAUACUAUUUCAAGAUAAAAGUGUAGAUACUCGAUCAAGUAGAAUAAUUGAUUUUGAGAAAAUAUUGAUACCCUAGCUAUUAAACAUGAAGUAGUAGUAAAAUCGGGAUUGACAAGACAGGUACGAGAUAAUCCAUUUAAUAUUUAUGGUGUUCUGUCUCCUGAGAAAAAAUAUCUGAUUUAAUACUGUAGUAAAAGUUCUUGUCAAUGCAUCUGAGGGAAUUAUUUGUAAUGCUACCAAUAAACUAAUCAUAGAUACCAGGACUAAAUUUGUGAACGUCCGCCAGACUCGCGUUUCGUCUGCAACAGAUUCAUCAGUGAAGCUCUUAUAAAAAAAAAAAAUAAAAAGGGCCAAUUAAAUUUCGAAGUUGAAGAGAUUGAGGACUCAGCAUUCCGAAAUGUUUUGUCAAAUACACACCACAUGACAUAUUUCUCCAGUAGAAUAUCCUUAUUAUUUCGAAAAAUUGACGACCCAAAAUUCAAAAAGUUUUAGCCGAAUAUAGCUUAAUGAAUCUGUUCUUGGCAUGAAUUUUAUAGAUAUGACAACAUCGAUCUUAAUUGAUAUUCAGUGCCAAUCUGUCUAAAAAUCAGACAAUGGUAAACAUUUGACAAACAAAAACCCAAUGAAGGUGACAUUAAUGUAUGUUCAAAUUGAAUAUUCGUGCACGAAUAUAACAUUCGUUUCCUUUUCCUGUUCUGGUAAUUCAUGAUAUAAUUUGGUUUAAAGGCAGUAGAAAUUAACGAUUAAGGGGUGCUAACUCUGAAAUUUGCUAUUAUUCUAAUCAAAAGUUGUCUAGAGAUUUCUCGAAUUAUCAGACACGUAAAAAAAAUACCUUCCAUUUCUAACUUAGGAUAAAGUUAACGUUAAAAUAGGAUGGUUUGGUUGAUGGGUUUUUCGGCGUAGAUUUGAUUUUAUUCUACAUUGCCUCAUUCUUACAAAGACUGACACUUCGUAGAGGACUACUGGAUUGAUGAUACCCUCGAAUACAGGCAUCAUACUGCAAGGGGGUGCAUAUGGCUUUGUUUGUUCUAGUUAUACAUAUUGGAGACUUUUAGGUAGUGAAUGUUAAUGUUAAUGUUUGUCACACUGACAAGAAAAGAUACAAUACUGAUGCAUAAACACUCGUCAUGAAAAGAAGUUAUUCAUACGAAAGGAUACCUACCAAUUUUUGAAGGUGUUAAUGCAACACCUAGAUGAAUUUACAAAUCUAAUGGAAAUUUGGAAAUAAAAUUGUUGAGAUACGUUUAAUAGGAUUUCAUGACUGAACACCAAUCAAAGAACCCACAAGUGAUGCUCCACAGGCAAAUUGUGGUAAAUGAAAUAUAAAAUUAAAGUUAUAAAUGUAUCAGACAAAAAUCAUGCACUCCAUGAGUGGUCCGCUCUGAUUGUCUUAAUCUCGGAUUACUGGACACUUAACGAAAAGACCAUAAAAGAUGCGUAUCCAAUCCCGAGGAUUGGUGAUAACUUGGAUGCUUUUUAUGGAUCUCAGUGGUUCUUAUCACAGGACUUCGAUGUCUCUAAUUAUGAAAAAAAUGAAACCAAGUUCCAUAGAAACGACUGUCUUUUCAACCCAAAGCGCUGGACGUUAUCAGUAUAGUCCAAUGACAUUAGGACUAUCUAUAAAUGUGGAAUUAAAGUUCCUGAAAAUAAUCGAAGCCUCAGAUACCGCACUUCAGUAGCAUAUACAGUGUUAUGUCUUGACAAUAUAUUUAAUUUAAUAUGACAUCAUUUGAUGACAAUCUUAAGAACGUUGUGUAGAUAACUUUAUUAUUGUCAUCGUAUUAAUUCAGUAACCUUUGGAAAUGAAGUGCAAAAGGUGGUAUAGAAAUGGCAUUGCUUGUUUGUUUUCGAAAGUGUUUGCUGUGUUUUAAUAAAACCGUACCUGGAAUCUCAACGGCAAGAGUCAGUAUAUUAGUGAGCGCGAGAGUGUAAAUUAAGUGUUUUAAAACCUAGUACAGAAGAUCAGAUGUUUCAGUAUUUACAAAUGUGAAUGACAGUAUAUGAAUGCAUGUGCAUAUUGUUAAACACGUUUUAUGUUAUAAAAUAAUGAUAACAUUGAAACUUACAUAAUAGAUUUUACAUAGUUUCGUUAACAAUUAUGUUAUAGUCACCAGCCAACCUUAUAAAAUGAAUCUGCUACAUAUACUCUUCGGAUUCAAAAAAGUACCUGAAUUUAGUUUUAUAAGAAUGAAACUGAAUCUUUAAUGAAAUGCAUUGGAAAGUAUUUUAAAAUCCCAAAAUUUAAAACAUGAGUAUGAGCUGCCUUAAAGUCCAUGAUUUAAUAUUGGAAAUGGCAAAUUGCGUUCCUUUUUAUAUAUAUAUAAGUUCGCAGAUGGUGAAUUGUGUACCUUUACCGGCAAUUUUUUUUCCCGUUUAUUGGGCCCCACGUGUGAGUAACUGGCAUAGGCUAUUCAAUUUUUUUGGUUUCUGAUAAAGUGAAUUUAGAAAUGUGCAUCAAAGUAAGGCUUCGGAAGAUUUAUAGCUGUAAUACCACCUUUGUUUUUCAAAAAUUAGCCUUUGGAAAAUUUGCACUUUUCAGAAACUUGCAGAAUGUAUCUUAGUUUCAAGUUAAGAAAUACAAGGCAUGAGUAAAGUUUCAUCCUGUCCAGUAUUAGAAAAACUGUUACAUAACAUUCCAUUGCAUAUAAGAUAAGAUAAAAAAUAUUUCAUUGCACUACUGAUUUCGACGGUAGAAAUUGUUUUAUGUAAAAACUAUGCAAAAAUUUAAUAGUGCUCACUGCCAUAUAAAUAACAAGGAAAAAUAAAAGACAACAAAAUUCAAUUAGACUUGCUACGUAUCUGUAAAGACAAGCAAGGUAUAAAAGGAAAAUGUUAACCAAAAGCAUGCUCCAUUUUCAUUGAACAUUCAUGAAUAUGAAACUUGAAACUUUCGUACAUUGAAAGUUUAACUUUUUGCCUAUAUUUCAAACACAUAAAAAUAGUAUCGCACGCACUGCUUUUUUAAACUUGAAACACAUUAUAACAUUUUAAGAUAGUUUAGUGUAAUUCCACUCGGAUAAUUAUCUUCAAAAGUAUCACAAGGGUGGGUAGCAGAAACUAAUAAAAAGUCAUAUUUACGUGCAACGAUGUAACUUACGAGCAUACAUUUCAUUCCCAUAGACAUUUGUUAUGCACUAAAAUGUAGGCCUGGCUAUCGAGUUUCUGCUUCUUGUCUAGUAAGUCUGAUUAUGUAAUUAGGCGGAUAUUCUAACGUAUGAUAAGAUGUCCGAAAUGGGAAAAUACGACAGUGAUCAAUCAUUUAAAAGAACAUAUAUCAAUUAUAAAAGGUACAGUUGCAAUUUGAAACAUAUGUUGGAACUUUAAUUUACUCUUUUUUAUUAUUAGCAUAUCUUAAUGACAAAUGUUUUAUUAAUAUUUAAACGUAAAGAGGUUAAGGUCGUUACUAAUAAAAUGAAUUGUUGUCUCAUUUUUUUUUUCCUAUAUCGAAAGAAUAUUGGUUGUGUCUAUUUUAAAGAAAAACAGCUGAUUUUAGAAAACAUGUUUCAUCAAUAUACGGUACGUUAAAAUCCACAGAUAAUGAGGACAAUACUUGUGGAGGUUCAAAUGGAUAUAGGAGGUGUGGAGCCUGACAGAUUGUAUAUGUACUUGCAUGUCUAUUGUUAAUACUGAAUGGUGACCUUUACAUGUCAUUGGGUUUCUAAGUCAUUGACAAAUACUCCACAUACACAUUUAUAAUUCCUUACUCCAAUGAUAAUUAUGAAGAAAUUAACAGGGAUGGGAUCUCAAAAUAUUCGGCAGUCCAACUCCGACAUAUAUUUGACUUAUUUAGUUUUCACGUGUUCUUGGUGAAUGUAACCCCAACACAUGUCCAGCUGGUUGUUUCCACCAAAAAAGUUAUCCUUUCAAUCCUAUUUUAAUUUUGGACAUUAUUCCUAUAAUUAAAAGGAUGUAGUUGAUUGUUUUUCGUCACUUCUGUUGCUGAUUUCUACAUUGUACCUGUUGAGUACUCACUGUACAUACGUAGAUUGAGAUGAACAUGACACCCCUGCAAAUGUACAAAGAAACAUGUAAAUAAAGACGUUUAUGUGAAAUUCGAAUGAUAUCGAGCUUAAAUGAAAUGUAAGGAUAGAUAUAUAUAAAAGCAACAGUAGUAUUACGCCGAUCGAAAUUCACAAAUUGAUUGAGAGAAAACAAAUCUGGAUUAAAACCGAGGAAACACAACUAUAAGAGGAAAACAAAAGAACAACAGAAACACUGAAGUACAACAAAAACAAACAUCAACAUUUACAGGAACUAUAAGAUAACAACUGUAAUCUUCCUGACUUGAAACAGGACAUUUUAGGAAAACAAAUGAUGGAUUAAACAUGGUUUUCAUUGCUAGCCAAACCUCCUGCAAUGUUAAAAAAAUAUCUCUAAAAUGAAAACAUAACUACGUGACAGGAUUACAGCACACUGUCGAAUAUGCAUCACUUAAAUGCCGAAACCAAUACAAAUACAACAAAAUGCAACAAAAUGCAACAAACGUUAUCGUUCCUACUGACACCUCAACUCUAAUUGAAAGUUCAAAUUUCGAUUGAAUUAGUGAAGGUUGUUACCAAUGAUCAUCAAUAAAUCAAAAUAUAAAAAAGUUUAUAUUUUUGAUUUUGAUAAUACAAAAAGAUGAAAACAUGUUUUUUAUUAUUUAAAAUUCAGAGAAAGACAACAGACUAUCUACACAACUAUCUCCAAAGCAUAGAAAGAACAUAUAAUAACACAGCAAGGGGAUAUCAAGGAUCCAUAAAAGGGGUCGUAAUUCCACAAAAGCGUAAUAAAUAUUGCCGAGACAAGCGAGCCGAACAAAAAGUUGGUCAAUAUUAUGCUUAAAAAUUAUAGAGUGAGAAAAAUGAGUUUAAUGGGUUUUUUUGCCUAACGUUCUUCUUUGUCCUAUUCUGAAUCCAUCACUGCACACGUAGCAUCGGAGAAACUAAAUAUAUAUAACGGUAGGCUGAUAGUGUUACGAAUCCAAACGAUAUAUGAAUCUUAAAAAAAGUACCUAAGUCAUAAAGUCAUAAUGUAAUUAAGUACAUGUAUCGUAUACCUCAACUAAUUAUUUUAUGUAUUCGCCCAUUGAUACCACAAAAGUAUCAACCAAGGACCAUUUUAUUAUGUCUCCAGGUUUUUAUUUUUUGCAAAGUAUUAACUUUUGUGUAAAAUAAUGGUUUUUGUCAUCCAAAAUUCAAUAUAUAUUGUUCUAAUUAACCAUUAAAAUUCCUCCGUCUAUCUGUCGAAAAUUUACGACUAUACAAAUCAGGCCUACAUUCUAAUACCGCAUUGGUCAAUGGAACAAUAUUGUGUUUUGAAACAAUGAAAAACGAAAUCAUUAUUACAAAUGGUUUAUCUUCCUACCCAUCAGAACUUUAAAGUAUAUCAGAUAACAACGUACUCCUUCUACAGUAUUUUAUCUUUUUGUUUUGAUCUGUCAAAUAAUUCUAACUUAAACUGCUUUGUUUCUUAUCUCUUACCUAUGUCAUUCAGGUAGGUAGAUCGAGUUUCUGCUAAUUCAAUUACCUGUGUUAGUAAUUGAUUAUAGACAAAGAAUACUAACACUAACUACCCUUCCCAUUCAAUUGAAUUUGUGUAGAUUUUCGUGAGUGUGUGUUACAAAACAAUAUUUUUUCAAUUACCAACAACCUGUUUGACACGACAUUUUCACAGACAUGUUUUUUGAAUGUAUAUAAAUCAAUUAACUUCUUACACCUGACUAACUCAGUCAAAAAUAUAUUUGGUCAGGUGAAACAUUGUGGUUUGAUGACACACACGAAGAAGUACCAAGAGACCACUUAUAAUCAGAACUCAGAAAUCUACAUCUUAAGGUCAUAUGAGUGGUUUUUGUUUAUAAAACGUCCAACAAACGCCCUUAUUUGGGUUAACAGAUAUUUUUACAGGCAUUAUACCAUACAAAAUCUUGUAACUGCUAUAAGAAAUUGGACCUGUGUUUCCUUUCGCUACAUAAAACAUUCAUUUCCACACGAAAGAAUAAUAAUUAAAUCAUUGAUUCAAUUACAUUUAAACCUUUUCAUAGAGAAAUCUAUUAUUUUGACUACCUGGCAAUUCAAUACAAUAUGUUUAUAUAAGGACAAACUAAUAUUUGAAAUUUCAUACGAAAGCAAUUUUCAGGGUAGAAAGAAAACAAUCUGUGGUUAUAAUAUAAUACGCCAAUUAUAACUGGUAUCACGUGACAUCAGAUUGGCAGUUUUGGUGAGAUAUUUGUCAUGUCCAUGUGUCACAAAAGUCAGCGAAAAAAUGUUAAUCUAGAUAAAAUUAUUUGAUUCCAAGAUAGGAAGGUACACUCCGUUUUAAAGAACUAUGUUUGACCUUAAACGACUUAAUUGAUUUUAAACAGGUGAAAGAAGAUCGACAUGCAACUAAAGGAAUACCUGAUAUUUCAAAUAAAACGCAAUAAGUACUAGAAUCACCUAUCUAAAUCAACUUAGAUUACUUUAAACUUGAAGAACAUAAAAACGCUUGAUAAAGUUAGUAAAUAUGACUCUUAGUUAUUAUCUAGCAAAGAAUGAAAUACGUGAAAGCAAAAAGUACUUAAAACAAGCAACGACAUAACAUUUGAAAAUGGACAAAUCGUCCAGAAUUUAGAUAAAUUAUGAAUUAAGUCUACAUAAAGUCUGACACGGCCAAGUAAUCAAUCGACGAACACAGUCUUAAGAGUCAAAUUUCUAAUUUAUAAAGGUACAAUUUUCUGAACAUCAAUUUAUCUCGAUAAUUUGAUUUCUAAAUAGAAUCUGUUUAAGUUUGAUAAAAUUCUAUAGUGAUAAUUUGCAAAACAGUACAAUAUUUUUAAAACAAUAUCAUUACUAUGUAGGAACUUGGUUUGUGAGAUGUUAUAAGUUUGUCUCGCAUUGUGAAAUGCAUGUAUAUUCUUAAAGUGAGCACAUUGGAAACAUAUAUAUGAUUUGCAAUGGUUUUUAGUGUUAGGGCUGUAAUAAUUGACAAAAUCAUAUAAGGUAUAUAAUGUGUAUCCUUGUUUCUUCUUGAUAUAAUUUCUGCCGUAAAAAAAUACAUUUUUAAAUACAUAUAUUAUGAAAGCUAUGAAAUUAUCAAUUUGUAAAAUGUACUUAAUUGUAUCCUACCAUUAACAAGACAUCCAGCCUGAGUUUUUCGAUGAAAUAAGGGAAAUAUAGAAGUCAAUAAUCUGGUUGUUUUGAACUUGCAAUUCUUAAAGUUUAGUGUUGUUUCAAGACAAAUAUGAACCUCAUAAUAAUCGACAGGAGAAAAUGCCACCACUCAUCACACACACACACUAACAUGUUAUGUUCUUAUUCACUGCUACUAUAGUUAACAGCAGAUAUGUAGGUCUGUUAACACAAUUUGAAAUCGGAAUAUGGGGGGGAAAGUGUAACGCAAAAUACAAACCACCCACAUUUUUUGUAUUAGAUGCACUUUUAAAAUAACAUUAUUUUAAUUCAUGUCGUAUAAGGAAAAGAAACAAAGGAUGAUACAAACGAGAACCAAUCAAUAGAAAGUUCAAGCUAUGUAGUAAAGAAGAGAUUUUCUUAUAAUAAUAGAAUUUAUUUGUGCAUUUUGUUGUUGUUGAAAAGAUAGGACAAUAAUGUGGGAUAUGAUAACAUAACAAUCCUAUGAAAUACAAGGGAAGAAUAUAUACAAGGAACUGAGCUUGCGUUAUUGUUCUUCAGCUCACGUAAGAAACCGGUUAAACCUGUUCGAAAAAUCCGAGACAAAAAUAUAUGAUGAAUAAUAAUGAUUUUGAAUGGAUCCUUAUACUUUGAAUAGUGCACUUUGUUUUCAAUUGAGACUACUUCGCAUAGUCAAUGGUAUGCACAAAUUUAUCCUGUAGAAAACAAUGAUUAUUUGUUUUACUGUCUAUUUUCCUGCAAGAAUUGCUAUCAUGACGCGCUUAGAUGAUGCAGACAACCUUUGCGCAAAGCUUCGAAAAUUAAUGGAUCGCGUGAAAAUACUAUGCCGAUUAACAACAGCAACACUGACCGUCAGGCUAUUAAAACGCAUAUCGAAUGUAUUCAACAAAAUACCAAAUUUAAGAUUUCUUUUUCAUUAAAGAAAAUUCUAACGAAACCUUUAAUGAAUGUUUUCAUUUUAGCUGAUAAUAAAUAAAGAAAUUACUGAAUUACAAUAAAUGGAGAUAAUUGAAUUAAUUCCGCAAAUAUAUAUGUAGGGCUAAUUUCCUGAGUGAUUAUAGAUAAGGAUGAGACCAAACGGUGAAAUAUGAAUUAUAAUGUAUCGCUCUUUAGGAAAAUAUUAUAGUAAAAAAUAUUAGAUUUUCUCAAUUUACAGUAAAUAGACUUGAGUAUUGAAUCAGAAUGAAACAUUAUCUUGUUUCAGUACAUUGCAAGUUGAAAUCGUGCAGCUCAGGUCCUAUGAAGAUCCGACUGGGCUUGACCAGACGUAUAUAUUGGAUAAAAAUACAUAGUUAGCAUGUUGAUACCAAGAUGAAUAGACGGAAAUAUGCAUUUAAUUGAUAAAUGAUCGAUUUAAUCACAAAUGUAUAUGUAGGUAAUUGAAUUAGUGCGUCAUCAGAUCUGAAAAUAAUCAUUCCUUUUCAAUUACGCUUUAUAUAACAUGCGGACAGUGUCAAUUUCUGUAAAACCAUGUGCCAUUUUACGACAUUGAGAAAUGUUAUCAGCUGGUCUGCAGACAUGAUCCUAUUGAUAUGCUUAAAAUACGGAAUAAAAUCAGGUUCCAUCAAUUGUUCUCAAUACGUGUAAAACCAUUUUUUAUUAUGAUUACUCAAAGAAAAGGGUGUUUAAAACGUUACAUCACGACAAAUACAACGCUGAUAAAUGAAGCUUAUUAUUAUUCCACUCUCGUAAUUAGUAGUCAAUGGUGAUGUAAAAUGUUCAUAUCUCCCUUGUAUCGCUUUAACAAUGUAGAUUUCAUUAAUUCCACAACGUAUUGUCUUGUCUAAGAUACAAGAAUUUAAACAUAAAACCUUCUAAGAUGUGAAGGUAAUUGUAUUACUUCCCAUAAAUAUGUCUCUGAAACCUAACAAAAAACGACAGAAAUGGUCGUUGAUGAUUACAUCAUCGCGGAUGUAUACAAUCUAAAGGUGUAAUUAACCGCUGGUUGAUAAUUAAAGAAAGAUGACUAUGUCGUGUCUUAGCUAAGGCUUUGCGUUGUUUGCUUUAAAGUUUAAUGGAAAACUGUAGACAAAUAUUUCAGGAGUCUUGGUGGAAUAGUGCAAUCUUAUAGAACUGUUAAAUCAGUUUACAUAGCAAUUGUAGACAUUGUAGGUAAACUAUGGUGAUGAGGUUAAAUAAUGAACGACUUAAAAUAAUCUUAAUUAUCUUACCUCCUAUACAUUUCAUGGAAUAUGAUUGGUUAAAAGCGUCCGCGUGGAGACCGUGUAUAUUUCAUAUUAGGUUAGAAGGGAGGCGGGGCUUAUUUUAUACACGGUUAGUAGUAGUGUUACGUCCCUUUAUAUUACAUAUUAGGUAAGAAGGGAGGCUGGGCUUAUUUCAUACACGGUUAGUAGUGGUGUUACCUCCCUUUAUAAAAACAAAACGGUACUGAGAAAAAAUCUUAAAGGUUUCAACAGACGAAGAAAAUGAUGAUUAAGAUGGAAAUAAAUAAAACACAUUUAAACCUAACUAGUUUUUAUUGUUGGCAUCUGUUUUUGUAGGAUCAAUGGAAGUAGUUUCUUAAUGCUAAUAGUAUUGAAGAUAUGCUUAUUUUGAUAGGUCACUAGUUUAAAUUUCACACGUUAAGACAGUCGGUAAGAUAAAUUCUACCCCAUAUAUACCGUAUUAGGUCACUAGCACACUAUGCAACAAAUAAUAUCAGCAGUAAGCCCUGAAAUAUCUUGACAUCGAACCUUCUUGGGAAGCACUUCUAUUUGAGGUAGACGUAACAUGCCAUAAUAGGGCAUUCUUAACACUCGUAUGCAAGCAAAAGCCUUUUCUACUUGUACAAAUGUUUAAGACAUUACGCAUUGAUGUCAUAUCUAAGGUUGUAUUAUUUUACAUUUAUUUACAUCUUUUUGAGGGUUUGCAUAAUUUGUUCGUAAAAUGAGUAAGGGGCAGGUCUAUCGUUGGUAAACUUAUGGUUACAUAAUAAAGAUUAGGUAAACUUAUGGUCACAUAUUAAAGAUUAGGUAAACUUAUGGUUACAUAUUAAAGAUUGGGUAAACUUAUGGUUACAUAUUAAAGAUUGGGUAAACUUAUGGUUACAUAUUAAAGAUUGGGUAAACUUAUGGUUACAUAUUAAAGAUUACUUUGUGUAGAACAUAUGUUGUUUUUUGGUGCUUUUGCAUGCCUAUCUAGAUAAAUUUGUCGUCAGAAAUGUUGUCGAAAUACUCUAAGUUCAACAAUAGAUGAAUUGCAGUGAGUUUUUACAUGACAUUUAGGUCUCAGGUGUAUGUAAAUCAAACCUGAAAUUAAGGAUACCUCAGUGUCAUAUGGUCACCUACAUAAUGGAAUUUGGUAUACUUUAGACAACUUUUCUUACACCAACAAACGAACAAAUAAACCAAACAAUUUCCAAUGCAAAUGUCACGAAUUAGUAUUAUGUCUUGAAAUCCAAAUUGGCAGUAGGAAAGACAUGCCUUCUCUAUCAUAAAUUUUGGCACUGAACACGAGAGAGGGAAUGUAAGGUACUGAAGGAUGAAACUGGAAACCUACUCUAACCUUGACGACAACUAUUCGUUACUUUCUUUCUACUGAAGUAGAUAUACUACUUCUACUAAACCAGUUGAGAAUAUGAUUUCUAAAAUUUGAUUCAGAUGUUCGCGAUUUCGUGGGAGUCUUAUAAAGAUAUCAUUUGAACAAACAUAUGUUGAUGAUCAUUUCGUAUAAACCAUACCAAUUAAAAUAAUGCAUCUCCAUUUGUGGAAGUGGCACUUUUAAAUUAUAGAUGUGAUAACCGAGAGUAAAACUUGUUGAUCUUUAUUUUAAGAUCUGUAAAACAUCUUAAAAAGCAAGCAAAAUUGGUGUUGUUGUGUGAAAUUCAAUUCUCCAUUCUAAAAGACAACCCUAAAAGAAUAUUGAGAUUAAUUCGCUGCAGACAUCAAUCUAACAAAUUAUACUGGUAUUAUAGUAGAAAACGGAGACCUAAGGACGGCCUUUCAAGUCUGAUUAACACAUAAUUGCAUCGUAUAUCAACAGCAAUACCCAUUUGUUUUCGUCAACUGUUGAAUACAAUUAAAUUGAAAACCGGAAAAUACAAAACAAAAAAUAUCCAUGAUUGUAUAAUUCCCUAAUAAUUACCCCUGGGUCUACAUAGGCUCGCUGACAAAUUGUAGAAAAUGAAGACAUAUUGGAUUAGAAUUAAGUUGCGAUAUAUCCUUUUGCUGACAAACUGAACCGUAAGUCUUUGUAAAUCUGAUCUGGUUCGUAUCAAGGAAGUUCUGAUGAAGGAUGCGAUGACAACCAAAUAAGGAAUAAUUCUUCUGAUAAUUGGAAAUCAUUAAUAAUUUAAUUUGAAACUGGAUUGUAGAAAUGUCAUACAGAAAUUUGUACUUUAACACUAUCAAAUACUCUUAUUUGAAAUAAAAGUGUUUUACUUCUUCAAAAAAGAUGGUUUAAUGAACAGGCGAGUUUUAAAAAAAGAAAAAUAUGAACUUUAAGAUAACUAUAGCUUUAACCAGGUUUAGUAAUUUGCUUAUAGAUUGAAAAUCCCAAGUUGAAAUUGUUGUACUCAUGAUCAUGAAUGUGGUCAAAUCCAAUAGUUAAUGAAGACUACCGGAAUUCAAAUGUUGACGAAUCUUAAAAGAUAUAAAAUAAUUGACAAUAAUUUUACAUCAUAUCAUAGCAAUAUAUAGAAAAUGCAGUUGAAGACAAUUGUUUCUCUAUAUUUCAAAUAAUUCGCACGUUCUGUAAAACCAAAGACCUUUUUAACAUUCAUAACAGAAAUGAAGUUGCUAUAGAAGAAACACGACCCAUUAUGAUUAUGUUAUUAUAUGCUAUAGUAUUAAUAACGAUAUAAUAUUGCCAUUGUUUGCAUUAUUUUCCUGCUUUUGCAAUUUUCGUUUUAAAGCACGAUUUAUUCAUUUUACCAAUUUGGUAAGAAAGAAAUUGUACAAAAUUAUUUCAUUGUCGUUAAAAGAUCGCUUAGCUGAUAGCAUUCUAUAAUCCAUAAUGUAAGCAAAAACAUGCGUAAACCGUAACAUCAUAGUACAAUCUUAACAAAGCGUUCCUCAGGCGAAACACUGAUAGUGACACACUGCUCUGCGGAAGUUCGUAUGUCACCGGACAAUCACAAGAGAUCACACGAGAUGUUAUCACAUGCCCACUAGAACUUUCAUUUCCAUCGUCUUAAUUGAAGUAUUAAUAAUUUGUUAUUGUCAAUAAGAUGUAUGAUGUGUUUAGAAGUUUAAUAUAAAAGGAAGAAAAACAGUUUAAAAAUGGGAUCGAUAUGAAGAAAGUUUAGUAAUAAAAAAUGGAUACCAAAAUAGUCAUGUAUUUCCGGUCCGUACGUUAUCGAGUGCAUGUACAUGUUGUGAGAGGCCUUUUUGCAAUACUUGACCAAAUAAUUCCUCUUGAUUGAUAUUACCGGAAUUACCGCUAGAAAUACUCUAUCUUAACUUAAUUUUUGAAAUGUGUUCCACGUCUUUGUGAAUCAAACCAAUAUAUGAAGUUAAAAAAACAGUAUUAGCGAAUUACAAAUAGAAAGACAAAUAAAGAAAAAAAUCGUUGGCUCUAUAUAUCUGGCUGUAGAAGAGGCAAAAUGGUCAUGCAGAUGUAGCUUUCUCUUCACUUUGAAUAUAGUAUACCUUUCCCCGGGUGUUUAUGGUGGGGUAAAAUUUGUGAUGUAGAAUAUUGCAACGACAACGGAUCUUGAAUGCAAUUGAAUUUAGGUGCGCAUUUACGACUGAAACAGUCACUUAUUUUCAAAUUCUUGCAAACGUUUUAUCAAUCUUUAAACGGAAGACUAAACUUUCUAGUAGAAAUUAUCUAAAUGCGAUCAUAUAUCUCCCUGCUGCAAAUUUUUCCAAGAAAACAUUCAAUUUUCUGAUAUUGCUUCACGUUGAGUUUAAAUGUGUCUAUAUGUAAGUCCAGGACAAACAAUGGCAGUGGAUCACAUUAAAUAUUAUAGAAUUCUCUGUGUGACAUGUUAUAUUUAAUGGUCAAACAACAUGAACAAUAAUUAGCAAAACGAAUUAAAAAAUAUAAUAUCACGGAGUCAUCUUGAAACUCGUAUUCUCAAUGUUUGAUUUCCAUAACCUGAUAGAACAUUCCUUGUACAUUCAGCCCAACAAAGGUUUCUUGCAAAUGUAAUAUAAAUUGGAUAUUCGUAAUAAUCGGAGUUCCAAUGAUCAAAAUGUCAUUUUGUCUUUGAACAUUACGAGAGAUCUGACGAUAUUAAAGAGAUUUGUAAUGUGAAAACCUUGUAAUUUUUAAAUUAUUUGGAUAUCGUUUAAUUGUUAAAUGAAUUGAAAAUUUAUGAAAUUACUGCAUUCAUGUGUGUAUGCACAUAGUUGCAUAUUGGUAUUUUGCUUUGAAGAUUUGCUCCCUGUGGCUUUUUGUGUUUGCUCGUUACAAUUGUGUGAUGAAAUUGAAUUAUGUCAGCUACAGAAUCACUUUUAAUAUCAGUCUAUUAUACAUUUGUAAAAUAAAUUACUUUACUAACACUCUUAAAACAAAUUAUGAUUUAAAUAUUAUUAGGAAUAUGGUAUAUUUUUUUAGUGAUUUUUUUUUUAAACUUUAUUCGUUUCUUGAUACAUGUAUUCUUUUUGGCGGCUUUUUGUUCAAUGUUAUUGUUGUUUUUCUGAAAUUGUUUAACAUCUCACAGUGGUAUACUACUGUCAACUUAAGUUAUUUUAUCGAUUUUGUUUUUACGUUGUGUCAUAGAUCAAAUUUAUUCGUUCAGUGUAUGUUAACUUGUAUUAAUAUGUCCUUUGAUUGAGUUAAGCCAUUUCAAUUGAUAUUUUAUAGUGUGUCGUUAUAUGAUGUGAUGUUACACUAUUGUUUUAGAUAAGGGUGAAGGUUGGUACAUAUUAAAAAGUUUAAACCCGCUGCAUUUGUUUACACUUGUCCUAAGUCAGGAAUCUGAUGUUCAGUAGUUGUCGUUUGUUGAUGUGGUUCAUAAGUUUCUCGUUUUUAUUUUAUAGUUAAGACCAUUAGUAAUUCCGUAAAAAUGGUUUUACACUAGUUAUUUUUGGGGCUCUUUGUAGGUUGCUGUUCGAUGUGAGCCAAGGCUCCGUGUUGAAGACCGUACUUUGACCUAUAAUGUUGUUGUUUUUACAAAUUGUGAUUUUGAUGGAGAGUUGUCUCAUUGACACUCAUACAACAUCUUCUUAGAUCUACAUGGUGUAUGUUACAAUCUAGUAAAAACCGAACCUCGUACUAUACUCCGUCAUUUUGAUGUCGCACGGUUUUAAAUUUUAACCGUAUUGACAAUUUUGAAUUCUUAUUAAUCUUACAGCUGAAAUUCUUCAAAUCAUCAAAUUAAGCGUUUCCUCUUAUCUUCUGAUUAUCGAGAGAAAAAAAACAGGAAAAAAGUCGAAACAUUUAGAUAGAUUAAAUCGUUUUAUUGCGAGAUUGGUUUCCUCGUUAUCAUAAUGCGUGAUGUAAACUUUUUACAGAAUACAGCUUCCUCUAAAACCUGAUAUUAUGAAUAUGUGCAAUAUCUAUCCAUAUGUGUCGUAUCAUUUCUUUAUGAUAGGUGGACCUGACGUUAAUCAGCACGUGAACGUGUAAGAUAACCCGGAUGUGCAACAUGCUCAGUAAUCAUCUUGUUAAUCGAGGCAAGAUAACGUGCUUCCACACAAAAGUGUGAUAACGAUGAUACAAUAUAUACAGUGACGCCAAUUUAAGUCAGUUAGGGUCAAAUCACCAGCGAGAGUAAACGUUUUGCCGUUGCAUGUCUGCGGUUGAAUUUUGAACAACUUUAAAAGGCGGCAAUGCAAAUAAAAAAUAUAAGUUGCACAACUAGUAUAUAAUUCGGAUCAGAUCAGUAUUCAUUAAUUAAAUCCUAACUUAUAUAUUAUAAUUUGCAUCCGCGUUCGAUAAUAUCUUAUGUAAAAAAUAAAGCGAUAUAUUAAAGUAAAUCGAAUAUACCAAAGACAAUUUAGAAAUAGUCAAAGAAUAUUGCAUAAAAACAGACGAAAAGACAAACAAUGCUGAAAACAAUAUUAAAAAAACUUUCCAAAACAUCGCAUGUAAAGUCAUGUGUUGCGGAGGGGAUAAACUGCUGUUUCAGCUAAAGGCAACAGAAGUGUUUUUCUUAAAAAUUAAAGUGGUUUUUUUUCAGUUAGUCUUUUACACAAUUGAAGUAUCAGUGGUCAUAUUUGCAGCCACCGUAUUGCAUCCAUCAAUCCAAGUCUAAUUAGUCCGAAUUAUAAUACAAAAAAAAAACCCCAAUAAUUGGCUAUGUAAAACCCAUGUUCGAUCAUCAAACGAAUGACGUUAUAGAUUCACAAAGGUGCUGGGCUAAAAAAGCAACAUAACGACAAGAAAAAGAUAUCUAUAGUCUUCGAUGACCAGCCAGGUUUAUAUCUAUGUAGUGCUCUUAAUCGGACGUUUCUAGCAUAAACAAAAACAUUUUGUUUUAGAAGCUAUAAAACAGACCUACUAUCAAAAUGAACAAAAUAAAAGGAAAGCCCGACAACAACUGCGAACAAAUCUUGGAAUUAUUUAACAAUUUGACUGCUUGCCACUGGCUUCAGUGGAAUGACAACAUGUUUUAAAGAAAAACGCACAACUUAAGAGAUGCAUUCAUGGGUACAUAAUGUUUGUACUAUUUAUCAGAAGAAUUAGAAAAAAACAAUUUACACAUGCAAAUGUGUCAACAUUCUCACGAAAUGACGAGAUCUCAAUUAAGACGAGAUGACAAACAUGGCGGACAACGAUGUUUCUCUAAUUGGAUAUGCAGAAGCAUCAUAAGAUGACUUGUGUAUUGGGUAAUACAAGGUGACAGGUAUAUCACUUUGCAAGAAUGCAGUAAUUCAUUUCAUGAUCGACGCAUUGGAUUAUGUUAGACGUGAAAACAUUCCUUGCCAGCAAAAAAGUAUUUCAUUAUCGAACUGAUGAUAAGGGCUGUCCUUCAAACUAUUUGAAAAAUGAUAACAUGGAUCAAAUUUCCUCUACAAGCAGCUAAUAACAUGACAGGCAAUGCAAAGUAAGGGAUUCGAAGUCAUGCAUGACUGAUUUGAUGGAAAUAAACAUGUUUUUGUUUAGCAAACGAAAUGAUGGAAUAAAAUAUACAAUACGAUGUUAAAAUAUAAUCGUUGUUUAAAAGAGCACUAGGUACGAGAUAGGUAAAAAAAUUUAAGUAUGAUUUUGUUUUGUUCAAUCAUUAAUGAAAGUGAAAGAGUGAAAUGCUAAUUCGUGUUUAGCCACUAGUAUGUGUUUUUCCUUCAAAUAAGGCUAAGAGACUUUGAUAAUGAAUUAUUCACUUGCAAGUGAAAAAUUCGACCUCAUGCAGUGAAUCUGUCUUUAUGUGAUCUUUAAUUUAACCCCUUAGCUGGAUAUAGAUAACGCAUGCAUUUUGCGUGUUCGGUUAUUUAGGGGAAAUAAUGUCAACAUUGAAAGUGACACAAUCUGAUUCAAUCCACUUAAAUCAUUCGUAUACAGGUAAAAAUCAAUGAUUAAGAUAUAUUCUAAAUCUAUAAUAUGAAACUAAACAGACAGACCAUGAAAAUUAAAUUGCACAAGUCCACUUUCUAUUUAUAUCUAUAUUUAUGUUUAUAUCGCUUAUGUGACCAUCGGAGGUCAACUCGAUAGUUAAUAAGAUGGCGUCAAGAAUAAAGUACACACAAAACGAAGAUAAAUGUUAUCAAGCUCUUGCCCCGUAUAUUGUUUAUUUUAGAAUUUUAUAAUUUGGAUAAAUGUUUUACAUGGUUAUGAAUAAAAUAUGAGAAUUUAAGUCAAACCGGUGAACAAGAAUUUGACAUCUUGUCCCCUUUCAAAACGUUUAGUAGAUCUUCUUCUUUUUCUCUUAAGAGUCUGUUACCUUGGUUUCCCAGAUAGGCAAAAGUAUGUAUAUUAGUAACAACAAAAAUAUGUAUUAGUAACAAAAAUGCCAACAAAUUUGCCAAACAACGAAGCACCGCAACGUACCUUAAUGAAACAAGAUUAACAAGAAAUCAUAAAGAAUUUUAAACAACAACGCACCACUUACUUAAUUGAGAUAUAAUAGGUCAAUACCAAAAGGUAUUUGUGUUUCAACAAAAUGAGUUACUACAUGUACACCCUAAGCUGACUAUGAAAUGUUGUCUGCUCAGUCUUUGGUUGGGUUGUUGUCUCUUUGACACAUUCUCCAUUUCCAUUCUCAAUUUUAUAAUGCUCUAAUAUACAUUCCCGUGAUUUUGUAUCUAUUUGGCAAAAGCUUCCAUAAAACGUUAUACGUGGUGUUACCAUAAUUUAUAUUACCAUAAUAUAUAAUUUUCUUAAUCAGGAUUGACCUAUCGAAUAAAGCAAAUAAAACUCCCUUGCAAAGUUAUUUAAGUGAUAUUUAUUAAAUUGACAAGAGUCACAAGACCCUCGAAAGGUACUGUAGCAAGAACGUGAUAAACAUACAUGUGUUUACAUGAUAGAAUAUUGUUCAUCAUUGUGCCAAUUGCUGUAGGAUGAUUUAAGAAUAAGAAGGCAUUAUGGGAAAGACCUUUCACAAGAAAAAAGACAAUGAUAAACGAAGGAAAUCGUUGAAACCAAACAUAAAUGUUGAAAGGGUCGUAUAACGUGUUAGUCUGAUGAACGUUUUAAUUGCUUAUUUCCAUAUGGAACUAAAUUGACGACAGCGCGUGCCAUGUCAUAAUCACGUGGUUACGGCGGGUUGUCAUGAUGUAAUGGAUAUAUGCAUCGGACUGAUGAUUUUAUGCCUUUCCAAAUCCCGUUUCACUCAUCGGAACAAAAAAUUUACGGUUAUUUAAAUGAUCCUGCAAUUUCAUAUCAGUGAGUCAACACGUUUUGGAAUAUUAGAACCAAUCAAGACACUGUUUUCAUUAGCUAGAUGGUGGAAAGUAUCAUGAUUUAAUGCCAAAACUGUCGUACAUAUUUAACACAAAUUUCCAUCAAUAUGAACCCCAUGCCUUCUAUAUCCAUAAAUUCUACAUCCAAUGCAUUAGGUUUAGAUAGUGAAAAAUACUCAUAUUUUCUCACUACAAUAAUCAAAGUUUGUAUUUCUGAAUUGAGUUAAUCAAGAAAAAAAGCUUUCUCAAUUUGUACCAAACGACAUGCAAUAUAUCUCUAUAGAUACAUUAUUAAAGCUUCUAACAAAAACCAAUGAAAGAUGCUCAGAUAAGUAGGGAUUUCUGUUAUUAGUAAUAUUGUCUGACUUAUCACAAAGAUGGAAGAAGACCACUGUAAACAGUAAAUAAAUAAAUAAAUAUGAUUCUAUCGGGUCUGAACGGGGUGUCUGUACAGUUCUAUUAUUCCCUAUUGCUUUUUUUUUUAUAUACUAUAUCCUUUUGAACUCGAUCUGUUCUUCAUAUUUCAGCACCUGUUAAUCUCAUUUUUUUUUUAUUAUAAGGUUCAAUUUUCUCUAUAUUCUUUAUUAUUUGGCUCAUUAUUCUCCCAGUUGUUAACCCAAUCAUAACUUCAUAAGUAUGGAAGAGAUAUAAAUAAAAGAAAAUGCUUAUCAAAUAGAAUCAACAAGAAUUAAAAAGUUCUUAAUCUUUUGUAUUCAAUCUUUUAGAGAUUGGCUCCAUUUAAAGUUACUGCAAUCAUUUUUGGCAAAAGUAAAAUGUCUUUAAUGAAAAACAGAACAGCAAUAAUCAUAUACUUUUUCAGUAACAUUUUUCAACAGGCUUAUAAUUAUCAUUAUGAAUAUGCAGAUAGGCUUUGGUAAAGAAUACAAGUAAGUCGUGUAAAUAAGACCAAAAUAUUGUGUGUAUGCUGGUCAUGAAUAAAGGCAACAGUAAAAUACCGGUGUUCAAAAGUCAUAAAUAGAUUGAGAGAAAACUAAUCCGGGUUACAAACCAAAAACAAGGGAAACACAUCAACUAUAAGAUGAAAACAAAUAACAACAGGAACACUGAAGCGCAACAAAAACAAACGCAAUCACUCAUAGAAACAAACUUUCUGAUAACAACUGCCAUUUUGCUGCUGACCUGGUACUAAACAUUUUGAACCUGGUUUAAUGGCAAGCCAAACCUCCCACUUAUAAGACAGAUCUGUUGAGUUGUUUAUUUAUAAUUAUUGUUCUGAUUUUUGAUGACCUGUGGUAAAGAUAAUACAUUUCAAAUUAACGCCUUUCGUGAAUUACCUUCAUCGGGAAUUCUUUAUCCUAAAAUAUUUGAAAUUCAAAAAUAUGCAAAAACAUAGAAACGUUCGGAGCAAAUGGGGCCUUCAAAGAAUAGUUUUUUGGUGUUAUAUCAAAGUAUAUGGGAAUUUUUUUUUCUGAGACAAGUGCCUGUUUAUUUUAGAAUAAAGCAUUCUCGAUGAGGGUAGUUCAAGAAAAUCUAUUAUAGACAAUAACUUAUGGUAUUUAUGUCGUUUCUCUCUGUUCCAUCUAAUAUUUAUAUACAUUCUGCCUGACAUGCAUUUACAAAAUAGUAGUAGACGUGUAAAAGAAUAUUAUUCGAUUAUCACGACAUUAUAUCCUUAUAGUACGAACUGCAUAUCUUCCGAUAUUUGAUCAUAUUUGUCAUUUCCCACCUAUAGGUCACAUGGUUUCACGAAGCAGACGACAAACGUCAAGGAAACACAUUUUUUUGACAGACCGUUCUUGUCGCCUGUCAAGCUAAAGCAGACGUCCACCCAAAAACAAUGCAAAACAAAUUGAAUUCUCAUUCAAUGCUAUUGAUUUGGUUUAGACUAUGACAGGUUGAAUGAGGUUAAUCCUAUAUUGAAAUUAUACUGUCAUUUAUACCAUCUUGUACUUUUUUUUAUUUAAUUUGCCUUGGUGUUACAUAUUUUACAUUCAUCAAAUUUACUGUUAUACAUCUACAGUCGAAAAAUAAUCUCAAAUUACCAUGCAAGAAUGCAGAAGAUAGAAUACCUAUAAUUUUUGACAGAACAUGCAAAGCUUUAUUUUCCUUUAAAUAAUAUUUCUUACACAAAAACUAGCAUUUAAUAUGUAACCAUGCAUGAUUUUUGUUGUUGUUUUAAUAUGCUGCAACAAAGUACAUGGGUGGUCAUGUACAAAAUGCAGUUGGCACUGACUUUCGGUGGAAAAAAGAGAAAACUGAUAUUGACAGGGCAGGUGUUGGGUAGUAAUCGAAUCCUCCUUAUUUCUCUGGCAUUCCUGACAUUCGUAUUGUUGGAUUUGAUGUAUUGUUGCGAUAUUUAUCAUCGUUCGUUGUGCUGAAAUCAUUUUUGACUGGCAUUACACUUUAUGAGGAAAAACAAAAGAUCAUGCCGAUAUCCUAACUGCCGUUUGCUUGAAAAGUCAAGAAGUGCAAAGGAGGAAUAAAACCAGGUUCAUCAGAUCAGUUUUAAGCACAACCCGAUUACUUACAAAAGAUUAACAAAAGACACAAAGUAUACUCGUGUUCACUGGACUCCUUUCAAAAACCCACUAUGAAUAAUGUAUAAAUAUAUCCAAAAACAAUAUAUGAAUAUAAAAAAGAAGAUGUGGUACGAUUGCCAAUGAGACAACUCUCCACAAGAGACAAAAAUUACACAGAAAUUAACAACUGUAGGUCACCGUACGGCCUUCAACAAUGAGCAAAGCCCCUUAAAACACUGUUUAAUCCACCAUUUUCUACAUAUGAAAAUGCCUGCAUGUACCAAGUCAUAUGACAGUUGUUAUCCAUUCGUUUGAUGUGUUUGAGCUUUUGAUUUUGCCAGUUGUUAAGGGACUUUCCGUUUUGAAUUUCCCUUGGAGUUUGGUAUUUGUAUUUAUUUUACUUUUUUUCCCUAGACUAACAUAUGGAAUGUGCAUGCUUGACCUAUAGGGUUGUCUCGUGCCAUUCCAAGAAUAAAAAAGAAAUUAUUCCCUAAUUGUAUUUCAGCACUUAUUAUGUAAAUAAUGGAAGCGUCUAAUUGAAUCUAUUGGUAAAAUCUAAUUUAAAAAGAAAAGAUCCGAGGCAAUAAUAUUACACCGAGAUAAGAUUUAAUCCACAAUAAACCACUUGGAAGAAUGAAUGUCCUUUUUGUCUCAAAAUAAGGAUUAGCCAUUGGAACAAAUAAGUAAGACAUAAAAAACAAAUUCUUGUUAUUGACAUUUUGAAAAUGAUGAGUUUUCCCCUUUUCUGAUCUGCUUAGACGAAAAUUUGCCAGUGCGUUUCACGGUUGUGUCUGAUUAUUGACCAGGACUGAUAAACCUUCUUCUUCCUAUAUGUUACUGCCUUUUAAAUAUAUAUCCUGUUCGAUCAGUUUAUGGAAAAUCGCAGCAAUAUGUCACACGAGACUUUAGUGGCACAAAUGGUUUGAUCCAGACUGAUAACAGACUGUCUUCACAAUGUAAUAAGGAUUUCAAAUCUGGCCCAUCAUUACUUGUAAUGUGUUUGUUUUAAAUUUAAUUUGUAAUUUUGACAAAAAAUAUGAUUCAUCUGUCUCUUUGACGCUGUACCUAAAUAAAAAAUCAGCGUUUAUUUCACUAUAUGUUUUUUUUAUGUAGACUGCAUGCGUUCUGAUGUCCAUGCAGUUUACUUUAAGUAAAAGACAUAUAUACAUUGAGAGCGUAAGAAACGAAGACAAUGAUAUAGUGUAUGUGGUCAACGCUUUAUAUCCAUUGUGCAAAUUUUCAACUGCAUUCACAUUCGAUCGUUACCCAUAGGACUAACAUGUAAAAGUCACAAAAUUGCUAAGUUUUGGUAUGCGCUUCCGCGGUUUUAAGUUUCGUGCUGCAGUGUAAAUAUUUUUAAGCAAUUACUUGUAUAGAUGUGUAAAUAACUUUAAAAUAAAGGGAUAUCAUUUAUAUGCUAGCAAUGUUUGAUAAUUGGAUAAAAUCACUCCGGUUUCCGUAAAGCAGCUUUCAUGUGUCCUGAAAUUAGCCUGCUUUUCAUGGUUAAUGUUUGUUUGUACUAAAUGAUAAAAGUAUGAAAUCACAAGCGUUUCAUAAAAUAAUAACAAAUGAUUAAUACCUGAAUACAUGUUUCAUAUAUACCUAUUAACUCGUUGUAUGGUAUCAAAUGGUACCAAUUCAUCUAGAAACUAGUUGAAUAAGCCUGAGGAAAUUUAGGAAAUUUUGUUAAUUUAAAAAUAAUAUUGUUACAAAAUAAUAUAUGGUUGUUUGAAGAUCAAUUAUGAUUUCAUCUAAUAUGUUCUCCGCCUGAUUGUCCGGAGCUGACGAUGAAUUUUACCCAGGGGUUCACAGAUAUAUAUGUAUAGGUAUAUUGUCAAAAUGAUACUUCCAUGUUGAGUUAGAGAGAAAGAGAGAAAUUGGAAUUAUGUCAUUGAUUUUUUUCCAUUGAUCAUCAAAAUCACCUUUGUUUUCUUAUGAGGAAUAUAUAAAUGCCCUGUUACGUCUAUGUUUAAGAAUUAUGACGUUAUAUAUAGUCGAUUUCCUUGUAUGUAGCAUGUUAUAGUAUAUGUUAUGCAACAAGUUGACACAAAAGACCUUCUUUUGUCAUUUCUUAUACUCUUAAAAACAAAUGCUGCUUAUUGGUAUAUUUCGGGCCUUUUAUAUAGCUGACUAUGCGGUAUGGGCUUUGCUAAUUGUUGACGGCCGUACAGUGACCUAUAUAAUUGUUGAUUUCUGGGUCAUUUGGUCUCUUGUAGAGAUUUAUCUCAAUGGCAAUCAUACCACAUCUUCUUUUUUAUAUGUUAAGACACCAAUUGUGGGUCUUUCAGAACAGGACAGUCAGUCAUGUAGAUAGAUUCAGUACUCAGUUUUAAAGCAUUAUAAAGCGAUUAGAAAACAUGUCUAAGGCUAUCACAAUAUAUCAGUUCACUGUAUUAAGAUAUAUAUGAGGAUCCUUUGUCGUGAGAAAAUGAGCCAUUAUUUCAUUGUAUGCAUGGUUCAUUUAGAGUUUAUAUAAAUAGUGGGUUCAGGAUGAUAAAGUUUUGUCAAUAAAUAUGUUUUAUUUUCUUUGGGUUUAAGAUUACCUACAUAGGAGUCUGAUGUUUUUAUUUUAUUCUUUACGGCAUAAAGGUUUUUGCAAUACACCAUAUCGCUAAUCCUGGCUGACCCGGCCGCUUGAACUUUUGACGCACACAACAAUCACUUUUCCAUUGUGGCGUCAGAUAUUUUGCUUUAUGACGUCAAAAUUUAACGGGAACCUGUGUGAUUACCAGUAAUGGCGGACAAAUAGCGAUAAGGUGUAUUGUAUUAUCAUACUGUGGAUUCAUUUAUUUUCGUGGGUACAUGAUCGUGGAUAUCUAAUUUCGUAUUUUAUCGAAUUCUUCAUACAAGCCAAUAAAAAAUUUGUCAUUCGUUGAACAUGAUUCUAAUUUUGCGGUUCAAAUGUAGCCACGAAAUCCACGAAAAUUGGUUUCAAACGAAUAAUAAUUAAUCAACAGUACUAUAUCACAAGAGAAUCGAAUAUUACAUCACGUGUGAGGAGACUUUUUAUGACACAAACACAAUGAAAAGACAAAUCAUCUCUGUUAUUUUACCAUUGCCUGUUUAAAUAAUUAAAAACAUUAUCCAUCAAAUCAGUAACAGCAUCAAACCGUCAAAAAGGCAUGAAUUAACGACUUAAUCCGGACAUUAAUCAUACUUUCUCGGACCAAUAAUCAGUACUUUUCAUCGGCUACUUUCGCCACUUUCUUUCUCCCAUAAAGAACUUCUUCCGUGAUAUGUAUUUUCCAAUAAAACCUGAAGUAAAAUGGGCAUGAUUAAUUAGCCCAAAUGUUACUAAUCAUGUGUUUGGCUGCAGAGCAUGCAGACACACCAUGUCAAAUCCGACAUUUAUAUUGGUAUGCCGUUCCGCCUGUCCAUUUAAUUAAUGUAAAUGAUGUGGUCAGAAGAUUUGGCUCUUUUAUUUCUAUCAGAUUCCAAGAUAUAACGGCAGAAGUCAGAGUCAUUCACGUUUGUAAUUUAUUAUCAGCAUUGAAGUGAUUAUACGUGUUAACGGUCAGAGUACCUUGUACUUCUGUUAUGUUUCUUACACUUUAUAGAUAGUAAUGGUCAGAGUUCUACAUGUUGGUCAUCAAUCACCAGGAAAAAGUUUAAAGUUGCUUAUUUAUUGCCAUACUUUCUUAAAAUAGAUAUUGUGUAACUUGAAAUAUGUCAGCAUAUAAGUAAGUGUACUUUGCCACCAAAAUAGUCAUCAUAAGCUUUAAAUUAAAUGUCAAUUACUUUCCAUUUUAGGUACUUGGUCAAUAUACAGCUGAAUCAGAGAAUGUACAAUGAUACAUGGGCCAAAUUGAAAUCAUUACAGAGCAAUGGAAUUUUCUUAAAUGAUGUUAUUGGUCUAAUAAAUUUAUUUUUGAUAUAUCAUUUAGCAUUGUUAUUAUGAAACCUGUGUGAAAUUGGAUAAUUUCAAGGAAAUUAAAAACUAUCCAUAAAAAUCACAUUUUCCCAACUAUAUAUAUCUUUCUUUUUACGAAAAGGAUACGUAUCUGUUACCUAGAUUCGACCAUUUUUUUAAUGAAGCAAAAUAUGUUGUACGAUUGAUGAAAAUAAAGCUUUACAAAUUUUUUGGACACGAAGAACUCACCAACCUAAACAUUUGAAAGCGUUGGGAGUUUAAUAACCAAAAGGGACCUAGAAAAUCUAAGGUCAAAAAAUGUAAGGUCAACUUAACUUGAGAGAGUUAGACAUUUUGUUUCUUGAUAAUUUCAUAAUUUAGCAACUAAAAGUAUAUAAGGAAAAAGGAAACUAAUUUUAAAUCCAAUUAUCAAUUUACAAUUGUAUCAUUUUCAAAUUUAAUUUAGAUUUGCAUGUAACAGUGCAUUUAACCGUAUUAAAACAUCACAAAAGCCACAUUUAGUUCUAGCCGAAAUGUCAACCAAGAAUUGGUACCAAAUGUAACUUAUACAGAAGGUUUUUCAUGCAACAAGUUUCUGUUACAUAUUUCUGGCAGGAAUAUGAUUCAUAAGAUUAAUCGAAUACAUGCAACAAUCUUUUUUAUAUUCAUUAGAAAUCGAGCACUUGCAAAAACAUUUCUUGUUUUCAUAAGAAAGCUCGCUUAAUCAAAUAUUGGGCUUUUUAAUCUGCAAGAUAAAAGAAAAAUAACCUUUUAUUAAAUGAUAUACUAUCUUUCAUGACAUUCCAUUUACGGAGAUUGCACUUGUAGGAUAAAACUAAUAACCAAACAGUUUAAAAAAUGACCAAAAAUGACAGGUCCGUCAUUAAGAAAAGCAUUUGUCCAGACAUAUUCUACAUUACGCCAUCGACUUUGGAACAGUAUUAAAGAUUUGUGAUCGUGCUGGCUUUAUAAUGUUUCCUCACAGAAGUUAAAUCAGGCUGUCAAAUAAAGACAUGAAAUAUUUGUGACAAGACCAAAGACCAAAUCGGUAUGAUAUGGAUUCUGGAGAGAGAUCGCGCUUGAUCAUUGUUUUAUUGGACGAAAUUCUCUCAGUUUAAUUUUCUCCGAACCAUUUACCAUUAUAAAUCAUUUUUAUAUAAUUUCAUAUCGAGGAAAUGGCCAUCGCAGACCAUUUUACCCAUCACUUUUACAAAUUAUUGUCUGGUAAAUGGAUCUGCGUUAUUGCAAAAACUUUGACUUAUGUCGUUAUGGAGUUGACUUUUUACGACUACCAGAAAAUUGCAAAACUCGUAAACUGUCAUGCGAUAUUUCUAACAAGUGAAAUUAACUUACAAAUGUAUAUUUAUCAUUGGGUUGGUCGUUAUUCUGAUUUCCAUCCGUGCUUUCAAGAAAAACGGAAUAAUUCAUGACAUGAUUUGUCCCUAAUGUUUCUUUAGCAUGCUCAGAAAAAAACAGAAAAAGUUUUAAAUAUCUUUCGGAGUAAAGUGCAUAAGAUAUAAGACGACCAGUGAAAUAUACAGCGGACGAACCAAACGAGAAGAAGAACCAGCAACACAUUUCGAGUAUAAUGAGGGAUAUAUUUUCCGGUGAAAGCUUUCAAACAAAAAUUAUAUAUAUAUAUAUAUAUAUAUAUAUAUAUUUUAAAGUUAUGAACAAAAUGUCAGAGUAGAGCUUUAUUUAACGUCGGUUUAUUUGAAACAAUAAAGUAUAGAUAUUGUGCAUACGGUCUUCAAUAAUAAAUCAAAGGGAAUCUUUCCGAGUCUAAAAUGAAUUGUUAUCUGAUUCAACACCAUCAAAACAACAGAAAGAUCUUGAGUUAAAAAUGUUCUCCAAAUUUAUAAAAAUGGACAAAAACGCAUAAAUAUCAUGAACAGUAAUCAUGCAUGCCUUGACGACAUUUCUAAAGACGGACAGACGAUGCACAUCACUGAAAGAAUAUAUUGCAAAUCGCAAAACGAACAAUAGAAAAUCCAAGAAAGCAUAAGUAUAACAGAAUAACAGAGAACAAGCUAUAUAUAUAUACGGCAAAGUACUCCUAGUCUGUUAAAACUAAUUCAUACAUUGUUGUGGUAUCAGUUGUUGUAUUUCUAAAAAGAUUUUAUACAGCAAAUCACAUAAAAAGUAUCAGAGAAACACAACCCAUUUCUUGUGCUGGUCGUACAAAUACCAUUUAAAAAAAUACACAUAAAAUUCAUGUGGCCAUCUCCAACUAUUGCAUAGUCGAGGUAAUGAAAUGGUAACACAAAAAACUACGCAGCAAAAAUUGGAACUCUUUAACAGAAAACUCUAGGCAAUCUUAAGUGGGUGGCGCCUUUUACGUUUACUGUAAGUCUUUGAAAUCAAAACACUCAAUGUUAUAGACAUAUUAAUUGAAGUGAUGUCUUCAUAGUUCCUUAGGUCUGUGUAAUGUCGUUCUGAUAUCGCAAUAAUGUCAUUUUUUAGCAUAGGAUCAAUACAUAGUAGAUAUACUAGAGUAAAUUGAUGAUCAUGGUUUAAUGACAGGCUUUUUAGAUAGACUAGACCUUGUCAAUUAUAAAAUGAAAUCGAAAUCAAUAGAUAAUGAACAGUUAACAUGAAAUCUAUUAAGGUUUAAAUUAAAAUUCUAUCCAAAUGCACGCUUAGAAAGAUUUCAAGCCCCUUAAGUCAGAAACUACUUUAGAGUUGAAAACCGUGAUGGUAACGUGAUUGACUGCUCUGUCACCAGUAACAAGAGUUCAUGCAAUUAAAAUGAUUUAGGUCAGGUUUCUUGUUGUUGUUGUUUUUUUUUUAAGUCGGUUGAAAAUCUGUCUGUAUACAGACAGUAGUUAAAAAACAUGCAAUGAUUUUUCAAAUAGUUAAAACGACACAGUUUCUUCUUGUAGAAUAACCUUAACGACUCCCGAAGUUUUAAAAGCUUCAACAAGAAGUCAUACAUGUAUACAUAUAUCAUUUGAAUAUGUGCAAUGCAAUGAGCAAAUUAAAAAAAAAAAUUAAACAAUGACUGAGGCUUUUAAUGUUUGUUUCUUUUGACUUAGCUAUACAUAUAUAGUCUUUUCGGAUUUGAUGUCUUUGUAAAUGGUAAUUUGUAAACCAUAUUGUCAUAGCAUAAUUUGAAAUAACUUUUGUUUAAAUGAUAUAUAAGAUGCUAUAACUGAACUUUUGUCUUUUUCUCGUUUAACCGCUAAAUAAAUUUUCAAAUUUAGUUGUGUUUUUUGAGGUUUUCUCUUUGGCUGUGUGCUCCCACUUCUUUAUAAGGAUUAAGACCGGAUUCGUUAAGCCUGUAUAUCGAUAGAUUCGAAAAGAUUCCACCUUAUAGCUUUAUACUGCCAAUCAAUCACACGUUAAAUAGAUUGUCCCGGAAAAUCUUGUAUCAAUAAGGUAUUCCGAUAAAAUAUCAAAAAUGAUAUCAUUUUACAAUUAAUCAUAAAAUAGUUUGUUUAUAUUAGAUGAACAAAGUCUCGAUCAAGGGAAUGUGAUAUCGCUUUUAAUCCUGAUCAAAGAUGAAAUCGUAUUCAAUUAUCGGAAUUUUCUUUUAAAGAAACUAUUUUCAAACUGUUUAAUGGCAACCAUUUGACCAGACGGCACAUUUGUUUUCGCUGAAAACUGUUGACUUUCCGGUAACUGUCCAUUAUUUGUUGUUAAAUUACACUUUUCGUAUGUCUGACUUGACAGAAAACGAGACAACGUCGAAUAAAAACCCAGAUAAAUAUUUUCAAUAAAUCGUGUCAAAAUACCAACUUUUGUAUUGAAUUUCGCCUGAUUGAUUUUAUAGCAUGUCUAGUUGUACUUUAUAGUAGAAGUGUUAAUGUGGUUGAAAUAACAGUUAAAUAAUAAAACACAAACACCAUAUACUUGUUUUUAAAAUGGAUUUAAUCUACAACCUUUAGAACUAUGCCUCGUUCUAUACGAUUCAAUAGUUUCUAUUCAACAGCUGUAUAUAUAGGUUAUAAAGGAUACACAAUAUAAAAAUAAGAAGAUGUGGUAUAUGGUGGCCAAUGAGAUAACUCUCCACAAGUUCAUUUUAGCCGUUAUUCGUAUAUAUGUCUGUAUGUACGUAUACUUUUAUUACCAUAUUGACCAAGAAAAUCAACCUAAAAUGUUGGAGUAUUUCUGAGUGUUCCUUUAUCUCAAAAGGCACACGUCAAAGAGAAACUGACAAUGCCAUGACAGAAAAAUAUAAAACAAUUCUAUUGAGAAAACUAACAGCUUGAUUCAUAACAAAACAAUUUACAAAAACAAAUAUAACAUAUAACAGGCAUCAACCAACAACAAGUCAACUAAUAAACUAUAGACUCUCGACUUGGGCCAGGCACAUAAAGAAUGUGGCGGGGUUGAACAUGUUUGUGAGCUCUCAACACUCCCUGAAUCUUGGACGGUGAUGUUACAAGCACAACAUAAAAGACACUGACAUAAGCCUUCAUAGAAUCUCAAAAUUUCGUUUGUCUGAUUAGUCGUAUGCAUUCAAAGACGUCAACAGAACCGAACGGAUAUCAUCGUAUUUGUUUUCCAUUGCUUUUCUCUUCGCUUAGUCAGACGAUGGUCAUGCCAAUAUUUUCUUCCUUAUAAAUCAAAGACUGGUAAUGACAACGGUUAUUUCAUUUCCAGUAUUUAUUCAAAUUAUAUUUUUUUGUGAACUAUACUUUGUUAUCGUUUAAACUGGACGUGCACGAAACACAAUGGUGCAGAUUAAGUAACAUGAAAUUAGUUAGCAAAGUAUUUAAAAAGAUUUGAAAAGAAUUAACUCUCCUGUCUGAGUAGCCAUGUCCGGUUGUUUUUACACAUGUUAUUCUUUUUCGAAGGGAUUUGUUACAGACAGAGUUUUUAUCCAAAGCAUCAUUGAUCAUUAAUCACUCUUGGCCAGCUGUUCAAAGACUUUUGUCAAUAAAGAUCGACUUUGUCUUCAGCAGCUUGUCUGAAAUUUAAUUCCCCGUAGUUAUUUAAGGAAAACAUCGGGAUUUCUUUUGGUAUUUGGAGAAAGUCUCAAAUAAAAGUUUACUAAUCCCAUUUAUACACCAAUCAGGAAAGUAUUAAGUACUAUCCAUCAUGUAAUCGUACUCUCCUUAGUAAAAACAGUAAAGCUUUACUGAUGACAGAGAUUACAUCGAGUUGUCUGAUCUUGAAUGUGAUAACACGCCGUAAAGUGGCGCUUCAUCAGAUAAUACCGUCAAAUCGGCAAUAAACGUUACCUAAGGAAUGUAAAUGCACCAAAGGUACAUGGAACAAUUUGUUAAACAGACAUAUUUUGAAUUUGUCACCACAUCUGUCUUAAUUUGAAGCUAUAUGUAUAUAUGUGACAUGCGUUUUAAUUGUUGCAAUCUUCUCGGCAAUCUGUUAAAAGGUGAAGAUCUAGACUACAACAUAGGUUAUGCUUGUAAGAGAAACAAAAAAAAGUUAAUGUAUUUACUGGUUGUUAUGUUUUUGUUUGCUGUUUCUUUUUGCGUAUUUCCUAUAUCGUACUUUAUUUAUAUUAACCCAGAUUCAAAACAUAAAAAACCAACCGUUUCUAUUUUAGCUAUGUUUGAUUGUUGAUAUGACAUACCAGAGCGUUACAAUGGUGUAGACAGCAUGAAAAUUGAUAAUUCUGAUGUGUUUAGCACAUGUAGGUUACGCAAUAUUUCGCUUCAGAAAUACGAGCUUUUUGCAAUCCAGCUUUUCUUUCACGCAGAUUUAAACUUGGUUUCUUUUAAUUUACAUCUGUUCACAUCUCAUGACAAUUCUAAAAAAAAAAUAUGCGAUGUCAUUUUUGGUUACCAUUUUUGUACCUUGGUAUUCUCCCGUGUAUUAACACGUAUUUUGGUUUUUGAAUUUUCACUAUAUCAGCUUUCCUGAAUGAAACACAGAGCACUCGGAUCGAAGCUUGAUAUCCACCGGCACAGAAUGGCAUGAUAACUGGAAGUGUUCACAUAAAAAAGUGAUAUCAAAUUAAAAAUGAAACAUGAGGCAUGAGGCAACAUGUAAGGAAACAAUAAGAUAAAAACCUUUAAAAAUGGUGUUAAACUUUGCAUACUACUGGUAUAGCACUAAACGUGCUCGUUGGUACGGAAGUGUACGUUGGUAACUACAUCGAAUAUAGGCCGAAGGUCGAAUGAAAUAAACUAUGGUCAGAACAUCAGACCAUGGAAGUAUUCUAUAGUAUUCCCAAGGAAUUGUAUAUUUAUUUUCUUUGAAGUCGGUCUCGUUUUCAUUCCUUUUAAAUAUACAAUUCCUUGAGUAUUCCAUGAUAAUAUUUAUUGAUAAAUGAUGAGUAAAAAGAUUUUACUAUUAUCUUUACUGCAUGUUAACCUGUAUUACUACAAUGGUGCAAAAGAAAUGUUUUAUUUUGGCGAAACUGCAAAUUAUCGCAUGCAUUGUAGAAAAUGUAAUUAGAAACUUCAUGUCACAUUACGCAAUACUUAUAUAGAUAUAUAUACAUAUAGGGAAAGAUAUGAUCUAUGCUUCUGACAAAUAAUGGAUGCCCCAUCAAAUUCUCUCUUUGUUAUCGUUUAUCUCCAAAUUGUUAUAAUUCCCUCUGGAGUCACGUUGCAAAGAAAUUACUUUCAAUUAAAGAACAAUGAAAUUUUGAUGAGAAAUAAUUAUGUGUCCCUUUCAUGUAUGUUAACACACUUUUCAAUCUCUAUAAAUGCAAACGUCUUUUAAAUGUGUUACUGAAUUCUUGCUUGUGAUUAAGAUAGUUUAUAUAUUCGUUUAUUUUUCUAUUCGAUACUUAUAUAUAAUUCCAUUUUAUAUUUCCGAACAUAUGGAUACGCUCGAAUCAAAAUAGUCACUGAAGGGAGACACAAUCAUCCGGUUUCUUUCUACAUUUUUAAUUAUUUGUACAAAAUCUAUGGUCUGCAUUAAAAUGCCACACAUUGUUUUGCUUGAAAGAAUAUCAGAAGUUUGACUAAACGGUUAUUACUCUCCAACUCAUACUAAUAUAGUCAGUGAUUCUACUCUCCAACACAUACUAAUAUAGUCAGUGAUUCUACUCUCCACACUACUAAAUUAGUCAAUGAUUCUAGUCUCAAUGAAUCUACUCUCCACACAUAACAUAUAGUCAGUGAUUCUACUCCAACAACUAAAUAUAGUCAGUGAUAUAUCAGUAGUCAGUGAUUCUACUCUCAACACAUACUAAAUGUCAUUCUACUUCUCACACAUACUAAUAUAGUCAAUGAUUCUAGUCCAAUGAUUCUACUCUCAUCCUAAUUAUAGUCAGUGACUUGAUUCACUCUCCAACACAUACUAAUAUAGUCAGUGAUUCUACUCUCCACACAUACUAAUAGUCAGUGAUUUACUCUCCAACACAUACUAAUAUGUCAGUGAUCUACUCUCCAACUCCACUAUAUAGUCAGUGAUUCUACUCUCCACACAUACUAAAAUAGUCAAUGAUUCUACUCUACUCUCAACACUCUCCAACACAAUAUAUAUCAGUGAUUCUUCUCUCACACAUACUAACUCUAGUAUGAUUCUAUCUCCAACACAUACAAUUAUAGUCAGUGAUUCUACUUCUCAACACUAUAUAAUAAUAAGUCAGUGAUUCUACUCUCCAACUCAUACUAAUAUAGUCAGUGAUUCUACUCUCCAACACAUACUAAUAUAGUCAGUGAUUCUACUCUCCAACACAUACUAAUAUAGUCAGUGAUUUCUAUCUCUCCCACACAUACUAUAUAGCAGUGAUUCUACUCUCAACACAUACUAAUAUAGUCAGUGAUCUACUCUCCAACACACUACUAAUAUAGUCAGUGAUUCUACCUCCAACACAUACUAAUAUAGUCAGUGAUUCUACUCUCCAACACAUACUAAUAUAGUCAGUGAUUCUACUCUCCAACACAUACUAAUAUAGUCAGUGAUUCUACUCUCCAACACAUACUAAUAUAGUCAGUGAUUCUACUCUCCAACACAUACUAAUAUAGUCAAUGAUUCUGUAUUGACAUUGGCUGGUUACAUAUACAUCAUACUUCCAUUCGGAUACUUGGGGUCCUGAUGCAUGGGGUCAUUCGUGACGUUUCUGUCGAUUCUUUCAUUUUUUUUAUGUCAUUUUCCUCUAUUCUUUAACUUUUUGCAAAUUCAGGCCCGUUCUCAAUUCUUUAUAUUUGAUGGACUCCCUUUAUUCUCUAUGUUUUAUUCAGUUACCUCUUUUAUUUUAAUAUUUUAUGUUGCCCAUUUUUACGAAGUAUUGGGCAAAAGCAUGUAUUUCUAUUCGAUAAAGAUCAUCUAGACCAUCAUACAAGUAACACCCCUCAGUUGCCAGAUCUGUGUAGCCUUUUAGGAUCGCUUAGGUUAAAACUAAAGAAAUGUUCAGUUUUGAAAGUUAACACUCAAUUGCUAAUUAUAAAGCUCCUAAUGUUUUUUUGGGGGUAUCACUAUGUGUCAUUCUUUAACUAGCUUCAAAUUUGACAUCUUUACAUUUCGGGAGCUGCAGCUCUUGAUAAUUUUGAAUGUCAAAUAUAAAUCCAGAAUUAGCGUUUUUAAUUCCUAGGAUUUAGUAUGUUCGAUAUUGAUAAUCAACAGACGAGUCUUUCGCCGUCUAAAAAUGGAAAAAAACAUAUUUUUGUUCGCCAUUAUUUCAUCAUGUUUAUAUUCAAUGUUAAGAAUACUAUGUCAGAUAAAAUUUUAUUUGAAACUACCAGAUUGUCUAGAAUUGUAUAAAAUUAUGAUUAAUUUGUAACAAUUUUUAAUGUUUAUUUCUUUAAGAUUUGUAUUUAGAAAUGAUCGAUGCGUCUGGAAUAUUUACAAAAAAAUAUAUAACAUGAAUGAAUGAUGAGCUCCCAAAACAGCAGGAACAGAGUCUAAAUUACUUUAAUUUGCAUACAACUUAAGUGUCAUGCUAACAUUCAGAAUAUAUUAAAGUUUAUUAAAAGGGAAAUCAAGAGAAACGUAGAUGUUGACAAAGGAAAGAUGAGGAUGAAGAAAUAUGCGCGCGCGCCAAUACUAUAAAAUGGUCGUUAUAAUCCGCGACCAGACAGGUCAUAAGGGUGAUCAGUUUUGGUGUCUGAUUUUUUGUUUUGACAAGGUUUUAAGAUGUUUCUUUCAAAGAUGACCAGUUAUCAACAGAUGCCCACUGAUCGAUUUUAAAUGACCAUUGGUCAUUCAUCAAUGACAUGUUGAAAAAUUGGUUAAAUUGUCCGUGAAAUCCCACACCAGGUGAUAUAGAAAUCUGUAACAGGCGACUGCUAAUAAGCUAAAAAUACGUUUAAAUGAAGGGAGUUUGUAGAAUCAAUUAACAUACUCGUAAAAUGACCACAAACAGAUAAAUAGUAGGUUUUUUUGCGAUAAUUGGGUUAGGUGUUAGCAAUGGCAUUAAGCACCCAGUUAUGUUAAGUCAUCGCGGUUUAUAUUUUUCGUUAAUGUCAAAGCCAGGGAUUUAAUUUUAAAAACAAUAUUACAUAAAUCCUGAAAUUCAUAGUUUUAAAUACAUUAAAACGAAACUAAAACAAAUGUGUAGUGUAUGUUCACAAAAUUUGAUUUUCUAUAUAUAUCAUACAAUGUCAAAAUCUAAAUUUAAGCAUUUUCUUUUGCGAAGUAUUCUUAUUUUAACCGAUUAUCGUUUCAGUAUGGUUUGAUGUUUGCUAAUUAACAUUUGACUGAAUUUUCUUAAACUAAAGGUCAAGUAUCACCGAUCUUACUCUCUUCUGACCAAUGGUCAUCGGUUCGGCCAAUGGUCAGUUUACACUUCAUUACUCAGUGACCCUGCAUAAGUCCAAGUUUUAGAACAUACUCACCCCUUCUCGACCAAUGAAAAGUCAGUUUUUUGCCCUCUAAUUUUCAUAGUACAUGGUUUUCCAUGCACUAUGAAAUGCUAUACAUGAAUGACUUUUCAUUGUCAGUUAAUUAAUUAUGAAAGUGAACUCUUAAUAACUGCACUAACGAAGUGUACAAUCCCCUAAGGCAUUUUCCUUGGAAAAUAGCCUACUGAUUACAGAUGAAAGAGAAAAGAUUAAAAUUAAAACAUUUUGAAUUUUGCAAAAUUUCAUGCAUUUUCUAAUGGUACACAUAAUAGAAUAUACAAAAAAAAUAUGGUAAGGACAAAUAAAAUGAUAUUUCUUUAAUUUAUAUACCUUACAUUUGAAGGAAUUAUUUUUCUUUCUUUCAAAAAAACACAAUGCCAGACUGCUGAUAUAUAAAGCAAAGGGUUGUUGUCGGAGAAACGCAAUACAUUUAAAUUUAUCAAUAAAAAGUAAGCAUUUAAUGUUGAAUGGUCUGCAUUCAAAUAUUCAUACAGAGAGUUUUAUAUCUAUAAAAAAAAAUCAAAUUCCAAAAAGGGGAUUUAUAUAACAUUGUGUUGCUUUUUAAAAUAAAAAAAAUGUAAAGAUAUAUGAGUAUUAAAAUUUACCUGAAGCAGAAGAAACUCAAUUUAUCCUUCACCAACUAUGUCCAUGCUAUUUUAUUUCAUUCAUUGAAAUGAUCAUUACCUAUGUUUUAUAUUUAGUUCAUUAUAAAAAGUGAACUCUUAUUUAGGUUUGAAUAUUACAAUGAGAAAGGAAAGUUUUUUAAGGUCACUCGAAAGUGUGAAUAUGUUCUAAAUUGGUCAGACAAUACUUGAUCAUGUUUUAUGAAGAUUUAAGCCCUCGGCUUCGCCUUGGGCUUAAAUCUUCAUAAAACAUGACCAAGUAUUGUCUAACCUAUAAGUAAUUCAUCGUGGAUUAUAACAAGGAAUUGUAAUAAUAGAAAAGCGUCAUAAACCCUAAGUGGGUAUUAAUGUUUUGUUCGCAGAUUUAAAGAACCGUAAAACAAACAUUCUAUUCUUCGAUGUGAAAAUUAAAGAUUUAAAUACCGUAUGUCUGUCUGUCUUGUCUAUCUGGCUGUUUUAAAAACACCAAGAUAUUUGCACUUUUACACUUAUUGCUUUUCGAUUAAAAUAGUGUUUUGUAUGCAUGGGUUAAAAUGUUUAUCUAUGGAUUAAAAUGGCGUUUUGCAUACCCACGGGUUCGUUCUGUAUGAGUAUUAAUCUGUUUGUCUAGGUGAUGCACUAUUGCUGCACUUGAAAAGAAUCCGCGUCAAUAUAAUAAAAAUGAGGUAUCAUUUAUCUUAGCAUUCCCAAGAGUAAUUUGUUCGUUCAUUACUAUGUAUAUAUGCACAACUAUUGUCUAGCAAGUUUAUCAUGUUAUGUAAACAGGUUUCUAACUUAUUAUGUAAUAUCCAGUAACCCUUUCAGAGGAUAUAAAGAAAGUAGAAAUCGGUUUUAAAAUGAUAAAUUGACCGUUGGUUUUCCUGUUUGAAUGGGUUUACACUAGUAAUGUUUGGGGCACUUUACAGCUUGAUGUUCAGUGUGAGUCAAGGCUCCGUGUUGUAGACCGUACCUUGACCUAUAAUGGUUAACUUUACACAUCGUGACUUGGAUGAAGAGUUGUCUCCUUGACACUAACGUCACAUCUUCUUAUAACUAUAUACAUAAAAGAGACGACAACUAUAACAAAAAUGAAAACAACGAAAGAUCUAUAUAGGUAACCUAAAUACUAAAUUACUAUAGAGAUCACAGCAAUCUAAGACUAUAGGACAAUAGGCAUGAACACUCUUAUACAGCACAAAACAAGACGCGUCAAUAGUAUUUAAACAAUGUAUUGUCACUUUUUAGAGAUUUACUCCUGUAAAGGCUGUAUGAGUAGUCUAGAGAUCUGGGCACAGUACAUGUGUUGUUGUCUCGAUGUCCCAUAUGAUGAGUUCGAAACCCGGCGAGGGAAGUAUAAACAUUUGCUUCCUCAAAUUUGCAUAUUUAACAUUACAGAGAAAUUAUGUAUACAUAAAGAGUGUUUAUGUGUAUGUAUUAUCCACAAGCUUACAUGGGUCGUAUCUGAAUUUACGAGCUCUUGCGAAAACAUCACUCCUGUUAUAUAAUAAGUUUUUUUAAAUGUUCAGCCUAACUUCCAAACCAAAUCUUCGUAUCUAUUAAACUCGGAAUUCAGUACAGGUUUUGAGUAAGUUUUAGUAAAAAAAAAUCUAACUUUAUAUUUUACCAGUGAUACAUAGAUUAUGUUCACACGAUUCGAUAGCGACACGGUCAUAGCGAACGCAUUUGGACAAAUAACCAUCGCAAAAUGGGACUAUAUAUACAGGAUCGUCUUUGUCCAAGAAAAAUAAGGAAACGUAACAAUGGGGAAUUAAAAAUGUUUCCUUUUGCCGUAAAUUGUACAUCAGAACCUGCAUGGAACCGCAGUUGCAUGUAUACAUAUGCAUCCAUGUUGAUGCACCAUGAACUUGUAAUGCUAUAUGUACCCAUAUAAGGUUGAUAUAAGCACCCAUGCGUCCAUGCUAGAUACUGUGAACAAUAAUAGCGUCAAACCAAGAUAUGAUCAGAUAUGGCUAAUGCAAAAAGAUAGAUUUCCAUAAUUUAAAAGGUGGCCUGGCAGCAAUUUUGUACUUAUGUAUUCUAUGGUAUGUUUGGGUCAAGUACAGGCAGAAUGACAUGUUGAUGUAAAUAUAUUUUUUUUAUAUUAGAGUAUAAAUAAUUCAAUUGUUGAAAAGUGUUUAUAAUAUCAAUACAUGUUUGGGUCAAGUAUAGGCAGAAUGACAUCUUGAUAUGAAUAUUUUUUUUAUAUAUGUAUUAGAGUAUAAAUAAUUCAAUUGUUGAGAAGUGCUUGUAAUCUUACAUGUUUGGGUCAUAGGCAAGUGACAAAUAGCAUCUAAAGGCGUCUUAAUUUUGUGUCCAAUAAUGGAAACCUUUGUUCAAUAUACUAUAUGAAAUCUAUAUUAAUCCAUACUUUAAAAGUAAAGUCUGGACAAUAGAAACUAUAGAAAGUGUUUCCAUGGAUUUCUGAGACAUUUGCAGAAGAAUGUCCUCCUUAACUAUAAAAUACUUAAUAAAAUACCACAUUAGAUGUUUUUAUCAAUAUUGGUGUUAUAGAAAAUAUUGAAUGCAGCAAUUCAAAUGUCCACGGCCAUUGCCAAUAUCCUCUUCGCCAAUAAAAAGGUAAUCUUGUUUAACGCCCGGAUGACCUUUCUGUAAACCUUGCUACACGCCAAAUAGAAGAAAAGAUGCAGAAGGCGGCUUCAUGAAUAUCUAUUGGAACAGAUCAACACUUUACUAAGUUUGUUUAAAUAUUCUGGUAUUCUCGACAGUUCAAUAAAACCAAAAUUAGGAACAAUACUUACAAUCGGUCUGAAAAUUAUAAAGCAACUUAUUCGACUAAUAUUUAAGGACAGUGACACUACAUGUGUUAAACGUAUAAGAAAAUUACUCCUGUUCGAUCAACUACCCAUCACUGUAUAUGCCGUGGAGCAGUAUCUGCUUACCAUUACGGAGCACUUGAGAUCACCCACCACUCCGUUUCGGUAUAGGGUUCGUGUUGUUCCGUCUUUGGUCUUAUAUGUAGAGUUUUGUAGAUUGUUGUUUGUCUUUUCGUCGCUUUCGGGUUUUUUUUUGGUCAUAGUUGUGUUUCCGUCUUUUGUCAUCUAUAUAGAGUUUUGAAGAUUGUUUUUUUUUUGUCUUUUUGUCGACUUUUUUAUUUGUUAUAGUUUUGUUUCCGUUCUUUGUCUCCUAUGUAUUUUUUUGAAGAUUGUUUUUUUGGCUUUCCGUCGCUUUCGUUUUUUUGUUGUCAUAGUUUUGUUUCCGUCUUUUGUCUUCUGUGUAGCGUUUGGAAGAUUGUUUUUUGUCUAUCGUCGCUUUCGUUUUUUUGUUGUCAUAGUUUUGUUUCCGUCUUUUGUAUUCUAUGUAGAGUUUUGAAGAUUGGUUUUUUUUUUGUCUAUCGUCGCUUUCGUUUUUUGUUGUUGUCAUAGUUUUGUUUCCGUCUUUCAUCUUCUAUGUAAUGUUUUGUAGAUUGUUGUUUGUUGUUUGUCUUUUCGUCGCUUUCGUUGUCUUUUUUUUAUUUUUAUACGCCCGUCAAAAUUAUGACGGGACGUAUUAUGGUAUACAAAUGUCCUGUGUCCGUCCGUCUGUCUGUCCGUCUAUCCGUCUGCCGUCUGUCUGUCCUUAUACGCCCGUCAAAAUUUUGACGGGACGUAUUAUGGUAUACAAAUGUCCUGUGUCCGUCCGUCCGUAUGUCCGUCUGUCCAUAUGUCCGUUUGUCCGUCUGUCCGUCAGUCUGUCCGGCGUAAACAUGUCGCACCGUAACUUGAAAACGACUUAUCCAAAUUUCAUGAAGCUUAAUAUAGUUGUUUUUUAUAAUGGUCAAAUGAUCUGUAUCCUUUUUGGUGAAAAUAAGAUUUAAACUUUUUGAGUUACGGCACUUUGUAACUAAAACAGGGGUAUGUUUUUUUUUUCACAUGUCGCACCGUAUCUCAAAAACAAUUCUUGAUUAUUGCUUAAAACUUUACACACUUCUUAGUUAUAUUAAUCUUUAUAUCUGUAUACUUGUUGGUGAUGAUUCAAAAUUUAUUUUUGAGUUAUUGAGUAUUUUGUAAAAAAGGGGGAGGGGGUUUUUACAUGUCGUGCUGUAUCUCAAAAACAAUUUAUGAUUAUUGCUUAAAACUUUACACACUUCUUUGUUAUAUUAAUAUAAAGAUCUGUAUACUUUUUGGUUUAAUUCAAAACUUUAUUUUAGUGAUAUUUAGUUUUUUGUAAAAAAAAAAAAAAAACAGGGUUGGAGGGGGGGGGGAGGGGUUCACAUGUCCCGCCGUGUCUCAAAAACAAUAAAUGGUUAUUGCCUAAAACUUUCUCAGAAACUAUUGAUGAUUAUUGCAUAAAACUUCCACACAAGACGUAGGGCGUAUCAUGCGCUCAUGGCGCAGCUGUUUAUUUUGCCAUGGUAUCUUUGGGUCCCGCACUGAAAAGAUUUAUGAGAGAUAAUAUUUUAUACACAUGUAAUCACAGUACAUACAAUGCAUAUUUAUAGAAUAUAAAAUGAUUAUUCUUUUCAGUAAUAAAAUAAAAGCAGAUUUUGGCAGUGUAAAAGUAAAAUUUGUUCACCAUUAAAUCAAAAUAGAAAUUUAUUGUCAUACGACAUGCAUAUAUACUUAAAAAUAUUGACCAAAAAAAAAAUCAGAAUGGACAGAGACAUACAAUACAACUUAAUAAUAUAUAUGUCUAUGACAUGACUGAACAAAUCAGCUAGUAUAUCCGUAUGUUACUGGCAUAAGAGCCGGGGGCAAGGGGGCAAUUUACCCCUCACUUUUGGGACAAUAAUAUAAAUGAAAAGUACAAGCUCCAGCUCCGGUACCGGGGAGUUAAUACUCGUAGUAUUAGAACCUGAUUUAUAUACUCUGACAUGGUUAGAUUGAUAGACGUCUUUAUCAUAUAUAAAAAGACCAACAAUCAAAUCUAAUACUGUCAACUAACUAAUUUUCGCGAGUAGAAAAAUAACUCGAAUAUUAAAAGUCGCGAAAAUGUCCUUAUCUGCUUUUGAAAGUUGCCGUGAGGUUGGCAAAAGAGAACUAAACGCGAGAAUAGGUUGGUUUAUAGUAACUUCUGGGUCCCCUAGAAAUGCCAAUUCUGCGCAGGUGUGGUAAAAAUAUAAAAAUUGGCGCAAUGGUAUAUGAUGGUAACUACAAAUAUACGGAGAUGAUGGUAUAAAAUGGCUUUGACUAUUUUUACGGCUCACAACAAAUAGCCGAAAUACCUAUCCAAAAUGAUUGUCAACACGAUUUUAUAACAUCAUCUUCGUAUGUUACCUUCUUAUAUUUGUACCAUUGCACUUGUUUCUGGUAAAAAAAUAUCAACAUACAACAUUUGGGACUAUUAUACCAAUAUAAUAGUACAAUUUAGUAUUAUAUAGCUUUGAUAUAGGGGGAUUAAGAGACAGUUCAGCGACUUCUUAUUGAUUUGGAUGAAAAUAAAAAUUAACACCACAAAAUGUUGUUCUGUUUUAUUUUAUUAAUGCGGUGUUCUCUGUUCGCGUUAACAAAAAAGGGAGCUUUCAAAGAGGUCCGCGUUUACAUUCUAUAAUUGUAUGCAACGGUGCCGCAUGUCAACGUUUGAAAUGAUAUUUAACUCAUUAAACUUGAUUUUUUUAAUAAGUUGGUAGUCUCGAAUAUACAUAAUUAUAAUAUACCUUUAUAGGUGCGACAUUAGUAAAAUGUGAAGAAACAAAAUAAACUAAUAGAACUGCGGGAAAAUAUAUUGAAAAUGUUAAAAUGUAAGUAUAUGAUUUUAACGUUUUAAUAAAUAAACUAUGGAAAUUCAAAUAAACCUUUGUAAAAUAAAUAAGCUUGUAAACUUUUAUUGUUCACGUAUGAAUAAGUCAAAAUAGGAAAAAUAUAAUUCGCCAAUACAUUUUUCGUGGGCGGAGUUAAAUCAAAUACGCUGUUGAUCUGAAGCAAUCAAUUCAUUAUUCGGAAGGAAAUGCUAUACUGCAUUGCUACAGUUCAAAAUCACAAAUUUUAAAGUUUUGUGGAUUAAUCAACGUAAAUUGCACUAAUCAAUUAACAUAUUGUGUCAAGAUUAAAGGAUUAUAAGAAUACAGCGGAACCCGUUUGAUCCCAGUGGAAGUGUUUUUACAGAUUAUUCGAAUACGCGUACACAAAUCAAAUAUAUAAGUUAAUGUUCUAUUACAUGUGUAACAAAAGUGGUACUUUCCUUUAUUAUUUUGUGAAAAUAAAAAACUAAACUUAUUUUCACCUGUCCGAUAACGGGAAAGUUUUUACCUUAGAACUACUUGCGCAUGCGUUAAUGCUAUUUUUGCAGACAGAAAAGUGAAACACUGGCCAAAACAUGGCGAAGCCAUGUCGCUUCGUAGGAUUUAUAUUUCGAGGCCUUGUGUAUUAUUUGUGGUUUAUAUCAUCUUAUAUUUCUUGUGAAAAAGGUAAGUGUAUUGCUGGACAUAAACAGCUAUUUUGUAAACGCGGCACACAUUAUAAACAGACGAUAACAGUACACACAUAUUCAGUGACAGUGUGUCAAUAAUUCUAACUUACACCACAGGAGUGAAAUCCUAUCAAUGAGGGUCUAUAAAUAUGUCAACUCGACUAUCACAGUAGAGCUUCUCUCGUAGAGAGAAGCGACAGGAAUGCAACGCGUUUUUCAAUUUUUUUUAACUUUUUUGAAUCUGGGACUUUUUGAUCGGAAUAAACGCUAUGCGUCAACUAAUAAACAUAUUGUUCAUUCAAUUAACCACUUAAACUACUUUGCAGGUCACUAAUUAUUAAUUUACAGCUUCUUUUUACGUCCUGACAGAAUCCUUGUCAUUAUUUUUGGCCAUGGGAGGAAGUCGAGGAAAUUCCAAUCAGCAGUGAAUAUAUGUAAAUGAGGUAUAGUAUUUCAUUAAACAAACAGUCGAAAUAAAUCAUACAAAUUUAUCAAGUACUUUCUCAUAAUUAUUCCUAAAGUAUUAUGAUGUCAAACUAUUAAAAAAUCCGUCCCUUCAUUAAAUUUAAUUGUUCGCUUGGAAGUUCAAGGGAAACAACUCUUCUGUGUAAAAAGUUUACAUGCGGGAAAUUUAAAUUUCACAAUAAUCUGAAGAAUUCUUCUUUCUAUUACUGUUUCAAGUGAUCAUGUCAAAGCAAAUAGAUACAGUUAUAUGGUAAUACACGUUUUCAUCAGUACCUUAAACCUGUAACCUGCCCAAUUAUAUCCUUAAUUAGAAUUUCUAAGUGAAAACAAAAAAGGGGGAGCACAGACCAAAAUAAGAAAUUUGUAAUUUUUUAUUUAUGUUCAGUAUCAGUUCCAGCAGUGGAUAGCUUGAUUUGCACUUUUAAAAAAAAUGAAGGGGUCCUUAUGUUAGAAAUAUUUGUAGAAAGGGGAUGUAAACUAAAUGAUUAUUUGGAAAAAUAUAUUAGUACUUUGGAAAAAAAUAUGCCCAGGUUCUUGAAAUUUUAUCAAUGGAUGUGUCAAAAAAAAUUGAAAAGAUUUCAACAACUAAUGAUUUAUGGUUUUAGAAAAAUAAUUAAUAAUUAAUUAAAUACAUAUUACAGAUGGUGCAAUAAUAAUCAUUCAUUUUGGUUAGGACAAAUAAAAAUAUAUGGGGUGAGUUUUCAGUUACCCUAUACUUUUUAGUCUUAAAAUUACUAAUUGCCUACCCUACAGAUUUUUCUGUCAUUUUUCAUUAAGCACCGUUAAAGUAAGAAUGUUGUUCUUAUAGACCCAAUGUAAAAAAGGCUUUAAAAAUUCUCUUCAUGUAACUUUCUUUUUUUAGAUGUAACUGAAUGCACACAUAAAUUUUAUUUUGCCUUAUUUCAUUAGUUCAUGAAGUCUAAUCAAAUUUUAUAUUUAUGUCUGUUAAAUCUUGAAAUGAUGGAUCAUUCCUGUUAGUGUAUUCUUUAAUUUUUUCACACAUCAAACUUUAUUUGUAUAAAAACAAUGGCUAUUAUGUAAUAAUUACUUGCUUACUGUUGUCUGGAAAUUGCUUUCAGAUAUACUUUUGACUGUUCUGUAAUAUUUGCAGGUAUUUUUUUUUAUUCUAGCCCCCACUCCUUAUUCUCCAUUCUGUAAACCCCACCCACAUCUGAGUGGAUAUGUACUUAUGUACUUUCACCUUACCUACUUUUGCUUUUUUAUUGACAAAUAACCUUAGGUUAUGAAUUUGCAAGUUAGUCAUUUCAUCUUAUGGAAAAAAAACCAUACUUUGAAUCAAAUAAAUUAAGGAUACCUCUUGUUUGCAUAGAAACAGAAUUUCAUUUUUUUUAUAAACUAUUUCUAUAUAUUAAUAAUAAGGAAGCAAUAGUAAAAAUAUUUGAUCUUCUACUACCACCUACCCUAUUAUUUGGUAUGUAGCAGUAAACUCAAUUUUUGGUCUAAAUACUUGGCAGUUUUUAGCAGUUUCUUUUGACAUACCACCACAUGCAUGAAUGCUUGGUCAUAACAUAAACAGAUAUAUUGUAGUGUGCUUGCUCGUCAACAAUUUUAAAUAUUGUAGGACGACUGUCUUCCAUAAUAAUCUGUAAUAGACUAGUGAUAAGAAGAUGGGCCUGUGUCCAUGAUCAUUCAAAACUUUUUAACUAAUCACCAGAUUAGAUUUUUAUUGGGUAUUCUGUUUACUAGUUUAAAUUACCAGUUUAUAAAUAUAAUUAACAGCUGCAAGUAUACAAGAUAUCUUUCGGGUAAACUCAACUCAAACCAAUGUAUUAGAUUAAAUAAUCUGCCUUUUGACCACAAUUGUAGCUUAGUUCUCGUAUGAAGCAUGCAUGCAACAAUUCUUGUGAACUAUACAAAUAGUCAAAACAUACAAUAUUUCUGCGACCUUGUUAGAAGACCAAACCUUUGAAUUACUUACCAGAUUAUAUUUAUUCACCAAGAUAUAAAGCAUAAUAUAAAUAAAAUGUUGACAUAUGUCUAUGACCAUGUAUGCAGAAUGACUUUCAUAAAGUAUCACACCAUUCAUGUAACAAUAUAUGGUGUACACUACAAAUCAAGGGUUGACCUAUCAGUGGCAGAUCUAGAACUUUUCAUAAGGGGGGGGGGGGGGGCCCGCUGACUGACCUAAGGGGGAGCCCGCUCCAGUCAUGCUUCAGUGAUUCCCUAUAUAAUCAACCAAAUUUUUCCCACGAAAGGGGGGGCCCCCCUGGAUCCGCCUAUGCCUAUGACCUUGUAUAUAGACCAACUUUUUAAUUAUGAGGCUUUCUAUACCAAUAUCAAAAUAGAAUAAGAUUUGAAAGCCUAUAAAUAUAAAUAGCACCACUGGUAUAAGAGUCAAUGCAAAUUAUCUACAUGUCUCUCAUUAAUAGCAUACCACAAAAAUAAUCUUGAGAGUAUAAUCUGUAAGUUUUUUAAACCAAAACCAAUAUGAAUCUCCUGCAACUCUGUUACAAGCAAGAUUUAGAAAAGGCCACUAUUGAAAAUGGACCAAAUCUUAAAUUCUGUAGUCUCAACACUGAAAAUGGUCAACAGACAGACUGACCACUGCAAUAACCAGAGAACCUGUUAUUUUCAAUUCAAAUAGAGGACACACUUAAUUGAAUUAUUAAUCUCUGUAUGGAAUAAGCUUAUAUGCAAAGGGUCUGUAAGCAGAAAAAAAAUGAAAUACAUAUCUAUCCAUGUUUAUGUAAGUUUCCUUUCUACAUUCAAGUUUGAUUGUCCCUUUCAAGUCGGUUUUACCUUUCUUUUAUCAUUAUAAAAUUAUGUACUUAAUAUCAAUUGAAAACUGCAUGAAACUGAAAAAAAUAACUCUAUUUUCAUCAUGUUGGUUGAUGGCGUCAUGGGGUAUAAUUUUAACAGAAACUUAACUCUGUGGUGAAGGCUGAAGGCUGUACUUUGACCUAUAAUUAUCAACUUUUUAUAUAUUGUGACUUUGAUGGAGCGUUGUCUCAUUGGCACUCAUACCACAUCUUCUUAUUUAUACGAUUAGAUGUUCUAAAUACGAUUCUGAUCAGUCUAUAGAAGGGAAGAUUUUUAAAGCAACUUAUGUGGAUAGCAAUAUGUCAGUCAAAAUGGUUGUCUGUUUUCAAUUACAAACUACACUACAAUUACACUACAGUGGAAGGAAAUUACAGUAGCAGUUAAAUUAAGGGUUACCAGCAAUCAAACAAUAAGUAAUUGAUGGAUGGAUGGAUGGAUGGUUGUUUAACGUCCAGUGGCAAGUCAGAUGCAUAUUCAGGAUGAGAACAUGAUAAUGAUUAAUGAAUAUUAACCCUGCUUUGUACUCGACCGACACACUGACCUGGAUUUUUAACAUGCUAGCUCACAAGGUAACAGUUCGCAGGAAUAUAUGUCACUUACCCAGACACAUUAUUCUGACUGAACAGUCCGGGCCGAACAGUCUUUGCUCUAACUCCUUAUUGCCGCGUGCUUGGCGAAGAAGCAGCAAAUACCAAUUUUCAAGUCUUUGGUUUGACCCCGCCGAGGGUGGAACCCACAACCUACCGCACUCGAGGCGACCACACUAACCAUUACAUCACCGAGGCGGUGUAAAGAAUUGAAUAUAAAUCUUCUCAUUCUAAAGGUCAAAUACAAAAGCUUGAAAUGAAAUUGGAAGCAAUUUUUUUUUAUUUAGAAUAUCAAUAAACUGCAUGUCCCACUUGUUUCUAUAGAUGUCCCAGUGUUCAUGUGAUGAAAUAUUGAAACGUCUCACUGAAAUAAUAAGAAAACUAUAUAUUGUCAAAUGAAUAAUUAGAAAAAAAAUUGUAAAACUGUUUGCUUUUAUCAUUUAAAACUAUAACAGCUACGUAUGAUGAAUAAUGCAGAUCCGGAAAUUUAUAAUUAAUUUACUGUGUGGACACAGACAUGCAUGGAUAGUAUCCAGCAUUCAAGACCAAUACUGGUCUGGACCUGCGUCACUGCAUAUAUUUGCUCUACAGAAAAUCUAAAACAAUUCCUUCAAUAGAAACCAAAAAAUUUUGUCUAAAAAUUUUCCUUGUACAAUAAGUGGCUAAAUUUCAAACUUUCGGCAAACAGGAAGUGGCUGCACCACAGAUCUUUAAAUUUCUUACACCCUACAACUCAACAUAGUCAAGCUCUGUUCCAAAUAUAAAAUCAUUCCCUUUCAUAGAAGCCAAGAAAACUUUGACGAAAAAUUUUCCUUGUACAUUGAGUAGCUAAAUUUCAAACUAUCGGCAAACAGGAAGUGGCUGCACCGCAAAUCUUAAAAUUGCUUACACACUACAACUCAACAUGAUCAAGCUCUGGACCAAAUAUAAAAUCAUUCCCUUUCAUAGAAGCCAAGAAAACUUUGACGAAAAAUUUUCCUUGUACACUGAGUAGCUAAAUUUCAAACUAUCAGCAAACAGGAAGUGGCUGCAUCGCAGAUCUAAAAAUUGCUUACACUUUACAACUCAACAUGAUCAAGCUCUGGACCAAAUAUAAAAUCAUUCCCUUUCAUAGAAGCCAAGAAAUCUUUGACUAAAGUUGAUAUGCAAGUCUUUCGGACGGACGGAAUGACGGACGGAGUCGAGCGGUUACUAGACCUGCUUUCACCGUUGGUGACGCAGGUAAAAAAAACACACCCUUUUAAUCCAAAUAAUUACAUUACAGUACUAGUAUAUUUCAACAUAUAAAUCUGUUAUUUUGAUUGGCUAACAACAAUCUCACGUCAUUCUUCAUAGCACAAUGAUAUGUAACACCCAUGAUAGCACAUGCUUUAUAUGUACAGGUAAAUAUAUACAAAAAAAUGAUAGAGAUUGUUUUUUCCUUCAUCCUAGCAAAAAUAUGUAAUUAUAAGAAUUGAAUGGUCUUUGAGCAAUAUAAUAGGCUUGUCAAACCGUUGAUCGUGCACGCAAUCUAAGAAUGGCUUCAUACAAAAUGUAUAGCUUUGUCAUCAUGUCUCAAUUGUUUUUUUUUUAAUGUUUUUAUCACUAUUUUUUUUUUAAAGGUGACUUUUUCAAUAAAAGUUUGAUGAAAGUAUUCAAAUAUAAAUAAGAUGUGGUAUGCGUGCCAAUGAGACACUUCUCCAUCCAAAUCACAAUGUAUAAAAAGUUAACAUGCAAAAAAAUACAUGAACAAGAUCACUUUUAUCUAGUUAAAUUGUUACCUGUUGCUUUAAACUAUUUUUUUCAGCCAAGGAUGUUUCCAUUUGUCUUCCAGAAUAUGACAUGAUUCUUCCAUGUUCAGUCUUCUUUGCUUUACAUCCUCUAUUUGUCUGUUUUUUUCUCUUUCAAUUUCUGACAUUUUCACACUAUACUCUUCCCUAAAAUUAAUGAGUUCAUAGUCCCAAGCACUUUUACUGGUUUUUAGAGAAGUUUUAUAGCUUGUUCUUUUUUCACGAAGAGCAGACUGAAGCUCAUUGACUCUUUAUUUCUUUAUUUUGUUUUAAUUCAUUCAUUAAAUCAUUCUGAUUUGCCAUUUCUUUCUUCAGUAUGGAUUCUAUAUUAGCAAGCUUUUGUUUGUAAUCUGCUCCCAUCUUUUCUUUGUCCUCAUUCAUUUCUUCAGUCAAUGUCUGUAUUUCAGUCUGUCUUUGAGUCAGUAUAUUUUCCAGGUAAUUUAGUAGCCCAGCUCAAAAUCUAGGGGCCAUGUGCGACUGGGCCUUUUGCUAGAUUUUAUCCCUGUUUUCCAUUCUACUAAUAAUGAUUCCAAUAUCAGCUCUUGAAGGUGUGAUAGACAUGUUUGUUUGGACAGAACAUUCCAUUCUUGAAAUGCUUGAACUUUUUUGCUGCUGUUGGUGGUGUUGCUAUGGAAAGAAUCAAUAAAUGUCCAGUGCUCCUGUGCUCCUGUAAUGAAAUAAACAAAUAUUUCACUGAAAUAAUAAAAGUACUACAAUGUAUUGACUGUAAAAUGCAAUUCUUAAUGAUGUAAAACUUAAUGUCCUGAAAGUUGGACGUGUGUACCUUACAAUCAUUCCAAACGACAAAUAUAAAAGAUCUAUUCUUAUUAGCUUAUUAUUAUUACCAUAGAAAUGGCAAAAAACUCGAAAAUUUUCAAAAUUCUCCAAAUUUUAUGAAACUUUAUAGACAGUUGAUUUAGCAUAUAUAAAGAUAUGUUUUUUGACUUUUGGAAAUUUCAAAAUGGCUGCCGUUGUCAUGGAAACGGCCAGAUGGCCUGGCAAUGGGGGAACGGGGUGACAUCUGCUAUUGCUCGCAAUGGCAAGUCUAGUUCUUAUUGUAUCUGGAAUAUUGACUUUACCACGAAAAAAUCAUUUAUUGGUCAUCAGUUUUUCCUGUUUUGUAUGUGUUGGUUUUCCUUUUAAAUUGUUUUACACUGGCAAUGCCUUGGCCAUUAUAGCUUGCUCUUUGGAGUGAGUCAAUACCUGUGUCAUAAAUUACAUAACUAUUACAUUGUCUUAUUGGCACUUAUAUCAAAUAUCAUUUUGUCUUAUGCUCUAGAUUUUUUUUUUGCCUAACUAAUAUUUCGAUUUGAGUCACUGAUAAGUGUUGAUUACACAAAACAGGUGUCUGGUUAACAUUAAAAGCCUGGUACGUUUGAUAUUAUUUAAAACAUUGAAUUUAUUGACUAAACAUUAAACAGUCAGGGGUACUACUUAAACAAGUGAUUUCAGGAUCACCUAUUAAAGUGAUUGCGCUAUUGAAAAAUGAAAAAUGUUUAUAAAAUUAGAAACACUUUUUAAAAUCACUUGCAUAAGUGAUUUGAGAUGUAAACAUUAAAUCACUUAUUAUAACAUUUUCUCAAUAAUUUACCCACAAUCUAGAUUUACAUAGGGUUAAAAAAACUAUUCUAUUGAAAAUACAACUGAAUACAUGCAAAAAUGCUCUUUUGCUAAAUUAUUUUGUCAGUUUUUAAAAUUUAUUUGGAUUAUGCUUAAACUGGGAUAAUUUGUAGAUACGGUCAAAACCUUGAAGUAAAUCAUACUAAUUAUAAAGAAAACAAAGCAGAUUACAUAAAUGUGUUGACCUUUAUGUUAUUGGUAGAGUAGUAAACUCUAGAAAUAUAGUAUAUAGAAGACAGAAAUAGUCCCAAGGGUUCUUUUAAAAGCUUCAGCGCACUAACUUGCUGCCCAAGCGCACUGAUAAAAUUGAUAUAUCAAGAUAAAGAGAUAAUUGAUCUAUGUAGACAAAUUUCAGAAAAAAUUGCCAUUUCAUGGAAAAUUAGUGAAAUCAGCAUUUGAAGAUCAAAGAAAACACCAAAAUCACUUAAAUAGGUGAUUACUGAAAUUUGAAAAUCACUGAAAUAAGCGAUAAUGAAAUCACUUGUUUGAGUCAUACCCCUGACUGUUAAAUCUGGGGCAUUUUUGAUUUUCUAUUUUAGUUACUGAUUAAUAUAUAUAUAUACUUAACUGAAAAAAAAUCCAGUUAACAUCCUGUGUUCUUGUGAUGAAAAUAUUUCACUUCUUCCUGUAAUAGUUAGUUAUGAAAAUAAUUAUGUUAUACAUAUUUUAUAGUUUUUGGAUAGUUUUUCAGUGUACUGUAAAUGAUACCAAGGUUUUUGUUGACAUCCCUGGACGUUGUCUUGUGAGGUUGUCCAUGUUUUUUCAAACAAUACUGAUUUUUAUAGUUCGUUCGUAUGUUGUACUGUUACCACUGUCUCAAGUUAGGGGAGGGUUAGGAUGCCGCUAACAUGGUUAAGCCGCCACAUUAUGUAUGUUUGUGCCUGUCCCAAGUUAGGAGCCUGUAAUUCGUUGUUGAGUUACAUAUUUGUUUUUUGUUAAUUUUUUUGUAAAUUAAUCAGGCCAUUAUUUUUUGUGUCAUUUGGUCUCUGGUGAAGAGUUGUCUCAUUGGCAAUCACACCACAUCCUCUUUUUUAUACAUACAUAAAUUUGCAGUGACAUCACAACUUAUAACUGACCAAUCAAUGAUUAGCAUUUUUGCUCGGGCAUUUUUGUUAUGUAAACAAUGUUGAGAGAUGAAACUAAUAGGAAUCCUCUAGACUUUUCAUAGACUUCAAUGCAAAUGAAUUUAAUUGAUAUGUAUCGACACCAGUUAAAUAUCACAAUUUUACUCUUUUAAUGUUGUUAAAGACACUAUAUAAUAUCUCCAUUUUGAUUUUUUUCAUACUAUAUCCAUCGGUUAAAAAAUAAUCAGCAAUAAAAAUAUUCAGUCAUUACCUUCAAAUAGAGGAAAAAUCUAGAGGAUUCCUAUUGGCAUAACCACCUGAAAAAUUGAAAUGCCAGGAUGUCCGGAUUUAUGUAUACGUUAUAUUUAAAUUUUAAUAUUCUAACUUUCCAUAAAAUUACCAAUUCAGGGGCAGCAACCCAUCAACGGGUUGUCCGAUUCAUCUGAAAAUUUCUGGGCAGAUAGAUCUUGACCUGAUAAACAAUUUUACCCCAUGUCAGAUUUGCUCUUAAUGCUUUGAUUUUUGAGUUAUAAGCCAAAAACUGCAUUUUACCCCUAUGUCCUAUAUUUAGCCGUGGCAGCCAUCUUGGUUGGAUGGCCGGGUCACCGGACACAUUUUUUGAACUACAUACCCCAAAGAUGAUUGUGGCCAAGUUUGGAUUAAUUUAGCCCAGUAGUUUCAGAGGAGAAGAUUUUUGUAAAAGAUUACUAAGAUUUACGAAAAAUGGUUAAAAAUUGACUAUAAAGGGCAAUAACUCCUUAAGGGGUCAACUGACCAUUUCGGUCAUGUUGACUUAUUUGUAAAUCUUACUUUGCUGAACAUUAUUGCUGUUUACAGUUUAUCUCUAUCUAUAAUAAUAUUCAAGAUAAUAACCAAAAACAGCAAAAUUUCCAUAAAAUUACCAAUUCAGGGGCAGCAACCCAUCAACGGGUUGUCCGAUUCAUCUGAAAAUUUCUGGGCAGAUAGAUCUUGACCUGAUAAACAAUUUUACCCCAUGUCAGAUUUGCUCUAAAUGCUUUGGUUUUUGAGUUAUAAGCCAAAAACUGCAUUUUACCCCUAUGUUCUAUUUUUAGCCAUGGCGGCCAUCUUGGUUGGUUGGCGGGGUCACCGGACACAUUUUUUAAACUAGAUACCCCAAUGAUGAUUGUGGCCAAGUUUGAUUAAAUUUGGCUUAGUAGUUUCAGGAGAAGAUUUUUGUAAAAGUUAACGACGACGGACGCAGGACGACGACGGACGCAGGACGCCGGACGCAAAGUGAUGGGAAAAGCUCACUUGGCCCUUCGGGCCAGGUGAGCUAAAAAUAUCUAGAAAACACAAAUUUGUAAAGUGAAAUUUUUGUCAUUUAAUUGUUCAAAUCAGGGGACCUCAUAUGCAUAUUUCAGUUCAUUCAAUUAACAAACAUUGAGCCAUUCUGUUUUUGUUAGAUGUAUUUCUAUCCAUCUGAUGAGUUGAGCCUUUUUCAACUGAUUUUUAUAGUUCGUUCUUAUAUGUUGUAUUGUUACACCACUGUCCCAGUGUUGGGAUCCCGCUUACAUGUUUAACCCGCCACAUUAUUUAUGUAUGUGCCUGUCCCAAGUCAGGAGCCUGUAAUUUAGUGGUUGUCGUUUGUUACUGUGUCACAUAUUUUUUUCUUUCAUUUAUUUGUACAUUAAUAAGGCAGUUAGUUUUCUCGUUAGAAUUGUUUUACAUUUUUCAUUCCAGGGCCUUUUAUAGCUGACUAUGCGGUAUGGGCUUUGCUCAAUAUUGAAGACCGUACAGUGACCUAUAGUUGUUAAUUUCUGUGUCCUUUGGUCUCUUGUGUAGAGUUGUCUCAUUGGCAAUUACACCACAUCUUCUUUUUUAUUAUGUAUUUUGUUCAAUUGCCAUUUUAAGUUAAGCCAUUUUCAAUUAUCAUUUUACAGUGUGCCUUUUCGUGUUGUAGUUUUAUACUGCUGUAUUGGCAAUUGGUAAAAUAUUCAAACCAACUGCAUAUCAUAUGCACCUGUCAUAACCCAGGAACCUGUUGUUCAGUGUUUGUCAUUGGUAGUUUGUUAGGUGUUUCUUGUUUCUAGUUUUGUAAAUACAAUGUAGAUUAGACAAUUUAUUUUCCUGUUUGAAUUGAGUUACACUGGUCAUUUUGGGGCCCUUUAUAGCUUGCUGUUCUGUCUUAUGUAAGGCUCUGUGUUGAAGGCUGUACUGUGACCUAUAAUUGUUCACUUUUAAUACAUUGUGAUUUGGAUGGAAAGUUGUCUCAUUGGCACACACACACACCAGAUCUUAUUCAUGUAGAAAUAAAAAUAAAAGUGUGAACCCACAAAUGCCUUUGACUAUGCUCCUGUAAGAUUGUGGAUAUUUCAUUAUUCUUUCCCAUGUAACUUAGUAGUAGCCCGGGGUGUGAUGCCUUGAAUAUACAAUGUAUGACUGAAGAUUAUGCUAAUAGAUUUGGAGGUGAAUGAAAUGUUGGGUGACCAGGGUCAUGGUGACAAAUUCUUCAAUGAACUUUAUUUUUCAGGAUGCUAUCAAAAAUGAGAUAUCCGCUCUGAAUGGUUAUCAGUGUUCGAGUAAAGUUGAGAUUGACGACCACUUGCCACAUGUAUACUCUGCUGAUCAAGGCAAAAGGAUAAUAAAAGAUAAAAGCCAAGCUGGGUACUGAACACAAUAUAAAGGACACAUUUCUAUCAUAUAGUUUGUAAAACAAAUUUAUAAUUUUUAGGGUGCAUUGGGUGAUUAUAUGUGUGAUAUCAAGUUUUUAAAAAGGCACCAACCAUUCAUCUUUAGAGGGGUGGGAAACCUUUAUUUUCUCAGAACAAACUUUUUUAUGUUUUAAAGGAACAAACUAAUGUUUUAUAGCAUACAGAAACAACAAAUAUUUUUCUGAAACAUAAUGUAUUUUUUUUGUACUUCUAACUGUUUAAGUGACCGGUCAAAAUUUCUCAAUGCAUAAGACCAAUGAAAAUAUGCAUGGGACAUAGAUUUUUUUUAUUGAAACAAAUCAUUUUCUUGACUUGCAAGACACAAGACAAGUCACACAUACUUAGAAGUUACAGUUUGUUUGGUAUUUUGGUUAUGGCUGUUUAUAGUUUAGAAUUAGGCUAUGAUUUAAUUUUAGUAGGGGGGAGGGGGGGGGACUAUAUUUUGGGCUGCCUUUUUCUAGUUGCAAUCUCUGUCUAACAUUUUUAUUUUUUUUCACUAUAUGUGUGAUAUUUGGUCCCGUCUCUUUUUUAUAACUUAAUCCUGGAUUGAUUUGUCCAGCUGCUCCUCCUGCUUUUCACUCAAAACUUUGAUCCUGUCCUGCCUUUUUUUAAAUUGUAUCCUAGCACGGGUUCAAUGUCUUGAUAAAUUUGUACCGGGUUUAAUGUUCAGUUUUUAUAUCCCCUCCCGUAAAACUUUUUUUUUUAACAAAUUUCAGAAAUUAUCANNNNNNNNNNNNNNNNNNNNNNNNNNNNNNNNNNNNNNNNNNNNNNNNNNNNNNNNNNNNNNNNNNNNNNNNNNNNNNNNNNNNNNNNNNNNNNNNNNNNNNNNNNNNNNNNNNNNNNNNNNNNNNNNNNNNNNNNNNNNNNNNNNNNNNNNNNNNNNNNNNNNNNNNNNNNNNNNNNNNNNNNNNNNNNNNNNNNNNNNNNNNNNNNNNNNNNNNNNNNNNNNNNNNNNNNNNNNNNNNNNNNNNNNNNNNNNNNNNNNNNNNNNNNNNNNNNNNNNNNNNNNNNNNNNNNNNNNNNNNNNNNNNNNNNNNNNNNNNNNNNNNNNNNNNNNNNNNNNNNNNNNNNNNNNNNNNNNNNNNNNNNNNNNNNNNNNNNNNNNNNNNNNNNNNNNNNNNNNNNNNNNNNNNNNNNNNNNNNNNNNNNNNNNNNNNNNNNNNNNNNNNNNNNNNNNNNNNNNNNNNNNNNNNNNNNNNNNNNNNNNNNNNNNNNNNNNNNNNNNNNNNNNNNNNNNNNNNNNNNNNNNNNNNNNNNNNNNNNNNNNNNNNNNNNNNNNNNNNNNNNNNNNNNNNNNNNNNNNNNNNNNNNNNNNNNNNNNNNNNNNNNNNNNNNNNNNNNNNNNNNNNNNNNNNNNNNNNNNNNNNNNNNNNNNNNNNNNNNNNNNNNNNNNNNNNNNNNNNNNNNNNNNNNNNNNNNNNNNNNNNNNNNNNNNNNNNNNNNNNNNNNNNNNNNNNNNNNNNNNNNNNNNNNNNNNNNNNNNNNNNNNNNNNNNNNNNNNNNNNNNNNNNNNNNNNNNNNNNNNNNNNNNNNNNNNNNNNNNNNNNNNNNNNNNNNNNNNNNNNNNNNNNNNNNNNNNNNNNNNNNNNNNNNNNNNNNNNNNNNNNNNNNNNNNNNNNNNNNNNNNNNNNNNNNNNNNNNNNNNNNNNNNNNNNNNNNNNNNNNNNNNNNNNNNNNNNNNNNNNNNNNNNNNNNNNNNNNNNNNNNNNNNNNNNNNNNNNNNNNAAUCGCUGAUUACAUCAAGAAAAAUCAUGAUUUGAAUCAUGCUUUUAGAGCUGUCUAUGCGGUAUGGGCUUUGCUCAUUGUUGAAGGCCGUACGGUGACCUACAGUUGUUAAUUUCUGUGUCACUUGGUUUAAAAUGCAAUUCUUUUGCAUUAAAAAUACCUAAUCUUUUGCAUGAUACUUUUAUUUAUCCGACGCUUUUACGAUCAGCAAAUGGCUUAAAAUUUUGAUGGAAGUCAAAUUUUCUUGUUGAUUUAAAUAAUUAUUCAAAAAAAAUAUCUCCCAAAAUAAUAUAUCAUCACACAGAACGUGUCAAAUGCUAAAGACACAACAUGCUACACUUUCAGUAAAUGGGAAAUACAAUUAUAUAUUAUAACGUUACAUUCACGUUCCGUGCAAAAAUCGUUCAAUUUGGACGUGGUAACAUUUACGGGAGACACGGACAACUUGAUGGAAAUUGAUGAAAAAUUUGGCGUGUCCUUAACCUUGAAGGCUUAACCAAAUCUUUAAAAAAAAAUCACAUUUCAGUAAUAACAUUUGUUUGCAUAGUUCAUUUGUCUGUCACAAAUCUAAAAUACCCUAAAUUAUCAUCGUACUCAAAAAUCUUGAACAAUGGCUCUAUGGUAACAUUUACGGGAGACACGGAAAAUACUGAAAAAAAAAAUAAAAUGGGAGAAGCUAUGUUAAAAAUAAAAAUAUUUUUGUAAAAUUCAAUAAAAUCACAUUUUUAUGUAGAGGUGGCGAACCUUUUCCUAUUAUUUAUAUGAAAAUAUUAUAAUAUUGAAGUGUUAGCUUUCAUUUUUGUGUACUCGAAUUUUCAAAUCUUACAGCUAUAUGGAAUUUCGAAAAUGGCUGCUAGAUUGCGAACUGACAGGAUAUUUAUCGUGACCGUUUAACAUAAUAAAUAUGAUCAUAUCAUAUCCCAUCUGUACAAAUUUUAUCGAAAUCCAUUCAGUAGUAAGAAUUUUUUAUUCGUUUAUAUUUGGAUGGUUGGCGCUUGUUGUUACGUCUUACACGGCAAAUACGGCAAAUUAUGAACACAAACUCAUUGUUUAAUCAUAUAAUGAGACAUUAAAUUUAUUAAAAUCAGGUUUUAUUUAAUUUCGAUUCAAAUGAAAAAUCAAGACAAGUUACUAUUCAAUAAUGCGUAGAUUUGAUUUGUUUUUGUCAUACUUAUGCAUCAAGAAAUGGCCAAAAUUUCUCUCUUUUUUAGGGGGGGGGCAUUAUUCCUAUUCUGUAAACUCAUCACAACCUCAUAUAUCUUGUGUUAUUUCAAAUAAAUAUCUGAUAUUCAAGCGCCUAUUAGCGGGAUAGGACGCUUAAUACUAUAAGAGUAUCCACACAGAGAGUUUUGGUGGUCUCUUUUAAAAGUCGGUGCAUGAGAAUAUUAUGCUACAACCAACCAACAAAUAGGGUUACCUAUACUAAGUAUAUAAAAGCUAACAAAUAUGCAAAGCAUGUAAUUUUUACGACGCAGCGGUUUGUGUUAAAUGGGUUCCCAACCGUGAAUAUUAAUUAUCAUUUCUUAUGCAGCAAAAAUACUGCAAUCUGAUUGGUUGACAACCCCGGUGUAAAUAACACCCCACCCUUGUUCACCCGGGGAUAAAUAAAAUUUUAAAAAAUUUUAAAAAAAAUGCGCCUCAGGGUGUAUGAAUUUUCAACAACGGUGUAAAAUUCUUUACACCCCUGAUUACACCAAGAUAACUAAUAAUAUAUACCGAUUUGAUUGGCCAAUUAUAACUGUUUUAACACACGACGCCAUCAAUUUACGUGAAUAUUUUGAAAAUAUACAGACGAUAUUUCGCAAUCCACGGCUCCUAGGAAAGUUUCUUGUAGUGUAACGAAAAGCGGGAAAUACGCGUUUAUGUAGUUAAAAAUUGGUUAUUUUGAAUUAUUAACUUUUUUUUACAUUUAGGCUUCUUCCUUUUUUCCUAAAUUGUUACAUUAUUUGGAGAAUUGCGAUUUAAUGUUAUUUUUUUGUAUCGUUUCUAUCAAAUUUUAUUUUUAUAUUAAAACUAGAAAUUGACCUGUUGUCUCACAAGGAAACAGCUGUUUUGACGUUUUUUCUAGAAAAGAUCAUAAAUAUUCUAAAAACUUUGCACUCACAUUAUGAUUGUCUUCAAUUCAUGUGAGCAAUAUUGCAUUUCAUGCUAUACCAGAUUAAAUUAACGCGACCUAUUAAAAUUGUCAAAACAAUAAGUUUUUUAUCAAUUACAAUUGAACUUUUUAUAUCAAUUCGAGAUUUAUGUCAUGUUGAUCUGUAAUAUAUUUAUUUGUAUUAAAACUUGACCAACUUCUUAAAAUCUAGCAGACUGGCCGCACGCGAACAGUCCGACGUAUGCGUAUUUUGAAAAAGUACGCAUACGGUGUGGAACAUAGACAUCUAUCUAUAUUGUUGAAAACUAUAACUAUACUAUGUUGCCUUCUGGAUGUCCUUAGUUUGUCUUUGUCAUUUGAUUGCUGUCUUAUUAACGUAUAACCUACAUUUCCAACAGUUUUGUAUAGCUGAAAGGCUAUUGUGUAUAGAAAAUUGCUUUCUUUCCCUAAUAAUAUGCUUAAAAGAAGAUGGACCGAGGAGAGAUGUGCACAGGCACUUGUUUCGAUCUAUCAAUGGGAAGGUCGACAAUCCAUAUAUAUAUUACAUAUUGAUAGUCGACCUUCCCAUUGAUAGAAACAGGUGCAUGUGGCAAUGUCCCUAAAUAAAAAAAAUAUAAAGUAAACAGAAAAAAAGCUUCACUUUUCAAUCUUUAACUUCCCCUCCCCCUUCCAAAUUUGUUUCUACUGUGUUAAUUUUUUAAGACAUGUCGCAUCUACACAAAGUCUAUUGAUCUGCAGCUUACCCUCCCCCUAUUUGUUUUGGUAUAUAUGAUCUUCAUUAAAUUAAAUUCAAAAAUAGUCACUAGAAAGGCAUACAGUAACAUAUCUAAGUAGUUGCAAUAAAUUCCAUUAACCACGAAACUAAUUACAGUCAGAUAUUUAUUUCGAUAUUCUAAUUAAAAUACAUUUCUUUUUUGGCCGAAAUAACAAAAAAAAAUAAUUAUUAUCUGGUUUGACUGUGAAACACUGAUUUUAGAUUUAUAUUGUACACAUAACUUUAAAAAUGGGAAUAAAACAUCCUCUUAAACGUUUUAUCGAUUACCACUGUGCCUGUAGUGAUAUAAUUAUAAAUAGAUUUCAGAACGCGGACGUGAUAGAAAGCCUAUUUAUUAAAUUGUUAAGAGGUAUGCCGGAAAUUAGAUGUGUAAACAAUGAUCAAUACCUUAGAUUUGCAUUAAGUAAGUUGCUUGCAUAUACAAAUAAACAAAUGAAGAAGGACUUUAAGUGUAAUUCUAUAAUAUUGAAGAUUCUUCUUCGUCUUCUAACAUUUGAGGCAUCUUGACCAAGAAUAAAGAACGCUGCAGCCAUGUUAGAUGGAUUAAUUCAUUUUCGUAGAAAAACUACGAUGGAGUUACGACUGGGUAUAGCUGUAGUAAGUUACGCCAGGAUUUACGCAUUAUUUACGAUCAUCUUAACUUACGACGGCUUUGUGAAACGGUUGUAAAUCCUACGAUUUAUUUACGAUGGACUUACGAUGACACGUAGACUUACGAAGGCUUUGUGAAACGGUGGCCUGGUCUGUUUUCAAAGUAAUGUAAGAGACAUAUUAAGGAAAGCAUUCAUUACCAUUACGACAUUUAAUAUAGCCUUCCCCGCAUGUCUGGUCUGUUUUCAAAGUAAUGUAAGAGACAUAUUAAGGAAAGCAUUCAUUACCAUCACUACAUUUAAUAUAGCCUUCACUGCAUGUCUGGUCUGUUUUCAAAGUAAUAGAAGAGACAGAUUAAGGAAAGCAUUCAUUACCAUCACGACAUUUAAUACAGUCUUCACUGCAUGUCUGGUCUGUUUUCAAAGUAAUGUAAGAGACAUAUUAAGGAAAGCAUUCAUUACCAUCACGACAUUUAAUAUAGCCUUCCCCGCAUGUCUGGUCUGUUUUCAAAGUAAUAGAAGAGACAUAUUAAGGAAAGCAUUCAUCACCAUCACGACAUUUAAUAUAGCCUUCACUGCAUGUCUGGUCUGUUAUCAAAGUAAUAGAAGAGACAGAUUAAGGAAAGCAUUCAUUACCAUGACGACAUUUAAUAUAGCCUUCCGCGCAUGUCUGGUCUGUUUUCAAAGUAAUGUAAGAGACAGAUUAAGGAAAGCAUUCAUUACCAUCACGACAUUUAAUAUAGCCUUCACCGCAUGUCUGGUCUGUUAUCUAAGUAAUAGAAGAGAUAGAUUAAGGAAAGCAUUCAUCACCAUCACUACAUUUAAUAUAGCCUUCACUGCAUGUCUGGUCUGUUUUCAAAGUAAUAGAAGAGACAAAUUAAGGAAAGCAUUCAUUACCAUCACGACAUUUAAUAUAGCCUUCCGCGCAUGUCUGGUCUGUUUUCAAAGUAAUGUAAGAGACAGAUUAAGGAAAGCUUUCAUAACCAUCACGACAUUUAAUAUAGCCUUCACCGCAUGUCUGGUCUGUUAUCAAAGUAAUAGAAGAGACAGAUUAAGGAAAGCAUUCAUUACCAUCACGACAUUUAAUAUAGCCUUCACUGCAUGUCUGGUCUGUUAUCAAAGUAAUAGAAGAGACAUAUUAAGGAAAGCAUUCAUUACCAUCACGACAUUUAAUACAGCCUUCACUACAUGUCUGGUCUGUUAUCAAAGUAAUAGAAGAGACAUAUUAAGGAAAGCAUCCAUUACCAUCACGACAUUUAAUAUAGCCUUUACUGCAUGUCUGGUCUGUUAUCAAAGUAAGAUAAAAGACAGAUUAAGGAAAGCAUUUAUUACCAUAACGACAUUUAAUAUAGCCCUCACUGCAUUGCUGGUCUGUUAUCAAAGUAAUAGAAGAGACAGAUUAAGGAAAGCAUUCAUUACCAACACGACAUUUAAUAUAGCCUUCACUGCAUGGCUGGCCUGUUAUCAAAGUAAUAUAUUGAAUAAAUUAAUAAAUUGGUUUACAUCGUUAUUUCUCAUUGUUGAAGGUCGUACGAUGACCUAUAGAUAUUAACGUCUGUGUUAUUUGAUCUCUUGUGAAGAUUCGUUUCAUUGGAUAUCAUACCACAUCUUUUUUUAUAUUCAUGCACUUUGCAGUAGAGGAAAGUGGAAUUCUUAAUGGCAUUUAUAUUAAAAAAAGAGGGACGAAAGAUACCAGAGGGACAGUCAAACUCAACGAUUGAAAAUAAACUGACAACGCCAUUGCUAAAAAUAAAAAGACAAACAGACAAAUAAUAGUACAGAAGACACAGCAUAAAAAACUAAAGACUAAGCAACACGAACCCUACCAAAAUCUAGGGGAUCUCAGGUGCUUCAAACGGGUAAGCUGAUUCUGCUCAACAUGGGGCACCCGUCAAUUUGCUUAUGUUAUUACAAAACCGGUUAAUAGUCUAAUUCGGUAGUACGGAACAUAUCCGAUAUCAGCCGGGAAACGGUAGUUCCAUAACGGUCAACUUACUCGUAAUGGCGUAAAAUACGAAAGGGCUGAAAUCAAACUUCACCAUUUUUGGAACUCCUGGUUUAAUAGCUUCCUUGUGGGCAGCAGUCCUUUACUAAGGAAAUCAUGAUAGAUCAAAUGAUACAUACUUUUACAAAAAUCUGGGUCCAGGUCACUUUCAUCCUUACAAUACGCAGGGACACCAUUACAUAAGCUAUUUGCGUUGAAACAUUGUUUUCCGUCCCGACAUUUCCUCCAACCAUUCCAGCCAUCCCAACCAUCAAAUUCAGGACAACUUUGUUCUGUAAUUAGUUUUACAAAUACUUAUAUCAAAAAGUAAAACAACAAAAAUACCGAACUGCGAGGAAAAUUCUUAUGUAGAAAAUGAUGGAGAAAGCAUGGUUUAACAGCUGGCUAACUCUCUCAUUUGUAUGACAGUCACAUACAAUUUUAUCAUUUUUUACUUGAAAUUUGAUAUUCUAUAUAAGUUUACAAUAAAACGAAUAUAAUUUGGCUUUAAGUGUUCGUUAUGAAUUAAGAUGAAUUAACUUAAGGAUUUCGGAUGCAUAGACAUUUAUACAAAUAUAUUUCUCAAUAUUUUUAACAACCCGUUACCUCCUUUCUAUCAUUUCUUUUUCUUUUUACGUUACUCUCUAGAGCUAGCUCAAAGUAAGUAGAUUUUGAGACAGGGCUAUGAAUCAAUCAAAUUAAGGUCAUCACUCAACAAAUUUUACGGUCGUCAUCAUGAGCUGAUUGGCCAUUAUGUCAAAAGUGUGUCAGAAAUCAUAUCUGAUAUUCUUGCACAGUCAUAAUAACCUUCCAUCAUUACCGAACUGAACAAAGAGAUAACAAGACUGGUGCUGUAUACGGUGCAGGAAAUUUUACCCUACCGGAGAACUUGAUUUCACUCCCGGUUUUAGCGGAAUUCGUGUUGUUUCUUAUUUAUCAUUUAUAACUGUUGAUGUAAAUGUCCUUUGGUUUUGUGAGACUUUGUUUACUCCUUGGUUUUGAUUGUUAUUGUCUUUCGUUGCACGACAAUCUGAUUUUUUACACGUUUUAUAAGAUAUUAUAACAUUAAAUCGAUUAAAAUUUAUUACGGAUUGAUCCUCUCAUCAGGAUAGAUACAUCAUUCUGCGAGUAACCCUCUUUCAAAAACCCAGUUCCGCCGCUGAGAAUAGCCGGCAUCAAAUACUCUUACGAAAAUAAAAAAAUAAAUUUGAACUUAUAAUCAAGAAAGGUCCACAAUAAAACACUUAUAGCCAUCUAAUUGUGGUCAAACUAUCAUAACUUACCUAACAAUUUCAGUUUUUUAAACAAUUACUUGUUAAAUUUGAUGAAUUUUUAAGAAAUGAAAGAAAGUUCCAAAUCGUGUCUUUCAAAUAAAAGAGUCCUUUCCAUAGACCUGCAAUCCAACAGAAACACUACAAACCUAAUGUUAGUAAAAGAGGGACGAAAGAUACCAGAGGGAUAGUCAAACUCGUAAAUCGAAAAAAAACUGAAAACACCUGGCCAAAAAUGAAAGAAGACAAACACCGUGCUUUUCCAUGUCGGUUUACGAUAUUCGAAUAUCGGUAAAUGAAUGUCGUCAUAACUUAAAACACCGUUCUCUUGAGUAACUUUCAUCUAGUUCGGAGUUUGACUUUUGAAUAAUUAAACACGCUCCCUCAUGCAAAGCUCUGAUUUCUUUCACGGAUUUGGCUAUACAUUUUGGACCUUUUGGAUUAUAGCUCUUCAUCUUUUAUAUCAACUUUGGAUUUUAAAUAUUUUGGCCACGAGCAUCACUGAAAAAACAUGUUUUGUCGAAAUGCGCAUCUGGUGCUGAAAAAUUGGUACCGUUAAUGUUAUUAUUGCAGAACUGGCAGUAGUUUAAUAAUAGUGUGCCUUUUCACAAAACUUUGUUUUUUUUUUUUGUAUGUAUGAAAUGGCAUACUCUAAAUGGAUGUCUUAUAUUUAGAUGUCUGAUCUAUACUAUGUUAUAACGAUAGUAUCAACUUUAAGAAAACUAUUAGAUUAAUUUUUUUUGGAUGAUGAGGAGGACUUACAUUUUAAACAAGCAACAUUCCAGCAAUUUUGUUUGAGAAUAUAAAAAGCAACAUAUUUAAAAUCAGGACAGGAUUAAUAUACAAUGGAAUUGCACGAGGUCGCACGAUCACCAAAUUCAUUCAUAAUUCAAACGGCGACUGUAGAUCAUUUUUUCAUAUAGUUCUGUUAGUGAAAUAUCAUAUGAAAGCUGUAGCUCUAGCAUUAAAUUCAGGAACCUGUUAUGUGUACCUUGUAUAAUCAUUGAAAAAAAAGAAACAUUUGAACACGUAUGAUCAUAACGUCAUGUCUUUGUGUAACGUUUACGUUGACGCUUUUCGACAAUCUUUGCAAAAUUUCACAUGUUAAAAGGAAAUAAAAUAUUUAAAAAAUAGCAUAAGAUUCUUUUCUAUAAAAUACGAAUAAUUUCAAUAUAAAUAUCAAUGCGUUGUUUGAUAUUUCUAGUGAAUGUUUCACUUGGCUUUAGAUGAUUUUGGCUAUUUAUUUUAGGUAUUUUUUUUAUAUAGCUGUUUCAACGGUUUGUAACUUAUUCAUCUUCGGAUUUCAUAUGUUUUUUUCUGGUGAAGCUAUAUCCAAAAAGCGCUUCGGACGCAAGAAAUUUAUUAACGUGUUGUUUUCAAUAUUUUACAUCACUGGAUCGAUACCUCUGCUGGUGGACUUUCAAGUACGCGGUAUCAUCAGCUCAGUAGUCAGUACUUCGUUACUGACAUGAUUUAAACAACUUUACUAAAAUCGUCGUUUAUACAUUUUGAAAUUAUCAAGAAACUAAGGUUUCAACUCCCUCAGGCAAAUUGGAUUUAAGAUGAAUUGGCUAUUUUUUAGGUAUUUUUGACAUAUAGCUCUUCAACGGUGUCGGUACUUAUACAUCUUCGGAUUUCAAGAUUUGCUUUGAGCGUUCUGGAAGAAGAUAAAUCCAGAAAAGCGCUUCGGACGCAAGAAAUUAUUUAAACGUGUUGUUUUCAAUUUUAUCAAUAGAAGAGUAACUUGUACUAAAAUUUACUCACGUUUACAGAACUCUGGGUCUUCGUCAUAUGGUCUGGACAAUUAUAUGUUCCUGCACGAUCACAAGCCAUUGAAACAGAAACAGUCACCAUCCCUAACUUAGUGUAACCAGGCUCACAAUUUUGAUCUAUUACAAAACAAUUAUCUAAAUGAAUGGUUUUACACUAGUUAGGGCAUUUUAUAGCUUGCUGUUCCGUUUGAGCCUAAAUAAAGGCAACAGUAGUAUACCGCUGUUCAAAGAUCAAGCUCCGUAUUGAAGACGGUAUUUUAAUAUCUUAGAGGUUAUUCUUAGUUUGUAACCUGAAUGGAGAGUGGCCUUAUUGGUACUCACACCUCAUUUCAAGAUUUAACAAUUCUUAGGCUUGAUGUUUGGAUAGGUUUCUCAUCAGUCAUUUCAAGAAUUCAAAUUGAAGGCAUUUUGUACUUGCAAAUUGAAUUGAUUUUCUUUCAAAAAUAUUCUUGCUCUAUAAAGUUGUAAACUUAAUACAUUAUCAAGUGUACUUAUAAACUCUGAAACUCACAAAUUCUGAUUUCAUGUUUUAUUGGCAUUUUUGAGCUCAUUAUUCAAGAUUUCAAGUUGAGGUCAAAAAUUUAAUUGACUGUUUUUAACGAAAUACUGGCCUUUCAUUGCAAGCAUGUUUGAGCAAAAAGUCAGUUUGAUAAAUCAUUUCUAUUUAAGGAUGGGGAAUAAGUAAAAGAUUGUUUUUGGUUUAAUAUAUAUCCGAGAAAAACAGGAUUAAUCAGCUAUUUUUGUUUUCAAUGUUGAUCAAUUUGAAAAAGUAGAAAAAAAUGAAGGUAAUUUGCUUUUGGCUUUUUGAUCACAAACUAAUUAGAUAGAUUGAUAUGAUAAAUCUUCUUGUUUACAAAAUAAUUUAGUGUUUUCCCUCGGAGAAUAAUGGUGAACUCCACUCGGCAAGUGAAAAGUAAGUCACAAUAGGACAUCAUUUACUGUUUGUCGUAUUCCAAGAUUGAAUACUCUGUCCAUAAUAUAAUGAAGGGUUUCAAGCAUUGGUACAUAAAUAAUAGAUUACUACGAUCGGAAAUAUAAUCAAGUAUGGAUUAGCGUUCAUUAAUCACAUGACUCUGAUUUAGUUGGGCAGGAACAUAGUAUUAUAACAGGAGAUUGAGUUGUCAAACCCAGCACUCUGGUGAUGGUCAUCCUUAAAAGCUUUUCCACCAAGAUCGUAUUUUAGAACAAAAUAAUUGUCUGGAUAAAGAAUUUACUGUGUUAAAAGAUAUGUUGGACAUUGUACUGGACACUAUUGAUGGCAGAUAAAUCUUGUCUCCUAUCGAUUUCUCUCAUUUUGAUGUGAGAAAAAGACGGGAAAUAUUUUUUUUUUGCAAUUUACAUCUUUGACCAGGAAAUAAGUUAAUCAGAAUGAAUUAAGUAAGAAGUGGAAGCAUUUAUAUUAUUUUUUAAGAGACAUUUGUUAUGGGAAAGCAACACUUAUAAAAUAACCAUUUAAACCUUAUUAAGCUUGGACCAGUUUAUGUACUAGAGCGUCCGAGACAUUAACCCCAUAAUUUAGCUUGGACCAGUUCUGGAGUAAGUCCUUGACAUUAACCUCAUAAUUUAGCUUGGACCUGAGUACUGGACUGAGUCUUUGACAUUAACUUUGUAAUUUAACUUAGACAAGUACUGGACAGAGUCCUUGACAUUAACCUUGUAAUUUAGCUUAGACAAGUACUGGACUGAGUCCUUGACAUUAACUUUGUAAUUUAGCUUAGACAAGUACUGGACGGAGUCCUUGACAUUAACCUGACAAAUCAGCCUAUCCUGACAUCAUUUACAAAUCCACAUCUGUCUUAAAUUAUAUUGUUAUGUCCUAAUGUACUCUACACAAAUUGCUCUGAAACAAGACAACAGCAUUCAGUGUUCUGUAGAAAAUCCAACAAAACAUCAUUAAAACAGCCUGUUAAAUGAUGCUUUCUAUGUAAAUAGUGCACAGAAAAUCAUUUUCAAAUAAUAAUGUUUGCCAAUUCUCUUAAAAUUACAAGCAUCAUUGAACAAGAAUACUUUGAUGAUAGUACUCCUACAGUAGCUGUUCAUCACAUUAUUGGGACAUGAACAUUUAGAAAGACAAUAUGAAGUUAUACAACCAUACAAUAAACUAUAUUGGAAAUACAAUUACGUUUUUUUUUCUUCUGGAUUUUUUAAUAGUCUUGGGAGUGAUGAUCUGACAUGAUCACGUUCAUUUGUUUAUUUUGUACCAGCAAAAUACCUUAAAACUUUUAUGAAUGGAUCUUGUUUAUAGAGGGAGAGAAACAUUUUAUCAAUGGUCUGUGUAUGAUUUGUGUUUUUGAAUUGUGUUCUAUUUAUAGAAAUAGCAUCCAUUUUGGUUGUGACAUCAGUGUUGUAAUGGUGGUUCAUCUUGUUUUCUUUUAAUGCAGAAAAUAACUUUACACAGAAUUUAAAAUACCUUCAAAGUUCUUAUUUAUAAAAAAAAAAUCCUCGCAAAAGAUCUAGGAGUAGGCUAUCAUGAGAGACUCUGUUCAAUUUUGUGACUCAGUUUUCCAAAAUAGAUAACACAUUCAUCCACAUGUCACCUGUAAUAUUUCAUUUCAACGCUAUUGAUUUCUUAAAAAUUCAAAAAUUAUUUAAUUCAUUCACUUAAUUCAAGAAAUCAGCAGGCUCUAGAAAAAUUGAUCUGUUCAAAAUUUGUGUAGAACCCCAGGAAAUUCCUUAUGAUCCAAAACAAAAUUGUAAAUGUCUUGGAUUGUCAGACAGAAAAUUUAGUGAAACGCUUCACUCAAGCUUAAAUUAAAUUCAACCAUGCAUAAUAAUUUGAGAAAAAAAGGCUUAUUAGAUUUCUAUUUGAAAAUUUUGUGACAUUUAAUACCUUAGAUGAAUGAUCAUGUAGACUUUUUAUCAAGGUCAGAUUUUCAUGGUUAGACCAUUUGUAUUUUGACAUGAAACUAGAUUUAAGAAGUCAUAAAAAAAGAUGAGUUUCAGAAUAAGAAAAUGUGAUGGAUUGGUAGUAAUUUUAUUUCACAAUUCUAAGAAUUGUAUGCUCAGUUUGGAGACUUAUCUUUAAUUGACUUGAAUUUAUCUUUUUGUAAAUUCUAUCUGUGAAAAGAUUUCCUUAGGAGCCAUGAUUAUGAAGUUUUAGUCAAGAGGAAAUUUUUUAAGCCAUUAGCAAUAAUCCUAGAAUAUUAUUUGUGCAUUUGUAUGUUUCUCAGAUUAGAAGACAUCAAAAAUCAGAUGAUAAAUAACUGUUGAACAUCUUUAAGUCUUCCUCAAUUUAUCGAGGACAAUAUAUGUACUUCUAUAUAUAUGGAAGACACUUUUUUCAAAGAUAUUUCUUUUCAAUGGACUUUUCUGAUUCAACCUUUUUGUACUUUUUUAACCAUGCACAUGUAUUUAACAGAACUUAAGAUGGUUUCAAAAUUCUCAUGUAGGAAUACGUGAGCAGAUUGCUAAAUAAAAUCGUGAUUUUUAUAGAAAUAAUACCCUUUGCCAUUUUCAUCAUGUAAAGGUUGUAUCUUAAUGCAUCAGAGUUAAAGUAAACAUUCAAUAUUACAUAAUGCUGGGUGAUUACAGAUGAUAUUUUAUAACAAGGUAUAAAAAUCUCUUCAUUCUCUCCUUCACAACUGAUCAUUAAGUAAUAUUUAACACCUUUUUGUGACAUUCUUUUAUUGCAUCAGUAUUUUUUAUAUACCUCAAAAUAGUGCUAAGUAUACUUGAUUUGAUCAUUUUAUGGGGGUAUAGUGUGAAGCAGAGGCGAUUUAUAUGUUAGUGACAGAUCAAAUUGACAAGAUUGAAAUUUACGAUCUAUCGAUGAUGGCAAAAUACAAGUAUUUUAUUGUUUAAGGGAGGUAUUUUAUUGUAGAAACAUAUAGAAAAUUUAUGAUGCUCUUCUGACAGUGCAGGGAUAAGUAAUACAUUCAUUUUAUAAUCAUUAUUUGAAGAGUUUUUAGUGGGAAAACUUCAAAACUGAUUGUUUUCUCUCCCACAGUGAUUUGCAGAAGUAAUGAUAUUGUAUGAAUGAAAAGUGUUUUAUUUUUGCAGAAGUUUAGAUUUUUCUAUUUUUAGGGAUAAAUUUGUUUGUAAGAUUAUGUUUUUUCGUGUUUGAGUUGUCCCCAUUUCUAAUCAAUCUUAAAGAAUAUAUAAAUAAAAGGAAUUGCGAAAUCAGCAAAAAAAAUAAAUAAAAGUUAUAGAUACUUAUGGCUGUAUAAAUGUUACUUACUUUGAUUUUGGUGUUGAAACUAAAAAAUAAGAUUACGGGAAAAAAAGGCAGUAUAUUUGAUAUGCAUUAGAAUGUUAGAAGCUAGAAAACCAAAUAAAACCAUCAAACCUUUGUUCAUUUACGAAAUCAUAAUCAUCAAAAUGUCCUAAUCAACCAUACUAAUCAAGUUGAGAUGAAUUUACUAAGAAACUGGUUCCUAGUUUCUCUGGUUACCUUACAUUGGUCCCGAAUUUCCAUUUCAGUUACCAUUCCGUGGAUUAAUCCUGUGAAAGGUAACAUUCUUUGGGGUGGCAAGAAUUCCAGCUGCUUACAUUAUAGUUUAGCUAUAUUUGAAUUAUGAAUUACUAUUGAAAUUUAAUCACAGAUACAAAUGUUGAAACCUGCAAAAGUAGAAAUCGAAUUGAUUUAAUCCACAAUUUGAACUUUAAGUAAAAUACAGAAUUUUAUCCAAAAAAAAAAAAAAAAAAAUAAGAAAUGAAAAAAAAAAAAUAAUAAGUCAUGAGAAAAGAGUGACUGACUGUUUCCUUCCAGGCAACACACAUAAUGUACACAAUCUGAUGAAUUUCUAUGGUAAUUUAAAACAUGCUGCAUUUUAUUUUUGCCAUAUAUUGCAUACAUUGUUCCUGAAAAGUCUGCAUCCAUUGACAGCUUAAAUUAUAUGAUACUACUAGUCUGCAUCCUUGGGAAGCUUGUUUUAUAUGAUUUACUGCUUUUUCAAUAGAAUCAAGAAGGGUUUAUAUUUCUUAUUAUAUUCAUACUCUAUACCAUUAUACGAUGUUGAUUAAUAUUAAACAAAUUUCAAAUUAUUUUUAUGGGGAUCUGUGAAUUUCCAAUAAUUUGUGACAAUUGUUCAUCAAUGUUGGUAACUUUGUCUGACAUUUGUAUUAUCUCUCACUGGUGUAUUUCUCUUAUAAAGUUACUUAUCUGGUCAAACAAGGGAUAAAUUGAACUGUCAAAUCCACGGAAAUAUCAUUCCAGUAUAAACAUGAUCAUUUCCGAUAAAAUUAAAGUGAUAAUUUCCUGCCUGGGAAGAAAUUGAACAUUGUCUCGGAAAACCCCAAAUAAAUUGGAUUUAAUUCCACUAGCAAAUUUGUUGUAUAUAGUGUUGCCCGGCAGAAGUGUUUGCUAUUAGCUGUAAUAGUGACAAACUUCACUUAGCAAAUAUUACAAAAGUGCUUUAUUGGUAAAUCUUAGCUGAACAUUUUUCCAACAAUUAGAUUUUUUUCCAUCUACAAGUAAUGACUACCGCUGGGACUUGACAUCAAAGACAGGUUGUCGUGGAAAUUGUUUGUAUUCCAUCUUUUUCUCCGCUAUUUCUUGGAAACAAUUUCAUUAUUAAAUGGUGUAGACCUUUUAACGUAAAUAUUUGUGAUUGACCUCUUGGAUUCAUGCUUGCCAUUUUGUAAUGGAAUUAAAAAAUAUAAAAUGACAUCACCCUUUUAUAGUAUUUUUUGUCACGUAGAAUAUUAGCUGAUUUUCUUUUGAUAUUUUUCUAUCCAAUGAUUUAAGAACUUUCCACACAUUUCAAGUACAUAAAAUAGAUGCUUAACAUUAGAGCAUUAGGUACACUGAUACUUUGGUUUUAUUUGAUAUUAUUGUAUGAUAAGAAAUCGUCCUUAAUUGAACAGGGUCAAAUGAAAAUAAACAGUUUGCUGAUGAAUUCCUCCCCCUUUUUUUGGCAUUUAAUUACCAUCCAUAUAUUAUCAUCAUUAUUUUGUUUCCCAAAAAUGGGGUUAUGUUAAGGACCAUUUAUAUUUUCAUAACAAGCUGAUACAUGUAUGAUGUAGCUGAAAUAUAGGAGUAUUAUAGCAGCAUUUGCUAAAACAGGCGCUGUACCUAUAAAGAUUUAAGACAUUGACCUAUCACCUAUGUUAUUGAAAACAAAAAAGAUUAUUUAACCCAGACAAGAUAUUUCUUUAUAAAAGGUUCGCUUUUAGACAGGACAUGUAAAAUAUUACAAAAUACAACAAAACACCCAUGUCAGUGACCCUACAAUUAAUUGGGAGUUUUAUGAGCCAGAAAGGAAGUAGGAUAUUUUUUAUUGUAUGAUAAUGUGAAGCCUCAAGUCUAUUUUGUGUUGAUAAUUAGAUGAUAAAAAACCUACAUCAGUAGUCUUAAUUUUAAGAUAAAAUGUUAUCAGAUAAAAUCUUGAAAUUUUACUCUGAGAAAAUCUGCUAUUGUCUGCACCUAUCUUUGAAAAUUAACAAUGUAAAAUUAAACAUGGUUAUAACCUGCAUAUAUUUGUAAUUUAUACAAUUGAUUGAUCGGUUUUUACCAAAGAUCCAUAAGGCAAAUAUUUCAUACAUAUUCAAGAUGAGAAUAAAUUAAGUUAUAAGGUUUUGCAAUGAAAGUCAUCACUGUAUAAAAGGUUUGAAGUUUGGUCUACCACUAGAAAAAGUGGUUAAAUUGGAUAUGGCCUUGUAUAACCUGCGAUCAAUACACCCUGUAAAGAUUAUUGUGGCUUCUGUUUCAGCAGGCUUUUCACUUUCCAAAUAUGGAUAAAAACAUAUAUGAAAAUAAAAGCGUAUAGAUACUAAUUAACACAUAUGAGCAAAGUCCACAUUCAUAUGCCUAAAAACAAACAAAAAAAAAUGUAAAAUUUGUCAUUAAAAUAUAGAAUAAGUAUUUAGAAGAUAUGAUAUUAAUUGUUUAUAUGUAAUUUCAGUGGUAUUGUUGGAUUCUACAAAAACUUCUAGAUUAGGAUGGACCACACAGAGAAAUGGACCAACAGAUCAGUCAAAUUAUGGGGUAAGCUUUUAUUCAUUGAGGUCACAAAGCGAGAGAAGUGAUGAAUUCAGGUCUCAUUGACAUGUUGUAAUCUUCUUUAAUAGCAGGCAUGAUAUGAUGGAUUUCCUUUUCUAGAUAUCAAUUUGGUUUGUGGUAUACAACACAGUUACAGGUUUCAGUGUCCAAUUUAUUAUUACGUUGUUCUUGGAAAAUUUGUUGUUCUUGGAAAAUUUAGAAAAUUUGUGAAAAGAUGGACAAAAACAGUAGGAACCCAACUUAAUGUUUCAAGUUUAGUCUACUAGACUCUAUAUAUAUAUAAGUUGUUAUAUCAAAUUAUGGUUCCUAGCUUUUUGUUGUUUUGGAUAUCAGUGCUCAUUGGUUAGCAACCUUGUGUCUUUUGCUGUUAGAUUUCACUCCCACUGCAAUUACACUUGAUGAGUAAACCUGACAAGAACAGUAAGGACCAUUAGGUUUAAUCUCUUCUUUUGCUCACUUCGUUGUCUUGUCACAUACAUUACAUAACAUGGAGGACAAUACAAAACAAUAUUUCUAUAUUUUUCUCAGAUGAUGACUAAUAUUUCCCACAGGAGUUUUUGUCAACAUGAGUUUAUCUGUUGAAAAGUAUGGAUUUGUUCCAUUGACAGGUUUUGUCACAUGCCUGACACAACAUUGCUGUUAGACUGAUCUCUGACAGACUGCAGUCCUGUUAACUACAAUUUUGAGAUAAAGAUGAUGAAAAUUUUAAUCAAAUAGAAAAAUAAUUUCUGAAAGAAACACUCUUUACUACUGAAAACUAUGGUUUGGGAAUAAAAAAUAUGGAAACCUAAUUAAGACAGCAAUCUUUGUUGACAGGGUCAUGUGUCCUUUCCGAGCUUGAUUAGACAGAAAAAUGUUUUCUCUCCCUCAGGGAGUACAUAGACUUCAUUAUCAUGGUAACUAAGGAAGUCAGUGCUUCCAUAGUAACAAGAAACUUCCAAUUGAAUGUUCUAAUUCUUAAGCAGAAGGUUACUAAAAGAUAGAUUCUGAACUUUUUUCUAAAAUUUCUGUCUUCAAAGUUAUAUUUUUUCCUAAUUAUUUACUUGGUUAACAAUGGAUAUUUUCUCAUGUUAAUUUUGUAAGAAAAAAAUGCCAUUAAUAUAAAUAAAUGUUUGUAUGUGAACUGUUAUAAGCACUGAAAAUAAGUGCUCUAGGUUGUACCAAAAUUUUACAAAACAAAGAAUGUUAAAUAAAAACUUGCUGAACCAACCACUAAGUUUUGUGUUUGUUAAGUUCCCUCAAAAAAUAACUUUAUUUUCAGAAAGCAAAGUAUUGCUGGUAUGAUUUUUAUAACAAUCUUAAAGCUACUAAAAUAUAUAUAGAAAUUAUAAAAAGAAGCAUUCUUGAUCAUGAGUAACAUAAAAAAAAAACAUAUCUUGAUUUCAGUCAAGAUCUCUCUGCAUGUCAUUUUGUCACAAACUUAUCUUGAGGGGUUUCCAGUGCAUAUAUGAAAUUAAAUAAAAUCUAUGCAAGAAUUUUAAUAUUUUGAAACAUUAAAGAUUUUACGAUAUCUCCUGGGAAAAAUGAAGCUUGAAGAUAUUGACAGAUUAAGAGAACUAAAGUAUGCUGUGUAAAACAUCAACAUUGGAAUGUAAUGCACUUUAAUUCACUUGAUAUAAAUUCAAGUUUCAAAUUAAAAGAUGUCUCGAUCACAAUUUGUUGCAGCUAAAAUGCAUUUCAAAGAGAAUUUGACAUAAAUUGAUAAACAUGAAGCUUCAAUAAGACAUGCAAAUAUUUCCUCCUUCAAAUUGAAGAGCUCUUAACUGGUAGACAUUUUCUGAUUUUGUUACUCGUAUAAAAUAAAUGUGCUCUAAGUGGUUAGGUCAAAUGAGAAUUUAUUUCCCAUAAGUGAAACAGUCGAAAAGUCUUCAGAAAAGCUUUUGCAUAUAUAAUUUAAAAAAUGAACCAGAAAAAUAGAUAGAUUUUAUAUGCGAAAGUGAGAAAAAAAAAUAUGAAAUUGGUUGUUAAGAAUGGAUAAUAAAAUAUCCAAUGAGCGUCACAGAUAAAUAAAUUUAAAGAAUUUUAACUUUUUUACCAGUUGCCAGAUGUAAUAUAUAUCUGCAUAUCUCUGAAGAAGCACAUCAUUAUAAAAUGUACAUUUUAUUUUUUUUUUUAAGUCUCAUAAAGUCAGUUAAAAAAACCCUCCUAACAUAUAUUAAAAUACAAAAUGUAGCAAAAAAUAGUUGUACAAUAAUUUUUCAGUAAAACAUUCUUGAAUGUAUAGAAUAUCUGCAUCUAAACUGGCAUCUGACAGUUUGAUUUAAUGCUAUCUUCCUUGAACCUUAAAAAAUAAUUUACAAUUCAUACAAGUGGCCAUUGAAAUCACCACAUAAAAGUAAUAAAUGUAACUGAAGGUUUUUUCCCUCAUAACAAUGACAUACUACUGGUGCAGUAUUAGAAAUUAUACUAAGCAUUGUAAAUGGGUAUUCAGGGUUCUUUAUAGGACAAUUUGCACCUUUAAAUUGCUUUAUUCGAAGAAUUCAUUAAAAUUUGGGUUGUAAAGUGACGAUAACACUGUAGGAAAGAGAUGCAUAUACACAGGAUCUUGAUAGAUUAUAUUUUCAAAUUUAAAAAUCCAAUCAGAAGCUUAGUAGGGGAUGUUUUCAUAAGUGUAAAUAUAUAUAUAUAAUUGUCUAGAAUUUAACGCUUGUAUAUGUGAUUAUGUUAGUUCUGUGUUUUCUUGUUCUGAAUUAAAAGUCUCGGUGGUGAAAUCUGCAGAGUUAAUUCAAAAAGUUAUAAAUUGACAUUUGAUGCUUUUUCAAAUCUCACAGUAGGUAGUAGUCGUCAUAGAAGUAGUAAAACAUUAUGUAUCUCAAAUUGUUUCUGUAACUUUUUAUAAAUCUUAAAUUAUAGUUAAAUAUCCAACUGAACAUGUAUAUGAUGUUCAUUUGUGAUUAUAAAGCACAAUAAACUGCAGGGCAUAAAUUAAAUGUAUUUAUAUAUAUUUGACAGAGUAGUAUAUUCCUUAGGAGAAGGUACACGUAGAUGGUUAAAUAUUCAGGAAUUUUGCCCUCAACUGUCCUAUCAACUAUAGAUCUAUAACAGUUCUUUAAAAACUUUGCUCAAAAUACCCUCCAUGCAUUGUAUUUUAAAAUUGAGGGACAACACUGCAACUUAGUUAAACAUACCAUGAUAUUUUCAAAUUUCUAUUGCCUAUCUCUUUGUUUAGUUGAGAAGUUUACUGUAUUUAGCAUUAUAUGGUGCAGUCUAAGAGACUUGAUUUGGUCAUUCAAGUUUUUGGGACUUUAUACUUCCAAUUUGCUUUUGAGUUAUAUUGUCUAUGAAAUAACACCAGCUAGAGUAUUGUGAAUAUGGUAAAAAUGCACACACCAGCUGUGAUUUUCUGAUUUGAAAUAAUGUUUUUGCAUUAAAUUGAAUGAUUUUUACCUACUUAUCCAAUUACAUAAUUGGUCCGUUGGGAUAAAACUCUUGCUAAUUGUGUAAUUCCUUUGUUUCCAAGACAAUUAAAAUCGUUGUUGAGCUAAGAGCUUCUUUAUUCGGUUGUUUUCAUAACCUUUUUGGGAAAAUUGUCAAACAAAACCCUUAUCAUCCAUAUAUGGAAAAUUUGGCAGGACACGCAAGUAAAUUAAACAUUAUCUACGUUUGUAUCAGUACAUUUGACAAGAAAAUUAUUCUCUUGUAUUCAGUAACAUAUUUGCAUUGCUAGAUUUGCAGAUCAACUGUGGCUGAUAUUGUUUGGGACUUUAUUGUGCAUUUCAAUUGGAAAUAUAUUUAUUGUCAUUUAAUAGUGGUUUUCAAUUUCUUAUCUGUACCACUAGUCAAAGUGAGAUACAGUGUUUUCAAUUUAGAAUAUUAAUUGGUACAGAUGGCGAUUAAACAGCUGCCUACAAAUACAUCACAUAUACAUGUAUAUAAAUAAUAUGAUAACAUACGUUUUCAUGGCAAACUUUCAUUGAUAUUCAUUUAGAGCACAAAAAAAACCAAAGGGUGCAAUAAAAGUACAAUGGGAUUGUUUUAGAAGGAGUAAGGAAAGGGACACUGAGAGACUACAAUAUCAUUUAAUCGGACACACAAAAAGUAUAAAUAUCUACAAAGUAGUGGGUGCACAACAAUUCAAACAAGUAGUAAUAUACUGGCUCAUGGUGUAGUUCACUGAAUUGUCAGUAAAAUUAUGAGGACAUCAAUAUAGAAUCAAAGAUGAAAUUAAGUUGAGAAUCAGUGAUGAAAUUAAGUUGAUGGUUUUGACUGUUCUGUUCUUAUCUCUUUUAGUUUCUGCUCUUUUAAGUAUUUUAUUGUUGGUCUUCACUCAGUUGCUGAGUUUACCUGAUAAGGGCUUUUUUAAAAAUGCAUGAUCAUAACAAAAGUUUUGGGAAAGAUUCCAUGGUUAUUCUUAACUGCUAAAAUAUGAGAUUAACAUGUACAGUGUUAUUGAAUCAUGGGUGUAUUAAUUUAUCCAAAAUCUUUCUCUCCAGUGAAUCCGCCAUCUUAAUUCUUCGUCAAACUAAUAAUAAUGCAUUAUGAUUGCAUGGGGCCCUGGUGUCGAACACUGUAAAGUACAUCAUAUACACUUCUAAUAAAUCUUCAGAAAUUGAAAUUACACAGAGCAAACAGUUAUGUCAUAAUGAAAAGAACAAAUUGUUCAUCUGUAGAAAAGAUUUGAAGAAAAAAAAAACUUGACAUAAUUUCAGUGUGUACAUAUUGAUGCACAUUGCGUUGCAGUAAUUGUCAGUUCAAUGUUAUGCCUAUCUCUCAGUUCCAUUGAAGAGCCUUCUCGGUAAUCAAACAUAUUCUGCAUUAUAACUGUGAUUUUUAACAGCUAACAAAUGUUUGAACAAGAAAUUGUGCUAAAAGCAAUUGACUGGUUUUUAUAUUCAUUUUAGUUAUAUUUGAUAAAAAAGUUAUUUUAUUGAUUCAGUACAAAUACAUGUUUGUAUUUAAACAAAUUUGCUUUAAAUCAUUUCGGUCCAUAUAGAUUAUAAUUUAUAAGAAAAUUGUCCAAGCAUUUAAAAUUACCAUGAGAUUCAGUAAACAGAGGAUUUUUCCAGGUUGUGUAUAUAUAUAUACAUAUAUAUAUAUAUAUAUAUAUAUAUAUAUCUAUUAUAAUUCUAAUAUUUUUAUGCCCCACCUACGAUAGUAGAGGGGCAUUAUGUACACUGGUCUGUGCGUCUGUUCGUUCGUUCGUCCGUCUGUGCGUCCGUUCGCUUCAGGUUCAAGUUUUUGGUCAAGGUAGUUUUUGAUGAAGUUGAAGUCCAAUCAACUUCAAACUUAGUACACAUGUUCCCCAUGAUAUGAUCUUUCUAAUUUUAAUGCCAAAUUAUAGUUUUGACCCCAAUUUCAUGGUCCACUGAACAUAGAAAAUGAUAGUGCGAAAUUCAGGUUAAAGUUUUUGGUCAAGGUAGUUUUUGAUGAAGUUAAAGUUACAUCAACUUGAAACUUAGUACACAUGUUCCAUAUGAUAUGAUAUUUCAAAUUUUUAUUCCAAAUUAAAGUUUUUACCCAAUUUCACGGUCCACUGAACAUAGAAAAUGAUAGUGCGAGUGGGGCAUCCGUGUACUAUGGACACAUUCUUGUUUUAUAUUUGCAUUGUAAAGUUUUAUGAAUCAACUAACAUAUUUUCUGUGAGGAUCAGAAAUCUUUCCAUUAAACCAGUCAGUGUUAAGGGUUUUUUACAAAGUUACCUAGUCUUGAAAGACAUGGCAACAGUUUUUGUCAGUAAAAUAGUCUUAAAAAAGUAUCCAUGUGACAUUUGUGUUUUAAUUCUUCACAAAAAUGUUUUGAAUACCUUCAAAGUGAACAGCUUCAUAUAUUUUAUAAAUAUUUGGAUAAAAAAUAAGUCUUGGAGAAAAUUUAAGUCCUUCAUAAAAAGGCUAGUCACUUCAGGUUUAUUUGCAUCAUUCAGCACACUGUUUAUUUUGUUUUGUUGCACAAUUUUCCCAGCAUUCAUUGUGCUCAUCUAUCUCCCUAAUGUCUUCGUGCAGACACUUAAUCUUAUUUUAUUUUUGUCAGUACCGCUAAUUACAUCAUAAUGACAUAAACUUAUGUUGUGGAAUCACCUCUAUUUGUAAGGAUAAUUACGACCUCGUUAAUCACAUUUGUCAUAUAACAUCAGUUUGUCAUACUUAAAGUAAUUAUUACCCAAUAUUUCAUUUUAAUUGUUGAUUAAAAACCAAGUCACCUGUUUAGGUAGAACUAAUGCAAAUUGAGUUUGAAUAAACUUUUUUGUCAAUUAAUGGUGGAAAUUCGAUUGGAAUGGAAAUUUUCUGCAAAUGCUUAGUCUAGCGAUAACCAAAUAUGAGAAUUAUCAGGCCCUCACUGUCACAGGGAAAUUUGUGAAAACAAAAAUAAAAUAUUUUUAAAUUGAAAUCAAAUGUUCUUAUGUUAAAAAAGUAAAGUUUGUUCUGUCUCCUUUUACAAAUGGUUACUUGUAAUGUUGACUAAGAUGAACUUAUGCCUACUGUUUAUAUUGACAGUUUGUUUUUAUUUUAUGAACUAUAAUGACCAUAAUGGGCGAGAUUGCAUGUUAUGGCUGAACAUUUGUCCAUAAAAUAUGCCUUGAGUGAUAUAAUAAUCAAUUUAUAAGCUUUUAUAUUCAGCUUUGAUGUCCAUUUUUUCCAUAGAUAUUGAUAGAAACUUCUGACCAUAUGUCUAAUGACCACCACAAGGUUCCUAACCAUUGUAGUAAAUUACAGAGUUAUGGCCCCUGGAGGAACUUAUGACCAUAGAGAAUGAGGUCAUCGUGUGUAUUGGAGACACAAUUUGAUUUUACAUCCUGAUUUGUUCUGUAAUAUGAUUUAGAUGACAUGGAGGAAGUGUCUUUUCACACUGGUAGAAGAUAUCAUUACCGCUAGUUAAAGUAGUAAUUAUGUGUCCUCAGAAAGAUAAUCGGUAACCUCGGGGGAAAUAUGGAUUAUUGAACAGCCAAUUCACAGGGACAUGAUGACACAUACAAAAAUCAUUAGGAGAAAUAAGCUUAGGAAAUACUUUACAUUAAAAAGUAUGAAUUUAAGAUAUACAACAAAGUGGCAAAUUUUUCGCCUAUUUCAAAUUUUAAAUAAAAUCCUGAAAAAUUUCAAACAACAUAAUUUCAAUUUUAAACACAGAUAGAUCAUAACAUUAGACAAGACAAAACUGAAAAUGAAACUUCUUUCACAGGUUUGACCUUGAAAAUUGUGAAAUUUAAUCUCUUUAGGUUCAUAUUUCUAAAAAUAAACCACUUGGCAGAAAGGGAGUCCAUGAUUUCUUGUCUAAGGUCUGACUUCUGUAAAAAAAUAAAACCUUGUGUACCGGUAACUAUUGUUAGUCAGUCAGUAUCGUGUAAUCAGUUAAAAAUUAGUGUUCUUCCCCCUGUCCCUGGGGUUUUAACAAAAAAUAGAAAAUUGUCAAUCACAUUACACUUUUUUGUAACAUAACUCUUUUUAAUUUGUCAUCUAAAGCUUCUGCAGCAUCUUCUCCAGAGACUUCAAUACUAAAUUCUACAUUUUUCAUGUGUACAAAAAAAUUGGUGGUUUUUAACAUUCAUAUUUGAUUCUCUUUAAUUGAUCUGAACUUGACAAUUCAUCAUAGAAUGUCUUUAUUUGAGUUAUGUCCCUUGGGAACCAUUAUCCUGACUUUGACAAAUGACUUCUUCAGCAGGGGACCAGUAUAGAUGAUGAUAAAUGCAGAUUUUGUAUAAUAUAUAGAUAACAUAAAUCAUAGUUCUUGGUUUAAAAAUGACAAAUGUAGGAGAAGGGAUGUGAGAACUUGAAAGUUGCGAUAAAUUAGCUUGUUAAUUUUAGGUUAAAAUGUUGAUUUCUAGGCUUUAAAACAGUAGGUGGCACCUUAUAACUUAAUUUAUUUUGAAUGUAAGACAGAUGAAAAUCCAAAUGUAGUUCACUAGUUUGUUAAUUUUGAUGUUGAAGUAUUUGCUGUGACAUUGUAAAAAGUUCAGGUUAAGAUUCCUCUGACCAAAUAGUGGAUUAAGGGAAUGUUUUAACACAUUAUCCAAUUCAUCCUGUUCAAGUCUGUAUUGGAUCCAGAAAUUGUUAUAAGGGGCCUAAAGUGGGCCCACUGACGGCUGAAGAGAGGCCCACAGUGAUUCCCCAAAUAAAUCAACCAAAUAUUUCCCAUUAAAAAAGGGGGACCCUUGGAAAACCCUCUAAAUUCGUCUCUGCAAAUGGCCUCCAAUUUUCAUGACAGUAUACUGGAGAUUGGAGAAGGAAAAUUGAUUUGAACAGAAAAUUAGGAUUUGGAAAAGAAUGAUACAUCAGUCACUGAGUGAAUGAGAGAUCACCUCAGACAUUACAUAAAACAACCCCCUACUGAUGUAACAGCUAUCAGCAUCACAUGUUAUCAGAACAGCCAUCAUACAUAACCUAAAAGAUAUUGACACAAAUUGACUCCAAAUAAUGAGUUAAGUGGUUGUAAUUAUAUGUUUAAAACAUGGUAGGUGUUUUGUUGGUCUGGAGUUGACAUUUAUUGUCCUAAAUAUAGUUAUCUAACCUGAGUGCACACACUGAUAUUAUAAGUGACUGUCUGUUCUAGUGUAGACUUUAUGAUAUAAAAUACUUUUCUAUCUUUAAUGAUAAUUUUGGCUGUCUAUGUUGCCUAUGAUAAAUUGUACUAAUUGCAGUUUACCCAGAAUAGGUGGUCUAUGAUAGAUUUGUUGAGGAAUUUUUGUUUAUCUAAAUGUAUUAUCAUCCUUAGAUAAUACCAUUCACAUUCAUUUAAGCUAAGUUGUUGAACAAAGAUAAUUCAUUUGCACAAGUUUAACGGCUUGAUUGCUUUUUUUUUAAUUUGAUGCUUAAAAUAUUGGUUAAUUAUACAGCUUUCAAAGUAAAAUGCUGUAGCUUUUAUUUCAUUAAUUUUGAAAUAUUUUAUGUAUGAAAUCAUUUUGUGAUCGCUGCUGGGGUUAUGAUCCAAUGUACAUGUCACUAAGGGAAUUAAAACCUAUUUUUUACGAUUUGUUUGCCUGGAACAAAAUGAACGUUGUGGGAAUUAUUUUUUGUAAUUUUUCUAACAUCAGAAAGUUUGACUUAUUUGCCACAAUUUAUUUCCCCAUGGUAUAUUUAAACUUGUAAAAGUCACAUUAAUAAUUUGUGCAUUUUCAAAAUAUUGGUGACUAUCAGAUCUAUAAUGGAAUACAUGUACUUUAAAUUUAAGCAUUUUUUAAAAUAUGGAAGGAUUAUUUGUUAGAUAGGGGGAGAGAUAAUAAAUCGGAGAACUCCAAGUUCACAUUACUGAGCUUCAAUACAAAUAUUUGUCAUGUCAAUCAUACCGAUAAUAUAUCUUAAAUUUGAACAAAUUAUGUCUGAUGUCCAGUGUGGUUGAUGAUUAAUUUGUGAAUAAGUAGGCGUCAGGACACCUUACAGGGUCAUGACAGGUCACGGGUAUAGUGACGGUGGAAGUUCCGUUAUCACCCAUGUUUGUUUAUUUUUUGACGAUUUUAGGUUCAUAUCUAUCUGAUAAAAAUUUAUAUGCAUUCAACAAACAUAUCUGCUGUGAUGACGAAUGAUUACCGCAGUGUGUGUCAUCAUUUUCAACAAAUUCGGAUACCCGAUUAUUUGACUUCUGUACUAUUUUGUUUGUGAGGACGGAACUUAUGGUAUAAAGCUUGCUUAAAAGUACGAUAAGAUAGUCUGUUUGUUCAUUUGAAGUUUGCAUUAGUGUUAGAUUUAUGAACUUAGCUGUUGGUAUUAAGAUAUAUCAAAAGAAGAUUGAACUACAUGUACAUGUAAUAACAAGGACAUUUAUCUUGACUCUGCACAGGAGUUGUGUAACUCCGAUGGAAUUUCGUAUACUAGAAAGAUUUAAAUUCUGACUCCAUUAAGAUUUUUGUGUGUAAUAAAAAGAUGUUUUGUAUUAAUGAUUGAUUGAUCUACUGACUGAACAACUUGACAUGAUAAAAAUUAUAAAAGUUAAAUUCCUUUUCCUUUACAAACUUAUUUGAAUUAGAGCUAAUUUAGGAGACUUGGUACUUGUCUUAUAAUAUAUUACGCUCUUGGUGGCAUUUAUUUCACCACUAUCAUAAAUAUUGUAAGUACAGUGGUCAAAAUAGAAAUGUCUGAUAUUGUGUCUACAAAAACGUGAGAUAAGUAAGUCACUGUUUUACAGUGGUCAUUGCACUGAGUGUACUAUUCUAUUUUUGUGCAAAUAAGAACGUUCCUUUCGUAUAUAUAGUGGAAAAGAAGACUGUUGAAAUCAUGAAGCAGAUUUACUUACACUCUUUAGUUUGCUGCUGUCUAACCCCUUACAACUACAUUGAAGACCUGUUGGUGACCCUCUGCUGUUGUUUUUUAUUUGAUCGGGUUGUUGUCUCUUUGACACAUUCCCCAUUUUCCUUCUCAAUUUUAUUCUAAGGGAAAUACGGCUUGAGGAUAAUUGUCAGUUAUCUUCUUCUACAAAGUAUACUUAGGUUAAAACACCUGAACACUUUGUUGUCAGACUAAUUUUCCAGAAAAUAAAACAUUUUUGUAUCUUUGUAAAAUAUUAGCACUCACCUACAGUGUUGGUAUAUGAAAUAAACGACUGUUGCUCAUGUAUAAAAAAAAACUCUCCUUAUUUUUAUUAACAGAAUUUCACAUUUUAUGUAUUCUGUCAAGAAAAUAAAUGAGUAUUAUAUGAAUUAAUGUAAAGUUCAGGUAUAUAUAGGACAAGUUCACUUCACAUAAAAAGGGGACAUAAAUUGUGAGGAAUAUUACAUUAAAACAAUUACCAUCAACUUCCUGUGUCUUCUUGAAGCAUAAAGUAUGGCGUAAAACAGUAAAAAACCCUCUAUAAAUUAAUUUAAAACAGAAUUUUGUCUUAAAGUUCAAAUUAAUGGAAAUUUCAGAAAAAAAAGUUAAUAGUAAAGUAUUAAGUGAGACUGGGAAAUCAGUGUGAAUCUAAUUUAUUUAAAUUGACAUUAAAACAACGAUUUGAAGCCAUGACAUUAAGGGAGGGGUACUAAUUAUCAAUAUAAUAACCAAUUGUUUAGAAGAUUAUGUUGAAACAUUUACAGCUUUUUUGUUACAUAAUUUCGCCUCCAAUAUUAAUUACUUUGUCAGAUUAACUAUUAAACAUUCCACCAUAUAAAGACCUCCCCAAGUUAAAUCUAAUGAAUCAGGCUGAGUUUUAAUUUUCUAGAUUAUUGUGUUGGAAGAGACAGAAAAUCAUCUGUCUUGUUCAGUCGGAACCAAAUUAAAAACUUUUUAUCAGUGUUAAGAAGCUUUUCUUUCUGUAUUUGGUAAUUUUGAUUGUAUUUUUCAAUAAGAUUCUUCAAGGGUUACAAAUAUGGCAGCUGUCUGGUUUCUCCUUAGGCUAUUUAUUGUACUUUCCAGGGUCUUUGCUGUUCAGUUUUCUACAAUAGGAAUAAAAGGAGAUGUAAUAAUAAACAUUAUAAAACUAGGAGACAGUAACCCAAUAAAAUACCAAAAGUCAAUAUAGAUAUCAACAUACGGCUUCAGUAUUAGUGCAGCCGCAUGUUUACGCCAUUCUCUGAAUUUAAAAAGUUAGGCCAUCACCACAAAGGGAGAAAAACAGAAGACUAAAAGACAAAUUUCCUUUGUUUGACCUUACUCUUAAGUUAAUCAGGACCAAAUCAAAAUACAAUAGAACAAUUACUUAGAAUUUUAAGGUAGAAUCUUUCAUUGCACUUUAAAUAAAAUAUGUUUCUUAAAGUCAGAAAAGUGAAUUCCAAAGUGUAUUUCCACAGACAUUGAUGACCCAGAUUAUGACCUCAAAUAGAUAAUUAUCAAAAGCACAGGCAGAAAGUGAUAUAUAUCCCUUAUAACAUAUCUUGUCAGAUGAAAGUUCUGUGGCUUAUAAAACCUAUCAGAUAAACUUUUAUUAUAUACUCUUAUCACUAAUUGAUUUGCACAAUUUGAAAUAUUUUCUUUUAAAGCGGAAAUAUGAUAAACAGAUUUGAAACAGAAGCUUUUUCUAUGAUGCAUGAUAAAUCGGUCUAGUCUGACAUGUCUAUUGUUAAAAUGACCUUGUGCAACUUGAUUCCUGAGAGUCUUGCAGUUGUUGCAUCAUUAAAUUGGAAAGUGUCAUAUUAUUUUGCAUCUCAAAUGGCAAAAUAUUUAUACUAAUGAGAUUUUGUUGUAAACAUGAUUCUACAUAAAAGUAGAUUACUGUGACUCCAUAGUUCUCUUUCAAAAUGUAUACAUAGUUGAAAUUCCAUAUAAAAUCCCAAUUGAUUGUAUUCUCUAUAAGAAUGUCGUCAUUUUCUAGUUUGCAAUCAUGAUCAUGACCCAAAUGGCAUGGUUCAGUGAUAAUUUGAGAGUAUUUUUCUGGCUUUUUGUAUUUAUGGAAUUAGCUUAAUAUCUGGUAAAAAUGUAACUUUGGAGGAAAUUAUGUACAUUUUUGGGUACUUUAGUUAGUCUUAGAUACAACUUUCAUGCAGAUUAUUUCUAGAGUUUUAUUUAAUGGAUAAUUGGUAUACAAUUGAGAUGGGGGAAGGUGCUUGGAAUAAUAAUUUAUUUUAAAUUUCUAUAUAUUUUUAUGCAUAUGUACAAUUAAAGGUGGAUAUAUAAUUGUAAUGUUAUUGUUUAGAUUUGAUUUUGAUAUAAUAAAAAUUUAUCUUUUAUAAUUUAUCUAAAAAUUGCAGCUCUGAAUCGGCCAUUUUAAUUCCGUAAUAAUGCUAUCAAAGCACAGCUGAAUGAAUUCCAACAAGACAAGCAGCAAAAUUGAGUUGAGUCAUUUUAAUGAAUUAAUCCUCAGAAAGAAUUGAUUCGUUUGAUCCCAGAGACCCAGAAAUAGGGGAAACAAGAAGGUUUAAUCAAGCGACAAAUUAAGUGAAAUUCAUUUGUGAGGUGUUGACAACCACUCUAUAAUUUCAGGUUACAUUUUACAGUGAGGUUAGGUCUUUGCUCUUAACAAUAUGUUUUCCUCAGUGAAUAUUAGCAUUGGCAAAUAAAAUACAUUGAAAGAAUUAUGAACGGGUUUAAGAAGAUGAAAGCUAAGUGAAAGAUUGGAAAAUGGUUAAUUUUGUUUACUUUGGCAUAUAUGCUGACAUGGUGAUUAUUAAAAAGUUUUCCAUGGCAGUAUUGUUAGAUUAAAUAUGUUGUCAAAGUUCACUGGCACAUUUAUAUGUUAUAUCCAUCAGGUAAAUGAUGAUUUAAUUCCUUAGGGCUCAAAAUAUUCAAUAUUUGAAGAUUUAUCUUCAGUUCAAGGCUUUCUAACAAAUUACUUAUCAAAUUUCUUUGAAUAUCAAUCAAAUGAAAGUGUUCAAAUUAGAGAUUGAUAAUUUCAAUUUCUAGUCACUGUACAUGUGUAAAAUAGUGUCUUCUAUUUAAAUAUAAGCAGUGUUGUAAGAUGGAGUAGAUAUCUUAGUAUAGUUUUUCAAAAAAUAACAAAUGCAGCUUAAAUGCAGAUGUUAAAAAUGAAAUGUAUAUAUAUAUUUAUUUUACUUUAUUGCAAAGUAAAAUGUCAGGGUUAAAAUGCAAACAUAAUAUCCACAAGAUACAUACAAUAAAGCUUCUUGACCACUUCUUGAAACUUCAAUAGCAUUAACCUCCAUUGAAAAUUAGGAGACUCUGAUUGAAUCCUUGAGUAUGGGAGUACUUGCACAAUGUCAAUAUGAUCAAUAAGCAACAUAUGUCCUAUUAGCUAUAGAUAUCGCAUGUGCCACGGAUAUCACCCAGUGGAUCAGUAAUAUUUUUUUUUCAUUUAUAGUUGACAUAUCAUUCAAAACCCAAGGGUAAUAUUAAUAAUGUUGGUGUGGUUGUCCAAUUUGUUACUGUAAUAUGUUUGGAGAUGUUUCGUUUGAUUUUCUGAGCUAUUUUAUUCUCUAGGGCUAUUACACAAUGUCAUAUACUUUCUGUUUUUAAUGAGACAGCCUAUAAAAAGUAAGCACACAAAAACAGUUUUAUGUGAUUUAGCAUAUAUAUAUGUUUUAUUUGUCUGUGUGCUGGUCAAAUUUCUACUGUAUUUGGAAGAUAAUUGUAUGAAAAUGAUUUGUAUUUCUUUAAGGCAAUAUUAGUGGAGAAAAGCAUGCUUAAAGAUGUAUUCUGAAGGGACCAGACUUUAUUAUUUUUUGUUCUUGAUAUUUUGAUAUAUUUUCCUGCAGCAAAGUGACCUAAAAAAACCCACUAUGAUGAAGAUAUUGUAAUGGUAUUUUGCAGCUUUUAUGCUUUCCACAUUUUUUGGUAAAUUCAUAGUGCUGCACUUUAACUCCAAGACACAACUGUCUAAUUGAAUGUUUCUAAAAAUGGUGUAAGCUGUAUCUUUCAUCACUAAGUUUUAAUAUUAAAAGUAUCGCCCUAAUACACCCUAAUACAUCGGAAAUCAUUCUUUUAUUUACACCAAUCCUCCUAGCAAUUCUAUUGCAAACAGUUUCAAAACAAUGGUAUCGGAUAGACACACAUUUACGGCCACUAUACAAACAUUUCUUUACAGUAGGGAAUUUUAUUGACCAAGAAUGGUAAUAUUUUCUUUUCAUUCAGACCCAUGUAAUUACCGUAGCAUUAAAAUCUAUAUACACAUUUACUUAUCCUUGUAUCAAUAUUAUACCAGUUAUAUUGGAAAAUGAAAGUAAAAACCCAUUAUUUACCUUUUGGCGAAGGUAUAGAUUUUGACACUGGUUUUGGAUAUAACUGGUCAAUUGAAUAUGCCUUGCAGGAGAUUGUUGAAUAAAGACAUGAAAAGAACUUAUUUAAAUCCCUUAUCAAAACUUUUCAGAUUUACAUUUCAAGCUUUUACUUUUAUCCAACCCUUUUUGCUUUGUAACAUUGAAAUAUGGUUAUAAGUUCAAACCAUGUUUUGUAAAGGUUAGAAUAGUGGGUAAUAAUUUGGAGCUGUAGAUAAAGGAAGAGAUAUUUUCCCCCCAAAAUGCUACAGAGGUUUCAUGUAAACCCUUUUGGCAGUCAUAAAUUUGAAGAAAAAAAUAUAUUCAGUUCAUACAUAUUUUAAAAAAAUGUAUAUAAGAAAUAAAACUAUAAUAACCAUUGAAUAAAAUACAAGUGUUGCCUAAAAAAACAUAAUCCGCUUAAAAUGCUAUAGAAUUGAUAUUUUUUUUUCUAUAGUACAUGAAAAGCUGAAAGAAACACCACAAGUUUUAUGAUUGACAUAUACCAGUGCAUUGACAAAUGUUUUAAAGCUUAAAUGAGUAUAUAUCUUUUAGGAUUUGACCUUGUACUUGUUUGCUCAGUAGUCAGAUCUAAUAUCUCUUGUCUUUUAAGCCUCAAUCUCUCCUUGUUUAUAAAGACAAGGGAUUAUUCUGCUUUGUUUGUAUAGACAGGUAAUAUUUGUCUGUUUCUUUGGUUUGCUAUACUGUGACAUCUUAUAAAUGCUUUAAAGCAUGCGAUCAUUAUCAUUGAAAUGUUUGCAGAUUAAAGGGACAUAACCCUACUUAUGUGUUUUUUGUUGUAUGGAAAACCUAGGAAAGUGAUAUACUCAAAUAUUGUAACAGUAUAAAUAUUAAAAAGUAUUCAUUGUUUGAAAGCCAUUAUGGUGACCUUUAGUAGUUUUAAAACGUCAACAUUAUUGGGUCACUGGUGGAGCCUCAUUGACAAUUAUCAGAUAUCAUCUUAUUUUUAGAUGUACAAAUGUUCCAGUAGAAGUUCAUACAAAAAUAAACAACAAUGGCAGAACUGUUUCUCCAUCUUUUUCUUUUAAAUCUUCUGUGACCAAAAAAACAUGUUCAGUAUUGAAAACAUUAAGCUACACAGUUGUGAAAUAUCAUAUUUUAUAACACAAUUAUAAAGAACAAUUGCAAACAGAACGGUUACUUAUAAUGAAGAGUAGCUAGAAAUGUGACAUUGACAAACGUUUUAGGAUCAACUGAGUAUACUAUAUUGAGAAAUAAUAUAUAAUAUUCUUAAUAUAUUGAAAUGUGUUCAUCAUUUUUAUAGCAAUAGAAGGUGGGUGUUUCUUUGCUUUGAAGAUAAGAACUGUUGGAUAAACAGUUUUAUAACAAUUUCUAUUCUAGCUAGUUUCAUAUUAAACUGUGUCCCUGUUGUAUUGUGCAAUGGAAUUUCAAAAGCACCACAAAUUGGAAACAUGCAACCUGCAGUCUGAAGUCUUAUCAAAAAGAAUAGAUAAUUCAAUUUGAUUGUUUUGUUAGACCUUUCAAUCUUAUUUAAAUGAAUAAUUUUAUUUCACUGCUCUCUUAAAUAAGAAAUAAAUUUCUUGAUUUAAUUUCAAUAAAAAGUUGAUUGAUUCCAAUAGCUGCAGUUCUGUAUAUUGAAUAAGAUUAAAAUAUCACAGAAAACACAGGAGCUGCCAACUUUGAUGUGCACUGAUGAGUUUUAUUUAGCUUAUUUCAUUAGUAUAUAUCGGUAUAUGAAAAAAGGGAUGAAAAAUUUAUUAUUCUCAGAGGAGAGAAGUACCUUCAGCAGGUAUUGAAAUUAAUUUGAUUAGAUAAUAUUGAUAAAACUAUAUAAAUUGCUAGUUUUAUGGUACUGUUGGCAUGCAAUGUUUUCAUCCAAUAGAAUUACUAACAUGCUAUUCAAAUGUCAGUAUUUUUUAUUGUCCAUAAUUGAAGACUAAAAAUUGAAUUAUGGUUUGAUAGCUUAAUUAGGAAGCUAUGUCUGAAAACAUAUUUUUUCACUGAAGGUUACUUGAAAAGUACCUAAAGAAUAUUUCCUGUAAGACAAGAGAACAGUCAGACACAGAAAACUUAGAAAAUCAGAAAUUCCUACAGCUUAGGGAACAGUCAGACACUGAAUACUUAGAAAAUUAAAAAGUUGUCGUGUGUUGGUCAUCUAAUUUUCUUACUGGUUUGUUGAAAGGUGCGUUUGACUCAGAUCUUUAUUGAAUAGGACAAUGCCAGUUCUGCUGAAGUUAAAUGACUGAUCUCAAAGCACUCCACCUUCUUUUACUUGUUAUAAACUAGCCACAAAGAUGUAGCCAAUUUUUCUACUCCUGAAAAUGAUUUUGUUUACACUUAUCUAUCUUUAAUGUGAUCUAUGGCAGUGUGACUUUCUAUAUUAUUGUUCUAUCUCAGUAUCUGAUUUGGAUGAGUGAUACUUAUAGUACCUGGACUCUGUGUAUUAUCUACUUAAUGGUCUGAUGGUACUGCCUGUAUCAUCAGCAGCCAUGGGCAGUUUAUAUGUCCAUCUCACUGUGAAAUCUACAGCUGAUUAGCCAGUGGUCAAUGUUUGUCCACUAGAUAGAUUCAAUCUGUAAUGUCAACAUUCUGUCUGAUAGGUAUCUGAUUUACACCUGAGAGACAGAGCAGGUGCCCUAUAGUUAUGUUUGUCAGGUAAAGUUGUUUGAUGUUUACCUAUAGGACUUUGCUCUGGUUUAUUUUUCUAUUGUUGGAAUUAUAAGCUGCUGGUUCCCUUAUUCAAAGUAAUAAUUCAUUUAGAAAGUGCAGAUGGCAAUGUGUAUUUUGUAAAUUGACAAAAAUGUGUUUAUUUGUAGAAAGUAUUAUAGUAUGUUGUUCAUUGCUAAUUUUCUCCUGUGGUGUUUGGUUGUUCAUCUCAGACAAAAGUUGAAUACAUGAUUGUAAUUCAUAGCUGAUGAAACCUACUUAGAAAAUUUUAAAAAGUUUUGCUCAUUAAUGAAAUUAAUAAGAUUUGCAUAUGUUUCCACUUCAUUACGAAAUCGAACAAGAGUACAUUGUCUGAACAUUGUUUCUUUAAGUAUACAGAAAUCCAAAGUAUCAAUUGAUUUGAAUUAACUUAUUGGCCAUAUAUGUAAAUGAGGGAAAGCUUAUUUAUUUCGCUUAUAAAUAAGCUUAACUUUAUAAAUCUGAUGGCUGUGUAUUAAUUUCCAAGAUUUGUUGCUCCAAUUGAAAUUAAGAUAUCUUUUUUUAAUGAUCCACCAUAGUUUCAUGUGCUUUGAGGAUAUUAAUGUUUUCUCAGAGACAUGUGGUAGAGACCAUUCCACCUUGUUUCAUGUGCUUUGAGAUAUUAAUGUUUUCUCAGAGACAUGUGGUAGAGACCAUUCCACCUUGUUUAUAUCAUUCAUUGGUUACCAUUGUACAUAAGAAAAGAAAAUCAAUGGGAGUACAGCAACCCAAACCAAAAAACUAACCAAAAAAACACACACAAAAAAACAACAUAAUGUUAUACACAAAAAAACAACAUAAUGUUAUAAAAAAAAAUCUAUAUUGUAUACAAAAUAUUACGCAUACUAUUUUCCAGUUUAUUUUAAAAAGUUAACUAAUGAAUGAAACUUUAAAAAUGUACCUAAUAUUUGAAAAACUGGAUCCUUAGGGGACUUGAUAUUAAUAAAGUGUAAUGACAGAAUCAUGUAUUUAACUUCCAAUCUUUAUUUUUCAGUGGCGAGAGGGAAGUUACACCAAAGACGGAUCACCCAUACGAGUGUAUGCCUCGUGUUCAGUUAGCAGUAAUGGUGUAGACAACUGGUUACGGACACCAUUUAUAGAUAGAGACAAGGCUAAUAGUAUUAGUGUUGAGAUAGAAUUCUCUAUGAGAAAAUGUUCUAGACAUUCAGACCCAAGCUCUUUAACAGCUUGUAAAGAGACCUUUCAUCUGUACUAUUAUGAAGCAGAUUCAGACAUUGCCAAUGAACUAAUGCCAUCAUGGGAUGCAACGACUUACACAAAAGUAGAUGUGAUAGCCGCCGAUUAUUUGUACGAGGGCAAACAAGGGGAAGAAAUCAAACUUAAUUUUGACAAACAAGAAAUAGCCUUAAAUAAAGGACUAGGAGGGGUUUAUUUAGCUUUUCAAGACACUGGUGCAUGUGUUUCUUUAAUUUCUAUUAAAGUUUAUUACAUCAAAUGUCCAAACAUAACUAUGAACUAUGCCUUUUUUUUGGAGACACCUACAGGAAGUAGUCCACAGGCGCUUGAAGAAAGAGAAGGUGUUUGCAUUGCAAACUCACAGAUGGAAAGUAAAGCCACUUUACUGUGCCGUAGCUCAGGACAAUGGUAUUAUAACAGUGGUAAUUGUCAGUGCAUAGCGGGAUAUGAAGGCAACAAUGGAACAGAAUGUCUAGGUAUGUAUUGUUGUGUUGUCAGAUUGCUGUCUACUAGACUUUAGCUUUAAAUCCUUCUACCUAAAACAGUGGAAAUGUUUCUAGUUGUCAACCUAAAAUAUAUAGACAAAUAAACAUAUUUCCCAUAGAGGACCAAUGAUAGACAAAAUCAAAACAAUUAUGCAAAAAAAAAGGUUCUUCAGAAAAGAGCGAGGUAACUUGAAAAAAAACACUUUUUUGAUCAUUGACAAUACAAAAACGUAAAUAAAUAAAGUUAUUUACAGAAAACAGGUGUUAAGAGAUAAGUUAAAUUAAAACAUGAUGGUGCAAUAAAAAUAUUUGAAUAUACAUUUUUUUUAACUUUCCUAUAAGCAAAUGGUUAUUAAAUUUUAAUCUAAUCAUAUUGAGGUCAUUUGAUGUUAAUAGAUAUAGUCAUUAUUUGGCAAUAAUGCAGUAAUAUGAGAUUUUAGAUUUCCUUAACUAUCAAAUUAUCAAAAAGAUGAUUGCAUGGCAUUUUUACUGCACCAUAAAGAUAUCCCCCUUUGACAGCCCUGUAAAAUACCAUGGUUGCAUAUAAAAAGUAUGAGAAUUUUAUACAUUGUUGGGUUUGAUAUUUUGUUCCCAAUGUCAAUAUUUAUAAGAUAUUUAAACUAAAUGUACCUCAAUGUGGAUUAAAGUUUUUUGUUUCACAGAUAUAUAUUGAAGUUUAACACUCAAGUUUUCAUAUCUACAAAUUUGUUUGCUAUCUCCAGUCAAGUUUGUGGACUUUGACGAAGUCUUGGUUGUUCAGGCUCAAUGUGAGAAAAAGAUUUUUAAUUAACAAAUAUUGCAAUAGAAAAAAAAGCCCAAAUAGUUACAGCUCUCUUUACACGAUGUAGAUCUGAAGUUAACACAUAUAUUCUGUUUGGAUUCAGUGGAUUUUAGAUUCUAGUUUAAAUUUUUCAUUGAAAAAAAUAAGAAUAAAUAUACUUUAGAGUAACUUAUCUGUCUGGUUAAGAAAACUGAUAGGCAUAAAAAUUUCAAAAAUUAGCCCACAGCAGAAUUGUUUCUUAAAUAGCAGCCAUUGGGUCUUCCCAAAACCAACAGUUUAGACAGCCAGAAAUAUGAAACCUAAAUAGACAGAGGCAGAUUUAGAGGGAUUUUCAGGGCCCCCCCUUUUGUUGGAAAAAAUUGGUUUUAAAUAUAUUGGGAAUCACUGAAGCAUGACUGGAACCCCUCUUAGGCAGUCAGUGGGUUCCCCCUUAUGAAAAUUUCUGGAUCUGCCACUGAUAGAAACCUCAAACCUUCUAAAUGUCAUCUUAGAAUUUAAGUUUCAUCACUGAGUUACGUAAUUUUCAUGAACUUGAAAUGUACAGACAUAUAUUUCUCUUUGAUUUUCCUAAACCUGGUUAAACUAUCACAAAUACUAUUAUAAGAAAUUUUAUUACAGCCGACAAAACAAUAAAUUCUAAUUCUGCCUCAGCUUUAUAGAAUACACUAGAAUUCCAUUACAUAGAUUGCUUUGCCUGCUAGUCGUUAAAACAUCCUAUCCUUCAGUUCUGUGUUCCAUCAUAUUCAGGAAUGUAAAUACAACUCUAUUUCCGAUAAUAAAUCAUAUUUUUCUGGCCAUGAGGGUGACCAUAACUGGAUCAGCUCCAUGUCAGAGUUGGAACAUAAUCAAAUUUCUUGCCAAAUGUAGUCGUAAAAUCAGAGAGCAGGAUCGUAAAAAAUAAGUGUUCUUAUAGAAAAAAGAAAGAUUCUAUUGGUGAAAAUACUAAAAAUCAGAUUAGAAGGAAUUACAAAUUAAGGGGGAGCUUUUAUUAAUGAGAAAAUAAUCAAACUUUCGCUCUCACUUAUCUAUCACUGGAAAUAAUGGAUCUGGAAAAUCAUUGAUUUUUUUAAAGCUAAAUUAUAUUUUAUUACAUGCCAUCAUUUCCAAGACUCCAUAAUUAAUCCUAAAGUUAAAAACAGACAUGAAUAAUUGAUGACUAGAUGUUUAGAUAAUGAUUACUGUAUAUAAAAAAUGUAAACAAAAUGAAUAAGUCUGCUCAUGUAAGGAAACUAAAACGAUUUAAAAUUGCAACAUGCUAAAAAAAGUGUUACCGUGACCAUAUUAGUUGUAACAAAAUUGAUGUCUUAAACAUUCAUUACAACUGCAAUAGAUAGGUGCCAUAUUGAAUUAUAACAUACAGUAUAGUGUUAGUUAAAAGAACUUCAAUGGUGGCCAUAUUGAAUUGCAACUUUUUUUGGUUAUUUCACAGUUUUCAUUAUUGUUGCCUUAUUGAAUUGUAACACAACUUUUAUUCUGUAAAUGAGCAAAUUCUGAAUAGUUGCUAUAUUUAAUUUAAACUGAUUUUAUAUCGUCAUAAAUAUAGUUAAAGAAAAAGACUUUUGAUUUUCACACCAUAGUGGAGAAGAGAUUAUUAAAGAUUGAAAAGUAUAAAUAAAGACAUAGUGACUUACAGCUUGGCAUAUCCUUUAUGUAUUGUAGAGGCAUUGUUAAGUGACCUGUGUUUGAAUACUUUCAAGUUUUGUCAUGCUAGGCCUUUUUAUGGCUGACUACUAGAUGGAUUUUGCUCAUUGUUGAAAACCUUAAGUUGCUUCAAUCUGCUUCGUCUGGUCUCUGUUGGAUAAUUAUCUCAUUGGCAGCCAUAAUUCAUUUCCAUAUUAUGUAUUAUCUAGAUGUCUAUUUUGUUUUUGUAAUCUUGGGUUAUUGUCUCGCAGUACUAUUUGUGUAUUUGUAAUUUUGCCACAGGGAUUUAAAGACUUAUGAAGCUAUACACUGUAGGAAUGCUUACUCCUGUUCUGCUGCAUUAGAACCAUUUUCCAUUAUCAAAUGUGUGAUUCUCAUUAUUGAAAAACUACAAAGACAAUUUGUCAAAGAAAAGAUAAGGAUGUAAAUAUUUAUCUAGAAAAUAAAAUUAUACCAACAUCUGCAAAAAUAGUUUUGGCUUCCCAUACUGCUAUGAUGUUGUUUUCUUGUUUUUUAGGAUGAUUUUCUAAAAGCAUUUAAAAGACUGUUGUAGUUCCAUGCUUGGGUGCUAAUGUCCUUUUAACUAUUGAUGGGAAUGUUGUUAGAGAUCAUUACGUAAUCCCCAUGAUUAAACUCUUAGUAAUUUACAAAAUACGCCAUUAAGAUGGAAGUCGUAAAUUUCUUAGGGAACAAGGCUGCUAGGUAUAGGCUUUGGGUGAUUGUGAAAUUUAUUUCUGAAUUUUGUCAAAGGCUCCAAAGAUCUGAAUUGAUAUAACAGAUAAAUGGUAAUCCCCCCCCCAAAAAAAAAAAUAAAUUAAUAUUUGUUUUUUAUACUUAAUUAAAAAAUAAAAAUACAGCCAAGUUUUUUGUCAAAUUAUGGUUCUCUGACUACAAAUUCUGAAGAGUGUCCACCCUACAAUCAAAUCUUGGAUCACUCCAAAAAACAGAAAAGAGAGGACUUUAAAUGAAUAAUGAAUAUAUUAAACAGAUGUUAAACUGUCACCAGUUAUUAAUCCAAUCAAUUGAUACACUAGUAUGAUUUCUCAAUAUUAACAUAUUUAAUGUCGAAAAAAUGAAUACAUAUAAAAAUUGAAUCGUAAUGAAUCAAGGGUUUUAUAUCUGAAAAUAAGGUAUGUUAGUACAAGUUUGAUGUAACUCGGUUCAACAUUCAAGCUUCAUCAAAGAUCUUAUUCUUUUACAAAAAACAUAAAUUUGUAAUAAAAACAGAAAAAUCAUAAUUAACAUAAAAUCUUUUGCAAUAUUUUGUCAGCUUGUUCCUUGUAAGAUGCCAUAAAUAACAUGUUGAAACAAUAACUAUAUACUAAAAGUACUUUGAAAUAAACACUUUAUUUGCUCUCCAAUGUUUUGGUUCUUUUAAUACAAAAAAGUUUAUGUGAAUGACAUGUGUGGUUUACUUCUGCCCAAAGGAAUUGGAGAUUUUACAGUGGAUUUUUGGAUGCCAAUUAAUUACCGUCUCUGUUAACAGAACUCUACUUAUGGAUAGGUUUCCAUUGAUGAAGUAAUUUGAGUAUAAGUGAUACCCUUUUACCACCAUGUUGGAGGGCAAUGUGUACAAAUUCUUUCAUAAGUCAACCAAGGUUAAUUUAUGCUGACUGCUAAACUCAAGAAAAUUAUUUUCUGAGCAAUAUCUAUUUUUUAAAUCACCAAAUAAUUUAUCGGUGCAAUCUUAAGUAACUGGUCCACUGUCCUUUGUCAAACUUGCUCAUACCACAUUUGGAAAUUGGUUAGCACUAAAUUUUUCAGAUAUGCCGCUGGGCCCUCUAAAUAAAAUUAAAAAUCCUAGUUUCAUAGAUUAUAACUUAGUAAUUAGAAUAAAAUGUAGGGACUGGUAUGAUUCUCCAAGUUUAUAAGAUAGCCUAUGGUUUGAAUUCCUGUAAAUGUGACCGGUUUGGUUUUCAAUAUGACAGUUAACAUCACUGAUACAUUUGCAUGUAUGCAAUUUCAACACAACCUUUCUUUACCAUGUUGUCAUUCCUUUCUCAAUUUACAACAAACUCAAUUUGUACAUAUCAAAUUAAAGAACUUCAUUUGCAAAAUGAAUAACCAACAUUCAAUUUAUUAUUUUGUUGUGUUUUUAUACUGCAGUCUUUUUCUCAAUCCCUUGAAUCAAUUGCAGUUGAUGGAUUUCUCAAGCUGCAUUUUCCUACAGAUUCUUGUAAAUGAUAAAUCACACGAUGGAAAAAGAUAAUUAUAUUUUCCGAUUUAGAUGUAAUAUACAGUUAGUUAACUGGAAAAUUUAACAGAUUUUGAUCUCGCUCCAAAGAAAUUCCAUUUGAUUUAUGUUACAGAACUUUGGUGGUGUAUUACCAAUAGAAUUAAAAGAGGCAAUCGUAAUGCCAAGCGUACGACAUAAAUAAAUCCUAUUUACUUUCUGCCAAUAUUUUGUAGAAUUUUAUGCUAUUUUUGAAGGCAAUUGAUGUGAAUUUUGCUGAUUUUGAAACCAACAUAGAAGAUACAUGUGACAUUUAAAUUAGCGUUUUCCCAUAUCGUCAUAAGAGGAUAGAAUCAAGAGCCGAUAAAAAAUGCUUUAUGAUAGAUUUUUUCUGAUACCAUUUGAUAGAGGAGGAAUUAAAUUGAUCAUUUCUGAUGAAGUGUACUAAAGUUAUAUUUUUCAACAACCAAAUUUGGACAUUAUUUGCCAUCAGAUAUGAGGAAUUGUACGAGAAAAGGUCACAACCUUAGUCUUAUCUAACAAAUUGAAAGUGUGAAAGGAAAGAUUUUUUAAGAGCCUACAUGCUAUCUUUUAAUAAAAAUGCAAAUGUAUAGACACUCCAGCUUGUAAAAGAGGAUUGAAAUAUGCAUCUUUUAUGUCAUAAAAAAGAUUAACUUAUUAUAUUUACUGAUGGAAUAAUCAUGUCUAUGAAUAAAAUGAAGAUUUCUCCUGAAAAAUAAUGAGUAUAUUUGGCCUGAAGACCUUCAUCUUCAUCUGUUCGAGAAAGUUUUGAAAAUGAGGCUAAUACUAUACUCUAUGAACUGAGUAAACAAUGUCUUGGGGUCAUGUUUUGUCAAAAUAUAUCCCUGAAAAGUACACGAUUUAAAAACUUUAUUUUUUAAGUGCAUUAAUUUUAUGAAGUAUUUUUUUCCCCCGAUUUCAUCACGUUGUAGAAAUGAUUGAUUUUUUUUAGUCAUUAUCUGAAAGUCCAGCCUUUCUUUAGUUGGGGAAAAAAAUUCAAAUUUAUUGUCUUGAAAUCAAUGUACUGUGAAGAGAAUUCCAUUUAAGAAAGUGAAUCCAUCAAUAUUUUUUGCUUGGGUUGAUCCAUUGCAGCAGACAACUCUAAAUAAAUGAAACAAAUGGAGGAAAAUUUGACCUUUGCUUCAUUACGGAUGUAAAUCGAAUAAACAAUUGAAUUUCCAAAUGAUAAAACCAUAGAUCAACCUACAAUGAAUUGGUUUAAAAUCGAUUAGAAUUUAUGCUGUAGAAUUAAACAUAAUGUGGCAUUCUCUUGCUUUAAAGAAACAUCGCUUUUCUUGUCAUUUUAAACAAUUAAACUUCAUGUCUUGAUUUUUUCUUCUUAAGAAAUUAGAUUUUACUUUGAAAAAACAAACAAUGAUCUGCAGUUAGGAGGAAAAAAACGUUAAUUUAAUUUCGCCCGACAAACACUGUAAGGAAAUGCAGCAUGUUAAAUUGACAUCUAUUUUUCUGUCAAUUUGCACGCUUUUAAAUCUGAAGAUACAAGUUUUUAUGUAAGAUGGGGAUUUCCCUGUGCCGAUUCGUUUGAUCAUGUAAUCUGUAAUGUCAAAAUGUUAAGUGUUUUCAAGUAGCUUGCAGUUGUUAGAAAAGUUUGAUAUAUAAAACACUGAAAUCUUCAAUAACAAAGAAAAUGUUCAUUUUGUCAACAGCCUUAUAUUGUAAGCUAAAAGUUUUCUCUAGGCAUAGCUUUAUACCAAUGAAUGAUGUUUUAAAUUGACUGUAGUUUAGAUAGCAGUUACUUUUUAAAGGAAUUAAGUUGUUGCAGAUCUUUAAUAUACUUGUAUAGAAGUAAGGAGACUAUUGUCACGGUAUGAUUGCCAAUGAGACAACUAUGAAUUACCAAGGGCUUCACUGCCUGGCCCCCUAGCAGGCAACAAUCAUGACACCUUCAAUACCCAUAAAAUAGUAAGCCAUAAAAGGGCCUUAAGAAUGACAAAAUGCAAUAAGAAAUCAAAAGAGAAUACUACCAGCAUUUUUCAUGUUAAAAACAACAGCAAUAAAAGUAUUCCUCAAAUUUUAUCAAAUAUUUAUAAAAACAAUUUUGGCUUGAAAAGCAGGGAGAUAUCACAAGACAGAUAUACAACUGCACUCAAUAGCAUUAAAAUGUUUUUUUCCAAUCUAGAAUAAUCAAUUAAAACUUUAGCAUCCGCUUAUCUUUUAAUAAAUCAUGAUUGAAUUUUGAUCGUAAAUAAAACCAAACCAAAGAGGAAGCAAGAUGUAUCUUUUUAUGGAUUUGUUUUGAAGACUAAAAAGUAAUAAAAAAGGCUGAUAAAACUGUUUUUAAUAGAAACUUGGUUGAUAUAUUCUGUAACAAGUACAGAUCUAUCCCAUAUAUUGCAUGUUUUAUGGAAAAAUUGUUGCCAUUUCUUGCAUGCCUCGUUUCAAACAUCACAUUACUAUUUGAAAACUGAUGUUUUAUGAACUUUAGAAAAGUCUUGAAAUUUCCUGAUAAUUUGAAAAAGGAUGUUUAAUUUACGAAAACGAAGUCUUAAAAUCAGACUUAGUAUACAGAUCUAACUAUAUAAUUCUCCAAUGUCUCAUGAAAAUUUCCUACUUGUUCCUUAGAUAUAUCACCUGGUCCCUUGAUCGUGGACCAUAAAACGGAGAGACGGGAGAGAUGGCGGACAGCGAACAUGCAAUAUGCAUUAAUGAAUUAAAGAUUCAAACAGAAUACUUAAUUUUGAGAUGAUAGAAAACUAACUCAAACUUAAUUGUCACUACAACAAUUUUGCAUCAUAAGGCCUUUGAUUUUUAUCCCAGUUAAAAGGGUUGGAUCAAUUUGAAAGUGAACAUCAAACAGAAUAUAAGGAUACAAUACACUGGUGUUCUACAAAUAAUGAGAUUAAACCACCCCCUUCAUGUUCUAUAUUGACGCAAUAUACUCAUAGAAAAGUCGAGGAAAAUGUAAUAAUAAUGAAAUCGUACUGCAUGAAUAAUGCCAAAAUCAAGUAUGUGUACUCUAUUACCUUAUCAUUUCUCUUUUAUCGUUCUGAAUCUAUCUUGUCAGGCGAAAAAUUCAAAUGUAAAUUUGCAUAAAUUGUUCCUAUUUUAUGAUACAUUCUGCAGAUGAAUUAACAUUGUCAACAUUUUUAAAUAAUUCAAAGUAAACUUCUGAAAGAAGAUAAAGUUUGAGUCAGGUGAGCGAAACAGAUGUUAAUGAGGUGAUGAUUAUGACUUAACUUCAAAGAUCGGCUAAAAACGAGGGAAGAAAAAUCAGUUUAUUGUAAUAAUAUUGCUUUAUUAUCCCACUGAUCUUUAUCUACCUCACUGGUUUGUAUUGAUGUGAAAAGUUAUGUCAAUUUUCUGGCUAAAAAAAGAGGGAAGAUGUGUACAUUCUGAAAAAAUCCUGAUCAUUAAAGUUUCAUUAAGGACCAAGAAAGUUUUAGGUGAAAGAUCUGAAGAUUUAUCUGUAAGAACAGUACCUGAGUGUCUUAAAAUUACUGAGAUAUGAUAAGUUAUAGUUCUACUGGGUUAUCACUAUGAUUUGUAAGAGGAAAUUCCACAGAAAAAUCAACUUCAUCAUGGAUUUAGAAAACAGCCUCAAAGGAAUUUUGAAAGCCUGAUAAGAAUUACUAAAAAGGAAACCUUGGGUUUUUGAUGAUUGAUAAUGACUGAAUCCCAGUUUGUUCAUGUUUGGGUCCACUCUGGACCUUAUAAUAUGAUAGUGUCUUAUCUCAAUUGAUAAUGCCUGAAGCCCAGUGUCAUCCAUGGUGCCAAGAGACCAAAUUGAAUGUCUGUCUUCAACUAUGAUAACUGAAGCCCAGUUUGUUGGUAAUGGACCACACCUGACCUAAAAAAUUGUCCUGCCAGUUAUUAAGCCUUACCCUGGCAUAAAAAUUAUCAGAAUUUGCCUGCCUAGUAAGUAGUCAACCCUAUAGUGAUAUUUCUCACCCUAAGAAGUGUGAGAGUUGGAUGUUGGUUUCCAAUUUUAUCAACAACUAAUUACAUGUCUUGAUCAUUAGUGGUCAUGCUAUAAAACGUCGCUGUUUUUAAUGUAUUAAUUUAGUACACUUUACUAAUGCUCUUCCAUUAAGUUUGGCCGCAAAAUAUAUAAAUAAGUUAUAAACGAGAAGUCAUUUGUCCCUAGUUCUGCAUUCAUUCCUUACUGAUGACUAAAUAUUGAUGUUAAAUUCAUAAAUUUCCUAUUAACAUUUACCUUUUAUAUUUAUUUAUUUCAAAUGAUUUCCUACCCUUUUAUAGAAAGUUAAUGAUCGAGCAAAACUUCCCAUUACGAGUGCAUAGAUGUAAAUCAAAUAUGUAUGGCAUUAUAUAUUGCUGCAUCUGCAGGCAUUAAUUUCAUAUUUUUUGUCCCCAAUUAAAAGCUGAUCUACAAUUAGUUACGGCAGUGUGACAAUUUUUGUGUGCUUUUUUAAGCCAUAAUAUGUAGAUUUGUGGUAGCUGUUUACAAAUGAGUGGUCAGAUUUAAGAUUACAUUACUUUAUUACGGGGAUGAGUAAUUGUAAGUUUCAUUAGAAUUGUGAUACACAUUGUACACUGUUAUUAUUUAUUACAGAAAAUGAUGUCUAAAUAGUAUGUAAAAUGUAUAAGUGUCAGCAUGAAGACAUCCAUAAUGUCACAUACUUUUGAGAAAGGAGAACAUGCCGAGAAUGCCUUUAAUUUAUGAUUCUCAAGUAUGGUUAACAAGUAAAACGUUCUUUUUGUCAGUAGACAAGGGCUGGUUAUUUUUGUUCAGAUCAUGUUGAGCCUCAGUGCCCCUCCGAGUAAUGGUUUCAGAGUUGGACAAAAUAUGAGAUUUAAAUACCUGUUUCUCUGAAUAUCUUGUGUGAGAUGCAUUAUGGUUAAACUAGUCCUCCUUAUAUCUUCUGUGAAAUUCUGGUUAAUUGGGGGUAUUUUGUUUCACUUUGGAAAGCCAUACUUUAGCAAGCUGUUUACAGGGUCGGGUCAACAUUGCUGAGGGCUGUUACAAAAUUUGCCAAAAAAUUGUUCAGUGUAUUCCUCCAAACACAAACUAAAGAUACAGUAAAGAUAAAGGCUAUUUACUGCUAUUUGGUCGGGUUGUUGUCUCUUUGACUUAAUCCCAAUUUCCAUUUUCAAUUUUUUUUUUAAUCACUGAAAAACAAAGUGCAAAUAAACACGGCUGCACCUGGGAUGCAUUGACUUUAGCGGCUAUCUUAGUGCAUAAAAUUGUGUCUAGUCACAUGCAAAGUACGAAACCUGUCAUUUGCAGAUCUUUAUAUUUGAAUAAGUACACAGGUUAAUCUAGUAUGACUUUUCAUCAAUAUGCAUAGAUAAACUUGAAAGGAAAAUUAGAAAUUAUUGAAAUAUAAACUGCCAAUAAUGCAUACAAGGUACACAACACAUAUACCUUAUUCUCUCUGUUGUGAUAUCGUCUUUUCCUUAAAAAAAAAAAUCACGGGAAGAUUAAAUUUUGUGGACAUUAUAAAUCAUGAUGUUUCCAAGACAGACAAGAUAUUCUUUCCUUUUCACUUGUUUGUCAAGGGAUAUAAUGUAUUUUGAAAUGAAUCAGUGUGAGAAAUAGUAGGAUUAUGUUAAGCCAUGGUCUGAACAAGAAGAUGUAUUAUUUGACAAUCAAAUAUAAAUGACUGUCAGGCUGAAGUAGAGAUAUUUGCUUUUCAAAUUCAAAACAUGAUAUGUGACAAAAAUGAUCUUGAAAAGAUAAAAUGUUACUUAGUUAUGCUAUCAUCAGGGGGAUACUAUUGCCAGUUGUUUUACAGCUUUAAUUUUCAAUGAAUUUCAUGCUCCUCCAUCUAACUUUGUAUUGAAAAUGCAUGAAGUGUUUGUAACCAUACAUUAAGCAACCAACAAUCAAUCAUGUUCAUCUACAUUUGAACAAUACUAACAUUUAUUGUCUCAAAUAUGAGAAAAAAAGGUUCAGCAAAUUCUGUCAAUUUUGUCAAUAGUCAAAAGAAACCCAGAAAAUUCCAAUCAAAAGUCUUUAUCUCAAAUGUUCUGAUUUUGAAUAUAGUAAAAGUUGAAGUUGAAAAAAAUAUUCUGUUUUAUGCACAUCAUAUAAAACUGUUGCCUUUUUGUGCUUUUCAGCAUGUAAAGUUGGUUACUACAAGUCGUCAGCUGGGAACCAGAAAUGUUAUCGUUGUCCAGAUCAUAGUUACACCAAUGUGCCACAGUCAGUACAGUGUACAUGUGACUCAGGAUAUUACCGAAGUCUAACUGACAAGAAAGACAUGCAAUGCACUCGUACGUACAUUUAGUAUUAUAAAAGCUGAACCAAUAGGGUUCUAAAUUUUUUGAAGAUAUGACAUUAUCUUGGACUGUUUUUUUUUGCCUAAGUUUUUGAAGUUAAACAACUGCUGUACCCUACAACAAUUUAUUGUAAAAAAUGAAAUUAGUUGAUAGAUAGGUGAUCAUAAAUCAGUGCAAUUAUAAGUCAACCAUGUAAUAAAAUAGUUCUAUUUCAAAAGUAUUCCACAAGGGUAGUUCUUUUUAAUUGUCCUUCAUUCUACUUGCUGAAAAAGGCAACUUCAAUGGGAUUCUGUAAUAAUGGCUGUUCUUUAGCCUGAAAUGUCCAAAAAUAGAACAAUUGAAAUUAAAACUGAUAAAAAUCUGGAUUAGAAAUAUCUGACAAAUGUAUUUUAAAUAUCAACAAUAAAAAGAAAAGCAUGUUUUAAGGUGUUCAUUUAAAAAUUUUGACACUUGACAGAGACACAAACUUGUUCAAAAUAUAAAUUCAUUCACAUCAAAGACCUGUAAGAGAUCUUAAUCAUGAAAACGUAAUAACGUAAUAUUUAUUAAAUUCUCCGAUUGUUUUCAUACUUUUUAUCAAUAUAUAUAUUUUGACAAGGCCUUCAACAGGUAAAAAUGUAUAAUCAACUAAUAAAUGCCAGGUAUUUUCUCACUUCACAAUGAAAAUUUAAAAUCUGAAAUACAGGCCAUUUAUAGGUUUGUUCACAUCUUUUAACCAGGUAACCUUCAUUGUCUAAUUUGAAUAUCAGCCUGAUAUAAUGACAUCCAGACAGGUAAUUUUGAUGGCCGAUCAUUGAUAAGGUUGUGAUGUAUCCAUUGACCACCUGUAGUAAGUUACAAACAGGAGACCAGGUCAAAAGGAACCAGAUCAACCUCCAUUAUGAUAAAAGGAAUACAUCCAUUAGAGCCAAUCGAUAUAAUUGCUACUUUCAAUUUUCUGACAAUCAGAGUUUUUUUUAUGAUAUCCCAUUUCAAUUGCAAGGUAUAAUCGUAAAUAUUCAGUGUUUAAUUGUAUGAAUAAGGUGAAAGGUGGUUUGGUCCUCGCGUUCGUUUAUAUUUACUUUUAUGUAUUGUUGUUAGAUUUAAAGAAAAAGUCUUUCUUUAGACAUGAUUAAAAAUAACUCUUUAUGAUGAAUCAUGUAUAAUUAAGUUGUUAAAAGAAAUUUGCUUUUGUAAAAUUUAUGGCUUUUUUGUUCGCAUUUUCAAGUACAGCGAAUUAGAAUUGAAAAAACGGCUUCUUGCUUGACUUGGAAAUGUCGCUAUGAUUCUGGAGGGUGAUUAAAUACUAUUAAAUUUUCAAUUCAUAUAUUAUAUCUUGACAAAAAUCAAUAAUUUUGUGUUUUACAAAGAUUUCUGUGACAGAGAUUUCUAUGGUGUAAAUUGUGAAAUAGGUUUGUUUGUUUGAAAUAUGUUGACGUCUGAAAACUUAAUUGUUGUAUGUCAUCACAGCUCAACAAAAUUUUUGUUGUAAGAAUUGGAUAAUUUUUUUUCUAAUUUUAUAAAUUAAAAUUAUUAAAUUGGAAGAAUCUAUUAUAAAGCAAUAAAGAUUGUGAAUUAAAACUUUAAAUGCAGUUAAAUUGUUUAAUUUGUCAGGUGUCUAAAAAAUAUCCCAAAUUGUCUCAUGUGAAAGCUACUUAUAAGUUCUACCAGAUUUUAUUUAUAUAUAAUUUAAAAAUAAUUAAUGUUGAUGUAUUGCCAUUGAAAAAUUUUGAAAAAAAGUCACACAUUGAAAAAUAAAGAGCACAUGCAGGUACAUGGAACCAAGAAACACACAAGCUGUACACUCUGUAAAACUAUAAUGCAAAACAGCUUUCAUAGAUAUAGAAAGAUGUGGUAUGAGUGCCAAUGAGACAACUCUUUAUCCAAGUCCAUGUUUAGUUAUAGAUUGAUUUGUUGAUUGGUGUUAAGCACCACUUUCAGCAAAAUUGGCUUUAAUAUGGUGGUCAGUCUUUAUUGAUGUGGAUAGUUGGUGUACACAGAGAGAAUCAGCAGUCUUAUUCAGGAAGAACUCAAAAUCCUAUUCUAGUAAGAUAAGGAGUCAACUCAUUAGGGGAUUGAACUAUUUGUGUAAUGUAUAAGAGCAUUUUUCCCUAUCCCUCAUCUGAUAUUUAUUCAAAUAUGAGUUAACAAUGCAUAUAAAUGUAAUUUUACUUUGUAUUUAUAGAGCCUCCUUCAGCUCCAACAAACUUGAGAGUGACUGAAAAGACAAACAAUCGGUUGACUCUGGUUUGGAAUAGGCCUGUUUACGAUGGUGAUAGAGCUGAUUUGUUUUACAAAGUUAUCUGUUACAACUGUGAUCACAAUGUUAUCUAUGUUCCAAGCCAUGAACUAAAUUCAACUAGGUUUGUAGAAAUUAUUUAUAUGGUGUAUUUCAGUUUUGUUAAAAAUUGCCAAAUAAAUUCAAGGUAGAUUUAGCAAAAGAAAAAUCAUGCUCAUCUCUAUUAUAAGUGUUAUGACUGACUAAUGAGUAAAAAUUACAUAAAAAGCUCAUUGUAAAUCACCAAGAAUGCUGCAUAUUUUUUCAGUGAUUUACUUAAAAAUAAAAUACAACACUACUGAGGUUUCUACAAAGUGUAAUCAACAAAAAAAGUCGAGGCUAACCAAUUUAUUACAUAUAUAUUUUGAUUGGGAAGCUCUAAAGAAAAAAACAACCAUCCAGAAUAUAUGAUUCUUAAAAAAUUCCAGCUUACUAAUUUCUAUAUCAAAAGUACCUCUCUGUACAAUAAUUUCUUAAACAGCGUUAAGAGUUUAUCAUGGAAAACCUUUCGUUGAAGUGGAUUUACAAUAUUAGGUCUUCACUUUGUAAAUUAACUAAUUGAAGGCAAAACACAGUUAAUAUUGUCAUUGAAUUGUGGGUUAUGAUUCAGACUUUUUUCACAAGUCUGAGUUCGUCCAAAGAAUCCAAGCCAUCACAUGACAGGAUAUAAAUCAUUGCUUGUUAUAUGCUGAAAAGAAAAUCAAUUCUACCACGGAAAGGUGACAGAAUUUAAUGAAAAUUUGAAUAAAAUAAAAAAGUUAGGACAUUGAUAAUUUUUACAAAUUGAUUUUUUUUAUCUCACCAAAAAAGUGAGUUCUUAAUGUCUAUUGUAUGGCAUAUAUGACAUUUUGAAUGAAAGAUGUAACCCAUUUGUUUGAAAUAUAAAUGAACAGAAUACACAAAUUUUAGAUUGAAAACUUUCUGAAUUAAGGCAAUGGUAGUUUACAAAUGUUCACAUCUCAUAAAUCAAUUAUAAAGGUACAAAUCAUGGUAACAAAAAAAAAUUGCGGGAAUUUCAAAAAAAGGAUGAAAAAUUGUUGUGUUGAGAGAAUAAGCUUUUCUUGUUCUGCAUGCAUCAUCCUCUGUGCAAAUCAAGCUCAGUGUAAGCCUAUAUCUUUAUCAUUGUGUUAACGAAUGGUUUCACUCUCACUCUUUACAUGUAUUUUAUGAACAAAGGUCAAUUUUCUAAGCCAUAUUUCUAAAUAGAUAUCUAUGGUCGGGUUUUUUUUGUUUUUUUUCUAUGGUCAGGUUGUUGUCUCUUUGACACAUUCCCCAUUUCCAUUCACAAUUUUAUUUCCUGCAAUAUUGUAAGGUUAACAGUAAAUGGGUUUUAUUAUUCUUAGUCAUUCAUGUUCAGUUAAUUUAUAGCUGAAGAAAACAUCAAUGAUAACGCUGUUUAUGGAUUUAUAAUAUGGAAUGAUUAUUAAAUUAAGUUUUCUUAAGGGCUUUUGUUUUCCUGGUUUGAAAUGACAUGUUAUAUGAUUUCAUAGUAAUAUUUUUUUCCUAACUUACACUCUCAAUUCUCAGCCUAUUUUGAAAAGGAGAUAGAAUUGAGCAAUAAAAGAUAAACUUCUAUUUAGGAACACAUGAUUAGCUUCUUUUUAUUUUACAGUUUAACACUACAAGGUUUGAGAUCCAGCACAGAGUACAAUAUAACUGUUUUAUUUUACAGUGUAACACUACAAGGUUUGAGAUCCAGCACAGAGUACAAUAUAACUGUCUUUGCACACAAUGGAGUUACAAUCACAAGUAAACAAAAACCACAAAGUGAUUCAAUUAAAGCCAGGACUGACUACAGUCUAGCAGUUAUAGACAAUCUAAAAAUAGUACAGAAACUUUCUACUGGAACUGUUGUUAUAACAUGGGAGCUGGCCCAACAUGUCAAGGAGGAAGUAGAAUUGUAUGAGGUCAAAUGGUACCCAUCGGGAUUCCCCAAUCUGGUGUUAUCUAAUGAGACCACAUUCACCAAUUACACAUUUCAUAACUUGGAUCUUACAAAAGUCUACAAUGUGCAGGUUUGUUUACUUGUCAAUUUUAAGUGUGAAAAUAUUUUUACAGUGAAAACUGUCUAGACAGAACCAGACUAUAGUGGAAACUUGUCUGACUUCCUUUGGCUUCAAAGUCCCCUACCAGCAAUGUAUUUUAAACCUGUUUAAACCUUAAAAAUUUUCCGUCAGGGUUGGAUUUUUAGGCAGGGUUUACAGUUCAAAGUAAUUUAUACUAUUUUUCACAUUUUUUCACAUUUUAUGCGUAGCUUGAGUCAUAAAAUUUAUUUAAUUGCAAAGCAUAAAUUUCUGACUUUUGACCAAAAUGAAUUUGAAGAAAUUGAGAAAACCAAAUUAAAAUGAAAAAUUAAAUUACUCAGAGUGGUAAUGUGGAAACUUAAGCAACAGCAAAAGUUGAUAAAUUCAACUUUCUAUUAGGUUUUAGAUAAAAGUGGAAAAAAAAGGAUAAAGUCAAGUUUCGAUUAGGUUUUCCAGUUGUAUGAGACAUUCAGUGCUACUUCUUAUGAAAAUGUAGUCAUUGUAUUUCUUCCCCCAGUGGAACCACUAAUUGCUAAAAAAUUGUCACUUGCACUUAGGAAAGACGACUCCGUGUCAUGAUUGGUGAUCAUGACACAUCUUAGGAGGAAUGUUUUCUAAUAGACUGGACACGCUUUUUAAUCAAAUUAACUUGUUCCAUUUUUUGCAGUAUUACAUGUUGUCUCAGAUCCAUCGAUCAAGUAAAUUUAUAUCUAAUGGAAAACUGAUUUUUUUCCCAUGUCACCUGAUCUGGGAGUGUAACGGAACUUUAUUUUGUGGACGAAAUUUAAGUCUCAUAUCAAUUGGUUGUUGCUUUGUGACUCACUUUCAUUCGAGUUCUAUGAAUCUGAUAUCAAAUCAUCAAGUCUUUUUGCAUGUCUCUCAGGAAAAAUUAAAUCCCAAGAAAUUUAGAUUUUGCAUUAUCGGUUAAAGAUGAAAGAAUUUGGUUCAUGUGCAUUAUGCUGUUAUAAAGAUAUUUGAAAUGAUUAUUUUUAUGGUUUUUUUGUGAGAUAAUCUGAACUCAUGAUUUGUCAAAGAAUAAUUUCAGAAAAGGAUCUGACUUUUAUUACUAUAAAAUUUUAAUAAUUUAAAAUUCAUCUGAUAAUAUUAUCAACUUCAUGAUUAAUAUGUCUUCAAUAAGGUCUAAAAAUAGAUUUUCAAAGUAAUGAAAUAACAGUUUUAGAAUCAGAUUCUAUUCCUAUAGCAUUAACAAAAACAAAAAAGAUCCAACACAGACAGUCAACCUUUGAAUAUGCCAUAGAUAGAUAUCCUCUUGUUUUAUUUUUACAUCUAAAACCUAAUGAUUAAAUAGUCAGUAUAGUUUUAACUGAUUCCUGAUUGAUUUACGAUUUGGUUGUUGUUUUUUAUCCUGAUAGAGAACAUUAUUCCUUGACAAGAUCAUUCUUAGGAUGUUCUUGGUUGUUGUAAUGAUACUUGGCAUGCAAACCACUUAUUGAUCAAGAUGGAAAGCCGUUUCCAAGAAAUUAGACAUACUAUUUUGCUCUAAGCGUCUUAUUAGAGCUCUUGUACAAGUUCCACCUGUCAAAGUCGUUGACUUGUAUAUUUUUCUCUAUUUUUUGUCUAACAAGCAGCUGAUGAAAUGGGGCGUUGUGACAGCAGCUUUAUAAAAAACUAAGUCAAAUCACAGGAUGGCAAUUUCUAGCACAAAAUAUAAUUUUCUAUCUAAUAAACUUUGUAUUGAUUUUCUUCCGUAAAUUGUUUCAGCAACGAUUAUAAGUAAAAGCGAUAUGGUGAACAGUUUGAACUAUAAAAUAACAAUAAAAGCCAAGUGAAUGUGGCAAGCAGAGUCUUUUUUGUUCUUAGAAUGUUUCCAAUCAAUAACUUGACACUUUCAUGUGAAUCAAAUAUUUGCUCGAUUUGGUAUUAAAAUAGAGAAUUUCGAAUCAAGUUUCGCAAAUACAGUUGACAAAAAAUAGUAGAUGGGUUUUACACUGCAAUAAUAGACGUCCUGAAUUACAAAUAUAACUCAACUCAAUUCUAGAGAGAUUUGGUUAAAGCAAUUUGUCUCUUCCUUUGAUCUUUUGAGAACUGCAUUAAAAAUUAAAAAAUUUUAACGAUUGUUGAAUAGCUAAAUACACAUCUUGUAUUAAAUUUACAUUUGUUGAUGAGUGUAUGGUUAAUUGGUUUGUUAUAAACCUAUGGAUCAGUUCAUACUUAAGUAAAUUAGGUUAUACUUCAUUGUUCGGUAAAAAUGUAUUCAGGAUACUGUGAGAAGAAAUUAGUAUUUCAAUUUUAUGGCUCAAACAUUUCAUUGUUUGUCUUUAAAAAGUGGUCACAUAUGUUUUGUGAGAAACAACCCAUGAAAUUAAUCUAUCUAUACAUUACUAUAAUGCUAAUGACAAAAAAAGGACUUCAUAGGUAGAGUCAUGGAACAGGGGUUGGGGUGCUAUAACAGAAGAGUAUAAUACAGUUCUGUUGCUAGUUGUACUAGUUGAGAUACAUUAAUGUUAAAAAAAAACCCUUCACCUGCAGUAUUACAGUGUGUUAGUCUUGCAAACAAGGGCAGAUCAUCAUUUUAGAUCAGUUUAUUUUCAAUUUAAAUGGAAGUCAAGAGAGUUUAUUUUUUGCCCUACUUUUCCUAAAUUUUGACUGAUUGAUCGUUGUUUGUUUUGUGACCAGUGGUAAAUAUUUUGAUCUUUUUUAGGAAGAGUUUAAAAGAAGUUCUCAACAACAUUUAAAUUUUUUCUACUGGGAAAUGAUGUUAUUUAAAAUUUCAAACACACAAAUGUACUAUAUUUAUUUGAUCAAGUUAAUACUCAAGCAAAUUCUAAGUGCCGAUAAAUAAAUACUUUCUUACUUUUUCAAAAGUAUUGUUUUACAUAGUAUGAUUAGAUUUCUACCUUUGAGAUUGACAGAAUUUUGUUUGUUAAAAAUACUGAAAAAAGAGAUUAAAAUAGCUCCAUAGUAUGACCACCCAUGUUUUAGGAUGAUCUUUAAAUUUUCAAAAAUUAUCUCUGCAUAAAAUGCAAAAGAAAAAUAAUAUUAAUGACUUGUUUAAAUAUAAGCUGUAGUCAGUUUUCACAGAUUUAUGUGAAUUAAUUACAAUUUGAUCAUGUUUUAAUGUUGGAUUAUAAUUAUUCAGCUACUUUUAUCAAAUGAAAAAAGCAGUUAACAGCAAAGCAUAAGAAUUAAACAUAGCUUGUGACAUAAUGUACUAUCGAAAUAACCAUUGUGUAAAAGCUUUAUGUUUAAGGUGAAGCAUUGUAAGCCCUCGUAACAAAUCUUAAUUCAUGGUGUCGGAUUUAAAUGAACUUUAUACAUGUGAUCAGUCUGGCAGAGAAAGGCGCAGCAGGGACUUAAGUUUCACAUCUUUCUAUAAAAUCUAUUCUACCCAAACCGAUUACGAUAAUUGUUAUAGCAUUAUGUAAAGUUUUUUGCCUUUUAAAGUGAAAUAUUUUUAUUUUAUGAUUAUAUACACUUGGCUGGUCACAAAGAGAGAGAGCAAAGAUAGCUACAUUAUAUCGUGUCAAGUUUUAUAAAUAUUUCGUUGUUUGUCAGCAAUUUAGAUUUAUAACCUGUGCUUAUUAAAUAUUUUAAAAGGCUGUAUAAAGUUAGUAUGUAAUUAUAAGAAUAUCCACAAAGUGCAGACAUUUUACUCUCAUGAAAGAUUGCAAUUGUCGCAGGUAACCAAGAUUGUUUGAUGCACGAAUUCAAAACGCAUAAAAAUAGCAAUUUUUUAGUGCACAGCAAAAUUUCAUGAUUGUGAAAAAGGUUUUAUUUUUUGGCGGAGGAAGUCUGAUGAGUUGAAAUCAAUACAGUUAUGAAAUAAAGAUAAAUAUAGCCCCAUUAUUGAGACAAUAAUGUCCCUAGUGUGCAAGAAUAAAAAAAUCAACAAUUUCAAAUUCAUGAAAUAUUUACAAUCUGAUACUGCUGACAAUUUGAAAUAUAUUUUCUAUGUAAAAAUUGUCAUACAUGUGGGAGAUAUGCACUCUAUUGUGACAUUGCUUAGAAACUAAUGUCAUAUAGGGAGAAAUCUUUGUGACAAAAAAAGAGAAGCCCUUUUCUUCCUUUUGUCACUUAAUUAGAUACACAAUUGUGUAAAAUCCAAUGAUCUCUCCCUCAUAGAAGUGUAUUAGCAUGCAUAAGCUGGUUCUGCUGUAAUUAGAUUAUCUGUUGCUUUAACAUGAAGAUGACCAUAUCGUAAUUAUAUCACUUCAGUAGUGAUAGGUGUCCGUCCAGAGAAUACGUAUUCCUCAGGGAUGAUCAAAACAUUUUAUCCAUGUCUUGCUGUAACUUCUAAAGUGUAAUUAAGCAUUUCUGCAAUAUCAUUCCAAGUAGAAAAAUAGAGAUUUUAAAGAUAGGAAUAGCGAGUUUAUAAUGAAAGCAGAUUUUUUGUCUUUUGGGAAAUUCAACUUUUGAUGCCUAAUUUGAUAGUCCGGGGUACCAGAAAUAGUAGUGUUAAAUUGUCCUAAUCUGCAAUCAAGUAGGGAUUAUCUCACAACAAAAUCUCUUAUUGACUUUGUUGUAUAAUUUAGUAUUGAUGGAAAAAGGGAAUAAUCUAAAUAGAGCAAUUUUGUUUUAUAAAACAUAAGUGAUGUAAUUAUCAGAUACCUUCUAAAAUCUUUAACCUUGCACCACUGUUUCUCCCUUGACAAACUGUAUAAUCAAACAUCAUAAAAUGUUGAGUAAAAAGUAAUGAUAAUUUGCAAACAUUUCAGUGUAUUGUUUCUUGUUUACAUAUAUAAUUGAAUUGCAGCAAUUCAAGUCUAGAUACUGUGUUAGAAAUAGACUUUAUAUUUUACAGUGUCUCUAAAGGGAUAGGUAGUGAGUUAAAGGAUUGACAUGAGGCUUUUAGCACCAUUAAAAAGUACUUUUCUGCAAGUAAUUGGUUUCCAUUUCCAUAGAAAUUUAAACAUUAUAGUUAAUUUUCAAAAGGCUGCAUUAAUGUUACAACUUUGAAUUUUAAAAAUACAUGAAUAAAAUUCUGUUCAUAAUCAAAAGAAAAUUAACCAUGAUAGAAGAAGUAUCACUGAAACUUUAUCCAAAGAUAAAUAUUCAAAGUGACAGUCAUUAUUUGUAAAUUAUAUCAUCAUAGUUGAUCAUCCUGAAUAUCCCUGAAAUAUUUGCCACAGGACUUUAAGAAAGCAAUAUUCAAUCAUCAUAAAUGCUAUAUGUAAAAUUACAUCAUUUGUAUCAUUGAUUCCCUUCUGUGUACUUAUAUUGCUGGAAAAAUUCUUUGACAAAUUGCUUUUCCUGUUUCAAAGCCGCACGGAUUUAACCUUCGCUGUAACAAAAUCAACAUUAAUAAAUGUGAACAACGUAAGAAACCUAAAUUUGUAUGAUCUUAACUUCCUCUAGAGAAAAAGAAAGCCAUUGAUCCCUUAUAUAUACACAUUUUGUAUAAUAGUAAGACGUAGAGACGGCAAGAUUUAAUCAAAACCAAUCUGUUUUAGAUUAUAUGACCUGUUUGUCCGACAUUAACUAAAACUAUCGGACAAUCUAUCUCAAGCAGUUUUGUCUUAAAUUGAAUUUCCUUCUAUUGACCAAGUAUAUUACAGAGACAAUUGGAAAGCUUGGCUUCAGAGGUUUAAUAGAUGGAACACCAUGUUAUCUAAGAAUAACUUGGAUACUAUUGAUAGAUACCUCAGGCGACUUGGUAAUUGAAAAUUAAAAAAGCAAUAAUUCGCUUGCUGAUAAAUUUGUAGAAUUAUCGGAAUGGUGUACAAAAGCCUGAUUGUAAUCCAGAAUAACUUACUGGAAACUAUGUACAGGGAUUAUUGAAUAAAAACCGAUGGUAAAAUUGCCUUGUAAAAUCUUAUUAGUUAUAUAGAUUUUAUGAUACAAUGGGCUUUUUCAUUUCAUAAGUUGUUAUUCGUCGAGGCAAAACUGUAUGGCAUCGUAAUAAAAUGGAUUUGCAAAUUGAAUUAGAGAAUUUCACUUUGUUGCUGUUUGUCUCUCAUUUCCAAGGGAAAUUGUCUUAGAUUGACAACUUUAAAGUUGAACGAGAGAAACAACAUCAAACAAAGUGAAUCUAAUCUACGAUGAUUAGGAGUAGCAAGGAAAUCAGUAGGAUUAGAAAAAAUGAAUUACUUAAAAAUAGCAAUGCUUUUAUUGAAUUAUUUUUCGAACAGAAUUAAAGAAUCAAUGAUAAAUGUCUUAGGUUAGAAUGCUGGAUUAUUGACAACACGAUCCGUGCUGUCAGCGCAAUAAUUGUGACAUGAAGGAAAUUUGUGUAACAUUGCUUAUCUACAUAAAAAGUUUAAAGUAUAAAAAAACUAAGCUGCCAUUCAAAUACAUAGGUGCAUUUAUAUAAUUACCAGAAUAAGAACAUUUUUGAAUUCUUAAAUAAUAUUGCAUCCAUAGACAGUUACUCUGCUUUUUGGGUAAGCCCAUUCCUUUCAUUGAAUCAUACUGAUUUUGUAUUCUAAAGAAGGUUUGAUGAACAUUUUCAGGGUUGAUUUGUUGUUGAUUGUUAAAUGUUCAGUGGCAAAUAUUAUUCAUGUGUACCUUAGUUGAAGGUCUUUCUAAAAAAAAAGUUUGAAUUUUCUAAAUCACAAGAUUCCUUCAUUUAAACUGAAGCGCUUGUUCAGUAAAUCAUCACAAGCAGUUUUGAAGUGCACAAGCAAUGAGACAAUAAGACAACAAACCAAAGUCCAUUUAACAUCUAUUGGUCAAUUGUGAGGUCAAUAUUCAACUACUUUCUCCAAUUUGUUUCUUGCUGUUUGGAAGGGAUGUAAUGCUAACCAGUCAGAAAAUUGUCUGUAGGCCUUCAUUUGAUGAUAUUACAACACAUUGUGAUGUAUUGAACACUAACUAUAGUUGUAUAUAAAUGUCUGAGUUUUAUGAAAUAGUUAGUAUGUAUGAUAGGUACCAUGUCAAGAGACAGUCUGAACACAAGGAGAAUAGCUAAGUUAUUAUUUUAUUAUUAUUCUCUAUUGGUUAGACUGCACUAAAGGUUAAUUCAAUAGAGGACAAAACAGAAGUUUUUGAUUUGAUUAUGGAAGACUGAAUAUCUGUUCCUGCUCAGAUUGUUAAACCUUAACUGACUAUGAUGACAUUGUCUGGUUUGAAGGUUUUUAUAUAGUACACAAGAGAUCACCAACACUAGUACAGUUUCUUUGAUAUUUGGAUGGAAAGAUUAGAAAUUCAGUGGGAAGUAGCAUCACAGUUAUCUGUUUUAGAGUCAAUGAAUUUCUGUAAUAAACUUUUUUUUAUACAGUCAUUAAGGAAUAAUAAAUCUACUAUCUAAGUUGAAUUUGUCAUUCUGAAUGAUUCCUAAACAGGCCUGUAGCCAGGAAUUUCCAAAGGGGGUUCGUUGGACUCAUGAACUCGACUUUAACAGUCACAAUUUGAACAAAACGUUGACUUUAACAGUGCUUAAUUGAUUUCAAGGGAGGGGUAUGAUGAACAUGUAUCAAAUGGCCUCUCAAUACAUAAGUCGAAAUACAAUACAAAUGUUUUGAUUGUCUGUUUAGCUUUGAUUAUUUAGCAUUUUUAAGAUGAUCAAAAAGCUAAAACUUGAGUCUAAAGUCUUCUAUUGAAGACUGUCUUAUGUCCUAUAGAUGUUUUGAGUAUUCAUGUUGUUAGGAUGCUGUCUAUGGGUAAUUGACAUUUAUCCCACAGAUAUCUUUGUAUUUAUAUUUUUCAAUACUUGACAUAUGAAUCAUUGCUUUAUUAUACAUGACUCUGCCUUUAAUUCCAGAUUCGAGGGAAGACUACCAAUAAAGGUUGGGGAGACUACAGCGAUCCAUUACAGAUCAAAGAUGGAGACAACCAAUUAGGUAGGUUGAGGAUUAUUUAAAUUUGAAUCAAUAACAAGCCUGCAUAAAGGGUAGAUUGGCAAGGACCCCUUGUAUACCAAACAUUGUUGAAAUUGUACUGUAACAUUUUCCAAUAUUUUAUAACUCUGUCCUCUUUGUUUUGUCAGCUCCUAAGACUACUGUGUUGAUAUGUCAUUACUGUAUUUAUAAAUUAUGUUUUGGUUAGUGGAAAUAGUAGAGAUAGACCAACUACUUUGAAAUGGGGAUGGUGUACUUCUAGUUGAUAUACAAAGUCCACAUCCACUUUAUAUACUGUGGAAAACAUUUCUCAAAGAAAAACCCUUUUAUUAACUUUCUUCUUCUUGAAGGUUAUAAGGGAAACAACUGGCUGAGAUAUGUUGUGUUUGUUUAUACUAAUCAACGCAACAGGUUGUUGAAGUCUUGUUCUUGCGCCAGUGUACAGAGUUUAAGUAAUGCUAGAUAUAAGACACUUAAAGUACAUCUCACCGUCUUCAAAAAGACAUCAGCCAUAUUAUGUAAAGUAGGUUUUCAGUUUGAUUUACGAAGAAAAGACCCUUGAGAAUUAAGAUUGGAAUGAUAGACAUUUGAUGACAAUACAUACUUGCUGUAAAACAUGCACAUUACAAUGAGAGUUUGUGAUAUCGGCAUAUUUCAUUCAUGUAAAUCACGAGUACAUAAGUGCACCAUACAUUUCCUUAAUUAAGUGUUAGUAUGAUAACAAGGUCUAUUAAUUAUAUAAAAGAUUUUAUACUUGUAUUUUGUUUUGUUUUUGGCAUCACAUGUAAAUAGGUUAGUAUGGAAACUUUAAAAACUUAUGUUUUUGGGAAAUCACAAUUCCUUACCAAAUUCUUGGUUUGAUUUGUUAAAAUCAUCAGAAUUUCUGGUGUUUCCCUUUUCUUUUUCAAUUUACCACAAGAAAUUACAUGUAAAUGACUUAAAGCUACAAGAAUCUCCAAGGAACCAAAUCACUCAUAGCAGGAAAAACAAAAGUAUUAAAAUACAUUGUGCCUUUUGAAGAAUCCUCUUCAGGAAACCUUUUCUAAAUGGGUGUGCAAAAUUGCAAACUUUACAAUUAGUACCCAGGGAAAUCUUGAUACACUUAUUUCAGAAAAUUUGAAGUGAAGUUGGUACAAAUACAUAAUUUUUUUAUACCAGUGAAAUUAAAUAGUGAAGUUAUCUAAAUCCACAAUGUCAUAUUUGUCAUUUCUGAUUUCACUUUCAUCUUUCAUGCUUGACUCUGUCUUCAACAAUAAUAUAAUGAAAAGAAAUUUAAAAAGGCCUUAUAUUAGAUUUAUUAGAUUGAAAUCCAUUACAGGAUUUAUUCAUAUUGCAACUUUCAUUGAAUUUCACAUGGCAUAUCUUAUCAUUAUCUUGAAAGGUUUAAACUUUGCAAGGGUAGAAUAUCAAAAAAAGUUCAAAGAAAGAAAUAUAUGUAUGAAUGAAGGAAAGUUAAUGUGUCUGUGUACGUUGUUAAUAUAUUGAUAAAUAAAAUUGAAUAAGAAUUUAUUUCCGUUUUGAAAUCAAGCACUAUUUAGUGAUACAAGACUACCUAUCCUUGUCCUGUAUCCCCCUCCAUUAUAAUGAAAACACUGGAAAAUAUAUAUAAAACGCGUUUCAUAAAUGAGUUGAUGCUGGUUGUUACUUUAGUUACCAUAAUAAUUUAUCAUUAUUUAUCAAUUAUAACCGAGUCAUUAUUAUAUAUGGGAUGCAUUUAUUGGUAUAAUUAAAAAAAUCCAAAGCCUAAAUGAUCCAACUUAUCAUCAAACAAUGAAGCCUGUUUUGGUUUCUAAUAAUUUCAUGUAGACAAACAAGUCUCUUACGUUGAAACAUUCAGAAAUGUGAUAUAAAAACCCCAAAUAAAACAGUACAAAAGCAAAUUUAAGUAAAGUCAAACUCAGAGCAUGCCAUUUUACAAUUUUACAUUUUUACAAACAUUAAAAACAAAGUAAAACACUAAAUGCUUCAGCACUGAAUGAAACUUGCGUUAUUUGUUGAUAAUUGUUUAUAAUUAUAUUUUUUUCUUUAUUUCAGAAAAAGUAGAAUUAGAACAGCCCAUGCCUUCAGUUGGUAUUAUAGUAGGAUCUAUCAUAGCAGUGUUCCUCUGUAUGUCUAUAGCAGCCAUUAUGAUCAUCAUUUUACUCAAAAGGUACAAAUAAUUUACAAUCUUUGUAUGUAGUCAGAUAUAUGUUUUCAUCUUUUUGGAUUUGUAAAUAAUUUUUGUUCUCGUCUGUUGUAAGUAGACCCCAUUUUCAUUCAGAUGAAGUAUUAAAUAUAUUUACAAAUUCCAUUUUAUGGAUGGACAAAAUUGUAGGCAAAUUUCUUGACACUAUUUAUUUAGACUGGUUGAAUAAAAAAUACCACAAUAUUGUCACGCUGGAGGUUACAAAAGGACACUUAUCAACACCCUGGGCAGUGGACAUUUCUAAUUUAAUAUAUACAAUAAUAUUUAUAUAUAAGUAGAUAUAUUUAUGCUUGACCAUGAACUUAACAAUAGAAGGAUAUAUACUUAGUGUCAGAUGGUUUACCUUAUGCUCAAGGUACUGAAAACCUUAAAUUAAAAAAUAACAAGACUUUGUUUACCGUGUCUGUACAGUGUAAAUCUGAUAUUUAAAUGAUUUGUAUUUUAAUUUAAAUUUUUCUUGAAGAGAAAAAAAUAAUAUUUUAAGAUAUAAACCAAGAAAGAUAACUCAUGUUGAUAAAAAUUAGUUUUCUGAUUGACAUGUGAAAUAAAAAUUGAUAUUCAUUAUUUCAGAAAUCGUCCACAAUGCAGUGAGACAAAGGGAGGCGACUGUGAUACUCUACAUUAUGGACACGGUGAGGGUAGGCACUUAUAGCACUGAUGAUAAUUCAAUAACUUUAUCAUUUUGUCAUACUCAUCAUAUGAAACAUACAGUAAAAGACAUGAAAAAGUGAAACUUUUUGUUGAGACAACUCAAGUCAUCAAUUAACUGAAUUAUAAGUCAAAAUUUAUUGACUGUUCAAAGAAGAGCAUGGUUGGUUCAUAUAAGAAUUUUUUUUCACCAAAAGCAAAACCAUUAGAAAUUUUGAAAUUGUCAUGUUUCACUUUUCAAUACUAUUAAGUCUUUUGAUACCUUUGCUGUAUUACAGUAAAAUACACCUGUAAUAUUGCAUAUAAUACAUAUAUUAUGAGAAAUUAACUUUCAAAUACACAUAUCAUCAAUCCAUUAUUUAUUGUAUGUUUUAUUCUUUGCUCAUACCUUAAAUUAUAUUUUAAAUUUUUUAAAUUUUUAAUUUUUUUUUAUAUAUAAACUUUAUGGUUAUUAAAUCAUGUUAAUUUCUCAUGAUGUCACCUAAUUAACAAACAACACAUAAACAAAUUAACAUUUUACAUAUCGACUAUAAAGCAUGUUAUGGGAAGGGAUUUUUAUGAAUGAUGCAUUUUUCUUUGGUAUUUUUUAUGUGUGAAAUUUGGUCUACAAAUAGUCAGAAAAAAAAAUAUAUAGGAAAUGAUCGAUCACAAAAAAUGACUAGAUGUUUUAUGUUCAUCUAUUUAUUGUUGUCAUUACUGAUGAUGAUUUCUAGAGCAUGAAAUUGAUAAAAACAAUAUUCAUUUCAUAUUCCCCAUUUUUCAUUUCCAAUUUUUAUCAUUUCAUAUCUAUUAGUAUUGUGGUAACAAUAUAUUGAUUUAUAAGCAUACAAUUCAUUCUGUGCUGAAAUUUUAUUUUUUGCUUAUGUUUGGCUUAUAUGGCUGCUUGUUACUUUAGAACUUUAUGCUUACGUAAACCAUAUAUAUAUAUAUUUUGCAUUUUGUAACAUUAGGACCUGCUAAUUGUUCCCUAUUCCUCUCUCCUUUCAUUUCAUUGCAAUUUGUCUUGAAUGCCAGAAUGCUGUUUAAAAAUGAGAAUUUUAGGUUGAGUUUGAAGCAUGUUUAUGGUGUAUGGGUGGUUGUAAGAAAUAGUUCUUGUUUCUGGGGUUUCUCUGAUUUCAAUGCUCAAAUAGUAAUAAAUUGCUGUACAUUAUAUAAUUUGGGCUAAUCUCUUGAGUACAUAAAUAUCCAAAACAUUUCAAUCAAACAAGGAAAAUUUAGACCACUUCUCAAAAGUGAAGAUGAAGGUUUUAUGUUAGUGCUUUUAAGGUCGCAGAAAAUCAUACAAUAUUGAUCUGAAAUUAUUUGAUCGCAGAAAUUUAUGCAUUAAUUAUUUCAUAUUAAUAGGUGGCAGAAAUUCCUGUACUAAUUAUCUGAAAUUAAUUUUUAACUAUAAAAAAAUGCCAAAACUAAAUACCAUUGGUACAUGUAUGAAAGGCAUUAAUUCAUGAUCAAAUGUUUGCUUGCGAUCACUGUUAACACAAGUAACACGACUGCUGGUUCUGUUUUGUAGUUGUUCACUGCCCCCCACUGGAGCCCCACAUGAACGGUGGUUGUAAGUAAUUCUGUAUGGUAGAUCAUAGGCUACUAAUGUCACAUGUUAAUCAAUGAUAUAUCACACUACUAAUAAUCUAUAUUUAGACAAUCUGUCGUCUGUAAUGUUAGUGUUACAUGUAGAAGUCCAGUUUUCUCUAGUUCUCUGUUGUGAAUCUCCCAUUUCUGUCUCCAUGUAUUGAUAUAGGCCUAUUCUCUAGUGUUCUUUAAAGAGAACAGAAGUAAUGUUCCCAGAAUUGCACAGAUUUGAUUGAAAUCUGAAUAAAAUAUAAAUCCCAUGUCCAGGCUUCUCUUACAAGUAUCUGACAACUUUCCGGUUUUACUUUCCAUUUUAAAGACCUUUUUGUCUUAAUAUUUGUGAACCAAUAUUUCAUGCAAGAACUCUCAAUGGUUAUAAAACAAAUAUAAGAGCAAUCAGUAGAAUAGAGCAUUGUCAGAUCUUUGUAACCUAAGUGUGGAGACACCAAGGAUUUGUAUUUUAUUAGAUUAGUAUUAGGCAUUAUAGUCUUACAAAUAGCUGUCUUGUUUGCACAAAAUUUGUUUGACAAAUACAUAUGCAAGGUUUGAGUGACAAUAAGUGCUUUGCUGUAUUUAUAUAUUCUCAAAUUUGUCAAAGUUCUUAUAGCAAAACAAUAUGCAUGUGUACAUGUACUGUUUUGGCAAGUUGACCACUAUUUUCAAAGGUUGUAAGCUGUUGAAAUUUUCAGGCAUUAAACUUGGUAAAUUUAAGAUGAAUUUAUGUUUCUUAAGCUGCUGCUUUAAGCAAAUUUAAUUUCAACAGCUUGCAUUUUUUCAAAACCACAAAAAUUUUUAAAUUUAUGACCUUUUUAUAAAUUUGUUCACAAAUGAAUGGUUUUAGCAUUUUAAUAAAAUUUAUAUUAAUGAAGUUUGAUGGCACCAUGGAAAUCAGAAAGUUUAAUGGCAUGGUCAUAAAUUAAUCUUAGAAGUUACAAGCACAAAAUUAUAAGGACUUUGAACAAUUUGAGCUGAUGUAGUGCUGUAGACUUUGCUUUACAAAUCAUUUUCAGUUGGAUACAUUAUUCUGUUCAUUUGUAUAACGUUUAUAGAGGGAAACUGAACACGCCCAUUAAAGAUAAAGGAACCAAAAUUUGAACUUAAAAUUUGCUACUGUACAUCAAGUUUCUUGACUCAACAAAAAUUGCAGAUUUUCUUUGCUUUAGAAGAUACAUGAAAGUGAAAGUCUUUCGGCCUUUUUACAGAUAUAAGUGAUUUGCUGUUAAAUGAAAUUAUAAUUAGGAAUAGACGUAUUUACACUUGUAUGCAAAUUUGUCCGCCAUUACAUAGAAUCACACAGGUUUCUGUAAACUUUGACAUAACAAUUCAAGAAAUUUGACGUCACAAUAAAAAAGUGAUUGUUGCUUGACGUCAAAAGAUUAUUUGGAGGCGAUCUAAGGUCAUUUAGAGACAAAAUUCAGCUUAAUACCAAAAGUGUAAAUACGUUUAUUGGCUUCAGAAGCACAUGUUGUGGUAAAAAUAGUAAAGAAGUAUUUUCCCAAAACCCUUCCCACGAUAAAAAGAUUUAAAAAUACAAAUAAAGCAGUAAAAUAGGCCAAGUGAUAAAUCAUACUUACUAUAAACCUCUUACGAUCAUGAUGUUACAUAGCAUUAUGUUGUACAGUCGGAUUUAGUAAAAUCUUUCUCUGAUGGUGACCUCAAUCUUAUAUUGGUUUAUUCUAGAGUUUGUCCCCUUAAAUUACAUAUCUGACCUUUCCAUCUCUUAUAAAUUAAUACAAGUUAAGGCUGAUGGUUGAGAAAGAAAUCAUGAUAUUAUUUUUGUUUGGUUGCUUGUCUCUUGUGUGAUAGAUCAUAGAUAUAACUGUACACUGGUCAGAUCAAAUAAGAAAUAAGUUAAAGACAUUAAACAAGUAGUUAUUGCCAUAUCCCUUGAUUUUCUUAAAUGAAUUUAAGGUGGUAUCCAACACCUUGACGAAAAUUAGUUUGGCUCGUUUAAUUUUCAUAAAAUUUUGACAAAAUAUUUACUAUGACCCUUUGAAAAAAAUAUAAGAAUUUCAAAAAAAUUGAACCAAUAACUUUCUCAGAAAAAAUUGGUUGGAUAUAUAGCAGUUUGAAAACCACUUAUUUUGAUCAUUGAGAAGCUUAAUAUUUCCUUUACAAUACAAUGUGAUUAAAACGUUUAGCUGAUUUUACAGAGUUAUCUCCCCGUAGUGUUAGGUACCACCUUAAUAGAGGAUGUAAUUGUUUCUUUAGUAGACACCAAAAGUUUCUUGCUGUGUACUGUAAACAAACUGACUUCUGCAGCAAUUUUAUUAUGUGACUUUCGUUAGUAGAAAAAUAACUUGAAUAGGUAAAAUUUUAACUUUAUAAUAUUCAUAUCUAAAAAUAAAAAUUAAUUUAUAUUAACAUGAUUAAUGCUUUAUUUAAAGACUUAGUUAUUAAAAAUAUUUUUUCAUUAGUUUAUUUUCAACCCAUGCAAUAGCAUCAUCAGUCUUAUUUUAAUGUGUUUGAGAUCAGAAGGAUUUUAAAAAUUAAAAUCUAUUAGGAAAAUGUUAGUCCUGGGGAAUACCAAUUUGACAAUUCUCUUUUCUACCACUAAAUUAGUUUGUAUCCCUCUGUUUUAUUGUAGGUCAGAUUACUAGUUAAUGACGAUUCAUUUCGAAAAUAUGGUAAAAUCACGAUUAAGAAUUCUAUACAUGGCCUGAGGAAUCAAAAUUUAACGACAUAAAAAUUAUUUUAUUUGCAGUGGAAUGACUUUUUAUAGCUAUCAAAUCCCAUUUUCCCCAGGUUUAAAGUUUAAUAUGGAGGAUGAAUUGUAUUAAUCUUUCUUUCGCUUCAUUACGCCAUUUAUUUUGCAUGUAAUAUAUUUUCACUGUUGAGCUAUUUACAUUUCUCCUUCUCUUUGAAGUCACAGUAAUCAAAAACAUUGAAAACAAAAGACAAAACUUGACGAGUAUUGAUUUGGAUUGAAAAAUCUUGAUAUUAAGUCAAAUACCAAUGCUAAAACACAAUGUGAAAAAAAAGCAUUAUGUUAAUAGAAAAAGUGGAAUUAUUUAGAAAUCACCAAGCAAAGCUAUAAAAUAACCAUUAAUCACACGACUGCUGCUUGACUUAUAAUAUGGCUUUGUAGUUAAAAUAAUCAUGGUUGAAUAAGGAAUUUUGUAAUAAAAAAUUCAUUUGAUGGUAAAACUGAACACUUUCUGUUAGUUACGGAGCCUUGAUGUGCAGUGUUCAAGAAAAACUUUCAUGUUAAGAGUAAAAAUGGUUCAAACUGAAAUGGAAAAUGCAUCAUUCAUAUAUGUAGCAUUCGUUGUAUAAUCUAUUAAUAGAUUAUUUUAUGAAUAAGGGUUAAAACAAGAUUUACAUGAAGCAUUGGAAAUAUAACAUUGUUUUAGUAAAAUAAAAGAACGAAAUACCAGCUCAAACUGGUACCCUUUGUGUUGGCAAAGUUGCUGCAUUAUUGUAAACUAGUGUCAUGGACAGUGGUCAUUGUACUGUAUACAUGGUUUUGGCAUUUUGAGAGCAUCUCAAUUUGUGUACCAGUUUGAUUUAGUAGGGAAAAAUAGAGUAAAAAUUCUUUGUAAAAGUGAUUAACGAAAAUAGUCUUCAUACCUAUUUUCCAAUAUCAACUUUUAUUUCUUACUGCUACUAGUAUUAAAAAAAAUGUAUAUAAGAAAUAUAGCAAUUUUAGCCAUUGCUUCAUGUAGUCUGUUUUUCUGGAAAUAAAAUGUAUGUGAAUGUCUUUAAUAUUUCAUUGACUGAUAAAUGUAUUAAUUUUUGCAAUAUUUCAUUGUAAGAAGAAAUUCAAAUUUAAGGUCAAAUAUGGAGUUUAUUGUAAAUAUUAGUAUUUUGUACUGAAUACAAAAUUAAAGAAUAUAUCAUUACCUGAAUGAUCUUAUUUUGACUGUUAGUCAGCUUAGUCACAAAAUCACCUGUUUUGAAGUAGGGAAAAAAAAAACAACAGUUGAAAAGUGAAAGUUGCGUAAUAAAAGAUGGAAAUGCAAAAACUAAUACUUUUCAGUAUGAUUUUACUGAUUGACAAUUUUAUUACUUAACCUUCAAAAUAAAGUAAUGACCCCAAAAUAAUAACAUACUAUUUAUACUUUUCAGUGACGAUGCCAUUAUUUACACCCCCGGGAUCAGUAAAGACUUACGUUGACCCCCAUACAUACGAGGAUCCCAACCAAGCAGUGAGAGAAUUCACUAAGGAGAUAGAUAGUUCUCAUAUAGUUAUAGAGUCCGUCAUUGGAGGAGGUAUGUACAUAUUUAACUCCCCUUUUGCUGUUUUCUUUCAAUGUUUUCAAUGAGGUAUGUUCAGAACAAGGCUUUAACUAUGAAAAAUGUCCAGAUUUUUACCUGUUCUGAUGUUAUAUGCCCUGCUUAUGAUGGAAGCACAGCAAAUUAUGUUUUCACAACUGUAUUUUUCUCCAUCCUGUAUCAGGUUUAAGUAUUGGUAUAAAGUAGUUAUCAUGAAGUGAACAUAUGUUCAUUAUAAUGUAAAUGUUGAAAAUCUUAGCCAAAUUAAGGUUUGACCCAGAUAUCACUGUUCACUGAACCUUAAAAACUGAUUGUACUAGUAUGACAUAGUUUGCUAUGGACAUGUAUUCUUGUUUUGAUUUGUUCAAAUGUUCCCAAUGAGAUUAAGAAAAAGUACUGUUUAUAAUAUAUAAAACUUUAAAUUGAAAGUGACAACUGAAUAUGUGCAACAUCUAAUAUUUUGUGGUUAGAACACAAUAUAAGAUUGAGAAUGAUGAAAAUGUGAAUGUGUCAAAGAUGCACCAACCUGAUCAAAGAGUAUGUAAAGGAAAAUUAAGAAUUCCUCGUAGAAUGGAAAUGUCUGUUGCCAUCAAAACAUUAAAUAGUUGAAGGCCACCAAUGAUUUUAAAUAUGUGAUAUUUUAACAUGGAAAUACUUAUAAAAACUUUCCUCUAUAUCAUUUCAGGAGAAUUUGGAGAUGUAUGUAAAGGAAAAUUAAGAAUUCCCCGUAGAAUGGAAAUGUCCGUUGCCAUCAAAACAUUGAAACAAGGAGCCACUGAUAAAGACAGAAUGGAGUUCCUUACAGAGGCAAGCAUCAUGGGGCAGUUUGACGACCCUAAUGUCAUCUACUUAGAAGGAGUAGUCACAAAGAGUAAGCAUUAAUAGUACUUAGGGCCUCGUGAGGAGGAAUUACAUAGCUAGUUAAUCUCAUUAGUGGCUAGCAUUUAAAGUUAAGCAACCAACUAUCAAUCAAUUCAUUUAAUUAUAUUACAUAAUUUGAAAUUGCACAAUCAACCCGGAUUCGCCAUUUCAGAAUCUAAUGCAUUCUGGGUAAUAUCUACAAAAACUACACCAAAAAGUUGUGAUUAGUUUGAACAUCCAAGACAAUAGAAUGUAAAGUUAUUUUCACUUUGGUGUACAAUAUAAAAUUACCCAUAGUGCUUUAGAUUUUGAAAAGGUAGAUUGGGUUGAUGGCAAUUAAUUUAUAGAAUAAAAUAUAUUAAAAUCUAUCCUUUAUCUUCAAAUUUUCAUAUACAUUUUUCAGAAUUCAUUACAUUUUAAUUGUUGUAAAUUUAUUUGGUCUAUGAAAUGUGAACAUCAUACUCAUUCUGAAUUUUAGAUUUUGUUUUUGCAGACCAUCCAAUAAUGAUUGUAACAGAAUAUAUGUUAAAUGGAUCUUUGGAUACAUUUUUACGAGUAAGUAAAUGUACUUACUGUGGAUUCAUUUAUUUUCGUGGAUACCAAUUUUCGUGGAUUGAAGAAAACUUGCAUAUUCAUGGAUAUUUAAAUUCGUGGUUUUGGCACAGUUUGCAUUCAUUCCUUUAGAAAAUGCGUUAUUCAUUAAACAUCUAAAUUCGUGGUUCUCCUGUACCCACCAAAUCCACGAAAAUUGGUAUCCAACAAAUAAUAAUGAAUCCACAGCAUGAUUAAUGUUUUGGAUUGAGAGUAGAUAUUCAUUGUACUGUACAUUCACAAACUUUUUACAUGCAUUUACUGAUGAUUUAUUUAUCUAUUUUUCUGGAUUGAAGAUAACUUGCAAUUUGGAGGAUAUUUGAUUUCAGUGGUUUUGCCAAUCACUUCAUACAAAGUCUACAGACAUUACAAGGUCAAAUUAUUGCAUCAAAGAAUGGGUCCAUGAAUCCCAGAUCGUUCGGGUCAAUUUAAAUUUUUAGUUUAAUUAUUACAAUUGUGUUCCUCAAUUUAAGUCCCUUAUGUUGAUAUAUUAGGCAUGUCUAAAUUGUUACAUUUUACAUUAACUCAAGAGUGAUUGAUUGAAUUUGGAAAAAUAAAAACAUUCUUCUUUUAAAGUUCACACUUUGUUUUGGUUUAAGAGACAGUUUUGAAAAAUCCUGAAUUAUCAUUAGUAACCAAAGCUCAUUCAAAAAACAUAGGCCAGUUCUGAAGAAGGUGUCGUUAAAACAUUCAAGCACAUUAAGCAAUGCAUCUUGUCAAGAGUGCAUGAAAAAUUAGAGGCAAUAAAUAUUUUUGUUUGAAGAUAUUGAAGGUAUUAAAAUCAAAAUUAGAAAUUGAUUUCACUGACCUUGCAUAAAAUGUGGAGGAUUAUCAUUUCUCUGUGACAUCUUGACAUUCAAGAUUGGAGUAAUUAAGCUCUAAAUUAGACCCUUUCCCCCUUAUCCCUUAUACAUCUUACGCUCAAUUAUUUAAUGUUCUCAAAAACUCAUUUUUCUUGAUGACUAAGAACAUUUAUUUUGCCUGAUUUUUAAUUAAUUAUUAACCUUUGUUAGAGGCAACCAAUAAUUUGUGAGAUUUGGCAGUUUUAUGUUUUUGUGAACACAAAUUAAUAAAUAAAAAUAUGAAUAAAAGUAGAGUUGAUCAUAAUGAAUGUUUUUCCAUUCUUGAUUAAAUUUAAUUAUUAAUAUUGAUUAGCGAUGUGUAGAAAAUAGACCAACAUUGCUUUUGGGGCUGAUUUCAUAGAUAAGUCUUUUAUUUGAAGUCUUUUAUUUGUAGUAUAGAAUGUUACUCUUUUGUAUAGCCUUGAUCAGCUGAUUUCGUUUCUGUCAUUAUAAUUUUGAUUUGGAAUAAAUGGUCUAGCCAAUUUCUGUUAAUGGAAAGUACAAGUUAGCAAAAAUUUAAACCAACAAACUGUCCAAGUGUAGAAAAACUGAUAUAUUCUUACUACUGUAUUAUUUAAAAUAUUGUGCAAUGAAGUACAAUUUCAAUAUCUAGAAAAAGAUGUACUUUUACUGUGAUAGAAAGAAACAUUGUGCAAUCUGGAGACAAAAAGAAAAUAUAAUUGAUGAUAAAAAAUUCUAUUAUUGAAACUAAAUGUGGCGUAAUUGUCCCGACAAACGUUUGGUGACAAGAUCAUGGUAAAAUGAGAUUAAUUUUAAAUGAUGAAUUGAAAUCCUACAGAUUUAAAUUUUUUAUUGUGUCGUCUCAUCCAUAGGGGAACAAUUGUCAUGGAGGAAGAAAUUACCAUUAAAUAAAUGGACAAAUCAAAUUCUAAAUGAGUUUUCUUAAACUUUAUAUUAUUUUGCCAGGCGUCCCCAUUAAAAAGAAGCCUAUUCUUGGUUAUUAUGGGGGAUAAAAUGCUCCAUUUUGAUUAGUGUUGAGUAGAAUGAUUUGGACGUAAUACAUUAGUUAUCAUAUGAAGCUGCUAUUACACAACUCUUCAUUAAUCGUAAUGUUCAUACAUGGAUAAGACGAACAUGUGAUUUAUGAUAGAGGAAGAAUGAUGUAAUUGAUCACUAAUCCAUCUUCUUAUUAUAUCUUCUUUACAUAAGGAUAGAUAAUCUGAAAGGAUGGUUUUUGUUUAGACCUGAGAUACAUAAACAUUAUCAGGAGGUAUUGGUUAGGAUUAGGUCUUCUUCAUGUGACAUUGUCCAAGAAUUGUGUCAUAUAUUAAAAACGAGAUGUGAUAUUAUUGCCAAUGAGACAACUCGUCACAAGAGACCAAAUGACACAGAAGUCAACAUCUGUAGGUCACUGUACAACCUUCAACAAUGAGCAACGUACAUAUGAAUGUCACAUCAUGUGACUUAGUUUAACAUUUGUGUACAAUUGUAUUACAUUGUCUUAUUAUGAAUAGGUCAUAUCAAGUACUAUUGCCCAGCUUAUAAAUCAAAUUAACAUAUUAUAAGGUUGAUGCAUAAUAUAUCUUAGAAUCGUGGUCUUAUCAUGUGAAAUUGUUUUAAGAUUGUGUUAAGAUUGUAGAAAACUGGAAUUGUUUCUUAUGGAUAGCACAUAAUUUCAAUUUUUUUUUGUGUUACUUGUAGUUCAAAUUUCAUAUAUUUACUUUUCUUUUUUUAGAACAAUGAUGGUAAAUUUACAGUAAUACAAUUAGUUGGAAUGAUGAGAGGGAUAGCAUCUGGAAUGAGCUAUUUGUCAGAGAUGGGAUAUGUACAUAGGGUAAGUCUUCUUCACAGAAAUAGGGUAUAGUCUCUGUGACUUUGAGAUGAAGAGCAGCAAUAAAAAUACUGUUCCAUUGCUUUUUAUGCUCCACCUACGAUAGUGGGUUGGUCCGUUUGUUCGUCUGUUCGUCCGUCCCUUCAUCCCACUUCAGGUUAAAGUUUUUGGUCGAGGUUGUUUUUGAUGAAGUUAAGUCUAAUCCACUUGAAACUUAGUACACAUGUUCCCUAUGAUAUGAUCUUUCUAAUUUUAAUGCCAAAUUAGAGUUUUUACCCCAAUUUCACAGUCCACUGAACAUAGAAAAUGAUAGUGUGAGUGGGGCAUCCAUGUACUUGGGACUCAUUCUUGUUGUUAGUGUUUUUGCUGUGUAUCUACUGGUUAUGUGUCAUGGAUGGAUACCUAGAAUCCUUUGUUUUACUAUUUUACAAGUGUAUGUCAAGAUGGAAAAGGAUAGGGAACAUUAACACCUUUAUAGUAUAGUUGAAAAAUUAAUAAAAUCACCAUUAUAGUAAAGCCAUACUGUUUUUAAAAGAUCUAUACAAAUUAGUUACUGGUUUAUUGACUAAAAUAUGUACAAUCUCUUUAAAUAGUGGUAAAAUUUUAGUGAUCAGACUAUUGGUAUAUAAUACAUCAGAUUAUAAAUGAGCUAUUUUUGCCUUGGUUGUAAUAAAGAAAAAAACAGUGUUACCAUGACUUAUGAAACUAUGAUAUUUCUAUUACAGGAUUUAGCAGCAAGAAAUAUUUUGAUUAAUGAGAAUUUGGUGUGUAAAGUAGCAGAUUUUGGUCUUUCAAGGGAGAUAGAUUUAGACACUACAGAUGGUGCUUAUACCACUAAAGUAAGUAUAUUAGAGGGCCUGGAUGGUCAGGGGGAGGGAUUUGUCUUCAUUUCAGAACAAUGUACCCUUAAUUUCUUGCAAAUUUUGUUGCUUUCAUAUUAUUGUUAUAUCACAGUUUUCCUUUUUUCAUGUUCAAGAAUUUAAAAAACAAAAACAUAGUUAUUUGUAAGAUGAAAUAAUACUUGACAAACUUGAGUAAUAUGAUCAAUAAAGCCCCAUCUGCAAAGAAGGGAAAUUGAAAUGUUGACUCUAGAAAUUAUUUUGCUAAGAUAUGCUGCCAAUAUAUCGAAAGACUAUGUAGUUAACUAGAUAAAGACAAAAAAUGGGGCUCAUGGGAAAAAAGAAGAAAAAAAAAGAAAAGGGGGCUAAUAUCAAAAAUACAAUCUAAACCUUUAUUUUUAGGGAGGUAAAAUUCCAGUGCGAUGGACAGCCCCUGAGGCUAUAGCUUUCAGAAAGUUUACUUCAGCUUCUGAUGUGUGGAGUUAUGGAGUUGUCAUGUGGGAGAUUAUAUCAUAUGGAGAGAGACCUUACUGGAACUGGUCUAACCAAUAUGUCAUACAAGCUGUAGAGAGAGGAUUUAGGCUUCCACCACCAAUGGUAUGUCAUAUAUACAGGAAUAUUUAAUACUUGUACUAAGUGGGUUCAGAUUUACUCCUUUAAAAUCCAAAAUUACACACAACACUUUCUAUUACAAAGAAGAUCCCCCAUUUUCAAUAGAAUGUUCUGCACUAUGCACAACACUAUUUAUACAAAAUGCAUUUUAUGGAAAGUGUUAUGCACUGCUCAAAACAUUAUACAAUGUAAUACAGAACAUGGAGUUUUGUUAUUAAAAAUUUCAAGCACAAGAAAUUCUGCAAAUUCAAUAAUUAAAAAUAAUUGCAAGUUGAAAUAAUAGCCUGUUAAUUAUAAAUUAUUAAAGUCAAGAUUUGGAUGGAAGCUUUACUAUAGAAGUCAUAGUGUCACAAAUAAACCCCCUUAGAUACAUUCUAGCUGAGGACUGAAUUUAAUUUAAAUAUAGCUAUUCUAAUUUAAAAAAAAUGUUAAAAUAAUGCACACAUUGACACCUGGAGAUUCUUAGAUAAAAGUUAUUUAAAAUUUGAAAGAAAAAAAAUAACGUUUGUGCUGCUAAAUGACUAAAUGUGGCAUCUCAUAAACAUUCCCUUUUUUAUUCAUCUUUAAUUGACAUAAUUGGUUUCAAGUGCAUAGAUUAUUACAAAUGUUUUAAAAUCUGUUUUUGAUACAAGCCAAAUAGCUUGCAGAAGAUUUUUUUUUAUAACAACUUAGCUUUAUCCCAACUGAUGUAAGGGAGAUAAUCCAUUUUGAAAUUUUCUUUUCAGGAUUGUCCAGAGGCUAUUCACCAACUUAUGUUAGACUGUUGGCAGAAAGAGCGAGGAAACCGACCAAAGAUGCAACAAGUGGUUAGGUCACAUGAUAAAUUCAUUAGAGCACCAGAGCUAUUAAAGAAAAUAGCAAAACCAAGGUAUGUUAGCAUUUGAAAUAAAAUUAAACCAAUUUAAAUUUGAAUUAAUAAGUUUCCAACUUGUGUGAUAAGAAAUAAGAUAUUUUAAAUUACAUUGGACGAUACACAAAAGUAAUGUUUAUCAUUUACAAUACAAAAACUCUGUGGAAUUUCAUAAAUUUAAAUCUAUAAAUAAAUGAAAAUGAAGUAUUAGACAACUCUUCAUCGAUUUGUAAAAGUAAGCCAUCAUUAGUCAAAGUACGACCUUCAACACAGAGGCUUGGUUCACACAGAACAGCUAGCUAUAAAGGGCCCCAAAAAUGACUAGUGCAAAACCAUUCAAACAGGAAAACUAAUGGUCAAAUCUAUAUAAAACAAGAUAAUCACUUCUGAACCACAUCAACAAACGACAACCACUGAACAACAGGUACUGACAUAAAACACGUGCAAAAAAAUUCAGCAAGUUUAACUGUUCAAACAGGUGCCAAUCUUCACCCUAGCCUGAAAUAAUGGUGAUACAUUACAACAUUGAAAGACACUAUAAAAUAUCAAUUAAAAUUGCUUAACUCAAUCAAAAGACAUUUUCAUUUUAGAAUUUCACCGUUUAAUAUGUAUGUAUAUAUUAUUUUUAUUGCAGAGCUGACUUACUAAUGGACUUAAACCCAGUGAAUGAAGUUUCACGAUUCAAUAAUGUGGAAGGAUGGCUAAUCUCUAUCAAAAUGGACAGAUAUAUACAAAAUUUCCUAAAUGCUGGAUAUCGGACAAUGGAACAAGUGUCAACCAUAACUUCAAGAGACUUAGAAACAUUAGGUGUGACUUUAAUAGGACAUCAAAAGAAAAUAAUGAAUUCUAUUCAGACAUUACGUGCACAGUUGUACGGACCUCACUUUCAAGUUUCCGAGGGAUUCCUAGUAUAGCAGUGAACGAAUGUUGUAGUCAAAAAUGUUUUCUUUCUAAAUGUGAUAUGUUAUAAAUGUAUGAUCAUCCAUUGUAUGUGCUAACUGGUCCUGCAUUGUAAAUGUUGAAUGCCUCUCAGAGAGGCGUAGAGUAUACCCAUCAAAUGAAAUGCUGUUGCAAAUUGAUGGAAACUAUGGAUUCAAGAAAUGGACUUGACACAAAUUUUGUCUUAAAUCAACAAAAUGGAAGAUGAAAAGUGGAAAUUGUCCUUCAAAGAAAUAAGGAAAUGUGGUCAAACUGUUUUCCUUUGUCAAUGAUUUUUUGGCUGAUAUGACCAUAUUGAAUUAGUGUCAUUUUGACAUUCGCUAGUCCAUUGAACAAUAGGAACUUGAAACUUUGUGAAGUAAUAUUGUUUCCAUAGUAAUUGUAGCACAUCACUUAUGUAUAAAUAAUGAAUCGUGUAACGAAUCAUGUGAUAUAAAACUCAUAUUUCAGCCAGUCAAACUGGAUACAUGUGUGACUGUUCGUCAGUAUUUUACAGACAUUUCCCUUUUGUAGUGAGGGGAAAUAUGUUCAAAUAGAGCACCAAGGUCACAAUAUAUAUGUAUAGGUCCUGAAAAUGUACAUAAGAAGAAUAUUUAUUUGUGAUAUUUGCUUUUAAAUAUUUUUAUUUUAAAUCUUUCUUUAUUGGUGGAAAAUGGCUUUUAUGUAUUUUUUAUCUCUCACGUUUUAUAUAGUUUCCUCUUUUCUUAAUGGAAAGCUUGCAGAGCAUGCAAGUCUAUUGUAUUUUUAAUUGCUUUAUAUGUUAAUACUGAGACAUUGUAGUCAAGAUAUCAGGUUUUUUUAAACAAAAAGUUAAAAAAUGAUGAAAAAAACUUUUAGAAUUACCUCCCCUUCAGCAGUGGUUUCAUUCACUGAAAUUUUAAACGUUGGCAAUGGUUUUUAAAUGGCAUUAAAUGCUGAUAUUGAUAUAAAAAAAACUUAAAGAUGGAAUACAUAUCAGUUUAAAAUAUUUUACAAUAUUGUAGUAAUUUAACUGCUUGUAGAUAUUUUAAUAUUUUUUUGUAAUGUGUCUACAAAUUUAGGUGCUAUUUUUGUGGCAGUUUUCUGCAUUCUUUAAUUUUAAAGGUUGUUUUCACUUUAGUAGAUUUAUAUUAUUUUAAGUAUCAUCAAUCAUCUUGACAUAUUAAUACUGAGAUAUUAUAAGGUUGUAUUCUCUAUUCUACCCAUUUAGGAUUGAAUUUUUUCCUCUAGGUUAAUCUAUGUAUAUUGCAUUGAUGUGAACUGUUUAGUACAUUUACUCAAAAUAUAUUUGAGAUCAUGAUGCUUAACUUACAAUCAGGAAAAUUAAGAAAAAUUCAAAUAGUCAUCUUAUUAAGUGUAAAGAAUAAAAAAAACAGUAAUGAAAUUUAUCAUUUUGAUGAGUUAUCUCCCUUAUCACAACUUUGUAAAAUCAGAUAAUUGAAAAAUUCUUAGCCAAGAAAAAAAAUCUCUUUAAAAAAUUUGUUGAUUUUAUAUUUUGAAAAUUAAAAUAUAUUUGUUUUGCAUAUAGAAUAGUCUAGUUAAAAAUAAUUGUUUGAAGGAUAUACUUUGUUGACCAUCGCAAAGAAUAGAUAUUUUCAGUAUAUUUAGUUUGUCUUUAUCAUAGUUCAUAGAGUAAAACUGGUUAAUUUUUCAGCAGAUGAAAAUUGGAUGAUUUGAAUAUUGCCUUUAAUUUGACACAUACUAUGCAAGCUUCAACCUUUGCUUUAUAAUGCAUAAUUUUGAAUAACUCUUAGCACCAUCUGUUUAAUUUUAAUAUCAAUCUAAUAGAGUUGUCUUAAAAACUGCAGUCUAAGAAGAAUGAUGAAAGAUGAAUACAUUUUUCUUAACAUGCUUCUGUACUUAUUUUGGUUUAAAAAAUAAAAACUUUUAUCAUAAUAAAUUUUGUUAGAUUAAUAUUUUUUUUGCAAUUUUUUUCCCUUUCCAAUAUAAUUUCAUUUUCUCUAUUUAACAUUUUUGUAUUCGUUAAUGAGUACAAAUGCU
rnacentral:lncRNA from 1 species